rnacentral:lncRNA from 1 species
UGAAAUUACAUAAUUUCUUAUAUAAUUGUCUCCAAAAAAUACCAAUAGGUGCACAAACACAAAUAUGAUGCACACAUCUCUUUAAUUAAUUUAGGGAUUAAAGAGAUUUUCAGAUGCCUACAAAUUGAAUAUGGCAGCUCUUGGACACCAUCCACAAGAAGUAAAACUAGCUUCAAAUUGGAUUUCUGAGUACUCAAACAAAGCUAAAAGCAUAAUAAUGAAUGAAAACUGAAACAAAAAAUCCUCUCACCAACAUCAUCUGACUUUUAAUAUAUAGUAAGAACUCGAUGCCUUAUUCAAGAUGCUGCACAGAAGGUUGACCUGAAUCGUCUUCAUAAGUUUGGAGACUCUGUAAACAAAGAGUAAAAACACAUUGAAGGUGCGGUUUUCACUUAAUCAAAUUGCACAAAUUAGCCUCUAUUAAGGACACGGAAAUCCUUCAAUUCUCUCUGUAAGCAAUUAAUUUUAUUUUUUAUUCUUUUAUUUUUUGCUAUGUCUGUCUAACAACUAAUCCUCAACAUACAACAAAGCAGAGUAGUUAUAUCUUAAAAAGAUGUACCGAUAUGAUUUAACAAAAAUUUCAACAUAAACAAAACAUUUUUAGUCAGCAAAAUAGAAUCAAAUCAAAACCUCCCAAAUUGUAUAGAUUUUAUCUUACCACUGUCUUUCACAUUUUUCUCCUUUUCAUUCGCCUCGGCGGACUUCUCAUUCUCUUUUUCCUUCUCUUCCUAAUCAGAUUUAAAAUGAAUUUAUAAAAAAUUUAAUAUAUACUUUUUUCUUUUUAGUUUUUUAUAUAUAUCUGUUAUUAAAUCAGUAAGUUUUAGAAAAAAAAAAAAUCAACAUCUCAUAGUGAAUGAAUACUUACCUUUUUCCUUUUAAGAUAUACGUAUUGAAUGGUUGUAUUAAGGUCCCGAUCCCAAGCCCAAAGUUUAUUAUCAAGCCAGCUCAGCUGCACUUUCUGUAACUUGGGUGUGCUUAAUUCCCCUUCUGAGAAAAUCUUCAUAUUGGGGCAACGAUCCACCACUAAUCUUUCUAGAGAUGGGAAUUUGAAGGCGCAAUUAUUCCCAGAGCAGCUGAAACUAGUCAGACUUUGUAAGUCCCAAAGCCGCAAUUCCUUUAAUUCGCUGAAAACAAUUUCAUAUUGUGCUGCAUAAUUAUCUCCCUCAUCAUCCUCAUCUGCCACUAUUUCUGUUAUCAUCUUGCAGCAACCUAUCUCCAUUUGUCUCAGUCGCACCAGAUUCCUUGCGGUUGAGGAUGUUAGAAGGUGUAUCAUUCCAUGGCAAAGACUUACCUUCAAAGUUGUUAGGUUCUGAAAGGAUGUCGAGGAUGGCACUAGAUUAGUCAAAUUGUCACACUCGAAUAUCUCCAGCUGUUCCAAAUUGUUGGUAUUGGUUGACUCUUGUUUGAAAAUCUGCUUCAGUUCACGACGCUGGUUUAUUCCCCUCAUCAUUGCAUUCAACCCAUUUUCAAGGUUUUCAAGUGAUUCUCCCCAAACAAAAUCGUCUCCUUCUAUAGAGAGAAUUUUGAUGGUGUGAAAUCUCUGGAGGAAAUCGUCAAGUGAUAAAAUAGUACUUGACUCAUCAAGCCGGACAUCAAGACAUUUAAGUUUGCAAAGCCAGUCUUCUGGAAACAGGCCUAUGUGCUUUUCAUCAACGAUCAAUUCUUCCAAAUUGGGGAACACCUGGGUGAUCAUCAAUCACAAAAGUGGCAAGAUGGAGUUAGCACUUCUUUCUAACGAUUUCACAAAUUCAAGUAAAUACAAAGCAUUCCAAUGAUGCGUAUUGAUGGCCGGACAAAUUUAUAGAUAUGCGGAGAGAGUUUGAUUUUCAGCUGUAAAUACAAAGUAAAAACAAAGCAUUCCAUUUAAGUAAUGUGUAUUUUCUUCCAUUCUCUCUUCUUAACUCUUGUCCAGUAGAUAGAUUUUCAAAUUUUAUUAGAUUUGUGCAUAAUCUCUAUGAAAAAGACUUCAAUUAUUCUCAAAUUGCAUUUAAACUUUGAGAUUCUUUUAAUUGAUCCGUUUAUUUGGUUUGAAUUGAAAAUCUUACAAAUUUAUUUUUAAAAAAAUUUGGAGUUUUUAACUUUUUCUUAAAGCAAAAAUGAAUAAAUAAUAUGAAUUUUAAAAGUUUAAUAAUAUAGUAAGAAGCUGGUAUUUCAUUAAUAUUCAUCCAACUCAAUGGAAUUGGAUAUAUUUACUAUUGUGCAAGAAUGGAUUUUAUUGUACAUAAAGUUUAAUAGAAUAAGAUUUCUUAAUUUGAGUUUUGUCCAUCUCUCUAUAUAUAUUUUAAAAAUAUUAUUUAUGUUAACACGAGAUGACCAAUUUCUUCUUCAACAUCAAAAUUGAUAAUCAUUUUGUAUGUAACAAAAUUGUACUAAGGAGUACUAAUUUGGAAAUAGCUCUUGAAAGAUUUUCAGGAAAUUAACUGUGGCUUGAAAGCCUCUAGAUCUUAUGAGUAUUUUCUUUGUUUGGCUAAUCAAAUGCACUGUCUCUUUCCGUGUAUUUAACUAAAGAUGUAGACAUAAAAUAAAAAGUAGAGGGAGAAGAAAAACUCUGAUAAUUAAGAGAAAAAAAAUUGAACAAGAAGGAAAAAAAUAAUUGUUUACCAUAUAUCUUUUUUUUUUUUCAUUCGGUCUAACUGACAUCCAAAAAAAAAAUAAUAAUUAUGUUUGUAAGGAUAUUAUAAAGUAUAAUUAAACAAACUGAUUUAUAGAACUAACAUUUUGUUACUAAAAGAUGAAGUGAUGAGGGCGAUGACGACAAUAAAACUCUGAACUCUCAAAGUAGAAAUACAUUUCAGUACGUAAGAAUUGAAAAAUAAUUAAACAAAUCUUGCACGUGUACCUUUUCAAAAUGCAGAUCACCUGUGCAGAAGCUUGUAAGCUGCGGAAGAGAAUGAAGCUCAAGUGUCCUCAAUUGAGUGAGUUCAAUCACUUCAGUACUGUUAUUAUUGCUGGAUUCAUCUCCUCUCUCAGCAGCAAAAAUCACUUCCAUUUUUUGGCAACUACUCACUUUAAUGGACUGAAGUUGUUGAAGGCCUCUGCCUAUGACCAUCGGCAAUACAUUUUUCAAUUUAUCACACCCUUCCACCCUUAUGGUCUUUAAUUUGCAAAAAGACUCUGCUGUGAGUGGACCACGACAUAUUUCCUCAAGGUUCCUUAAAUCUCUUAGAAAUAAUGACUCCAAAAGGGGGAAUGCAGUCGUCCGAGCUGGCAUACAAUCCAUUGUGUCAACAACACAAGAAAGGUUGCCAUUAUGUUCGAUUUGGAGACCCUUCAGUUUUGGAAAGCCUUCUCUGUCUGAUCCAAAAAGAACAUUCUUCAUGUCGAUCAAUCCAUCUAGAGACAGGCCUUCAAUACCCUUCAAUUGCAUGAUAUGCCCCUCGUUCAAGCAAAUGUUGGCACCAUUUGUGAGCCCCAGUUUGAAUAUUCUAGAAAUCCCAUCCGAUGGGGGAACCACAAUAAACUGCGACAACUGUCCUAUAGAUAUCCUGUACCUUUGCAGCAUUUUGAAGAACGACAAGUCUCUUGAUAGAGUCUUUUCAUCGCCGAUGAGUAUUUCUAAAGAGGUCAAUUUAGAUAAAUUAUUCAACUCAUCAAGGCUGGCAUUUCUUCUUUCACCGUCUACUCCUUCAACUUUCCCCCACUCAAUGGGACUCUCACCAAUAUAUAGUUCUUCUAAUCGUGAUAAGCUUGAUAUCACAUUUUGGGGAAUAACUCUCAGUCGGUAACAUAGGCGCAAAUUCAACAACCUCAAUUGAGUCAGCUGGCCUAUCUCUCCAGCCAGUUCCUCCAUAUCAGAACCUCGAAGCGCAAGGAUGACUAAUUUCUUUAGGUCUCCGAUAAUGGCCAUGUCUCCUAGUUCACAAUCAUCUAGAGACAAUGUUUGAAGGUUUUGCAAGCGACCAAGCGAUGAAGGCAAUGCCAACAAAUGCAUCUUAGUGAAAUCUAAAACUCUAAGCUCUGUCAUCCCAGUAAAAAAUUUAUCUGGGAUCCUCAAAGAAGCAUGACAGCCAAUACAAAGGAAUUUAAGUUGCGGGCAUUCGAACCCUUGAGGAGGCUCACUAAUAUUACUAUUCUUUAAGGAGAUUGCGGUGCAAACCUUCAGUGUAUCCUUAUCUGGCCAGCUGGUCAGCGGAACAACCUCAUUUUCCACCGCAAACACAUGUUGGUCUCUUGAUGCAAUUGAUCUGGCUACAUCACGAACAACAUCAUGCAUUGAAAACCAUUCACUUGAACGGCCAUCAAGCAACAAACAAGAGUUCUUGAGUUUAUCAACCAAUGUAUGUGCUCUAUCCCGUGCCUCUUCCAACGUGUUGAUGUUUUGAAACAGACCCAAACCCAUGCCAUAAUAGAGUAGGUCUUCAACACAAGAGAAGAACGUGUACCCUAUUAGCAAAAAUGUUUUCUUCAGUUCCUCUCCGUUUAAAUGAUUGUAACUUAGCUCUAUACUUUUGUACGCCACCUGCGUUGUUCCAGUGAAGUUUCUCAAGGAAGGCCUUCUAAAUUCCAGCAAAGCAUCCUUCCAUUCAGACAAUCUCUUAUUUCUCAAUGCCCUUGCUACGGGUACAAUGGCAAUCGGCAAACCACCACAUUCCUUGACUAUCUCUGUUGCUACAGAUUUCAGUUCACCAUUUUGUAUGCAAUCACCUGUCAUCUUUUUGAAAAGACUCCAAGCUUCUUUUUCGUUCAGAACAUCAACAAAAAAUUUUUGUUGACAAUCCAUCUUACAAGAUAACACAUCCUGACUUCUUGCUGUCAGCAGAACUUUACAUCCGCCGUUGUCAUCUGCCAAUGGAAUUCCAAUCGCCUCCAAAUCAAGACUCCCCCAAAUAUCAUCCAAGAUUAUAAGGAUCUUCGUCUCUUUCUUCAAUCGUUCAAGCAGCCUCCCUGCUCUUACAGUUUCAUGACUCUGUUCAGCCAAUUCUAAGCCUAUCUUCUCAGCGAUUUCUCCUUGUAUGUUCUUUAUUUGCCGUGUUUGGGAAACACGUGAAGAAAUGAACUUCUCAAAGAGAUUAUUUUCCUUGGCCUGUCUGCCAACUUCUUCCACCAGCGUGGUCUUUCCAAUGCCACCCAUCCCGUACACUCCAAUCGUGUUGAAGUUACGGUUGCUGAGUGCGUCUAGUAUCUCCUUCAAGGUGGACUUUCUCGAUUCAAAGUGCAUGAAAUCCCGGGUAGACUUAAGCCAUGUCUCCUCUGGAAUGGUACGGAAGGAAACACUGUCGAAUCUCCCUCUUUCAUGGAGUCCAACUAUAGCAUUCGCUUCUCUUUCUGCUUUCUUGCUAAGCUGGUACCGAGUCUUCAAAUUAGGACACAACCCUUUCAGACACCGGUUGUUUGACUUCUCUUUGUCUUCAAUAAGGGUUUCGACUUCAUUGAUGGCCUUGUCCACAGUAAUCAUCCACUUCUCAACGUGGUGUUGAAUUCCGUCCCCUUUAAUUCUGGAAUCAUCAACCUUAUAUUGCACACUGUCUCUAGCAUUCUUGAGCUUAUCGACUUCAUUAUUCACCUUCUCGAAGUUGGUCUUAUAAGUGCAGCAAUAAGUAAAUGGAUGAAUUAUGGGAGCAACCAAGUACUCUGUAACUUUUGCAGCAACGGAAAUAACAAUAUCCAUUAUCCCUUUCUUUUUUAUUUUUUGCUCUUAGAAAACAGGGGAAAGCAAAACUAAUCAAACUGAGCAGAACUAAUCAAUCAGUUGUGAAGAGGGAAAUAAGAAGUUUGGAUAAAUUGUUAAAAUAAAAGGUUGAAUAGAUUUAAGGGAGGAGGAGGGGAAAGGAGUGAAAAAUCUGGAGAUGAAACAAAGGGGGGUCCAUUUUCUGCUAAGACAAAUUGAAAAGCGAGUGCAAUGAAAGAUUUGCAAAGAAGGUGUAGGAUCGAGGACAAGAACGAUACAGAAACGGGAGACAGAAAAUGAAGAAGAGAUUUCAGAGAACUCUAGAGAUUAGACAAGAGGGAUGAUUAGGAAAAUGCAGAGGCAGGCAGUUGUGAUCUCAAGUCUCAAGGGUAAUCUGAAUACUGCAAAAAUGCCAAACUAAAUUCAUACUGGAGAAGACUCAUGCUUCCAAGUCAACUAGAUUCUUAAUAACUGAGAUAGAUGGUUAUAAUUGCAUGUAAAUAAUGUCAAAGUUGUUGGUUAAUUGGACAGCGCAAGGUGGCAUUUUGGCAUUUCAUUGAAUUCUCCUGUUACCAGUAAGUGCUAUGCUGCCGUUGCCGGACUUUAUGAUUUUUUAUUUUUUUAAGAAAUAGAUAUACAAAUAAGGACUCGCCUACCGUGCAACAGUAGCACCAUGCCACCGCUUUUGUCUUUUCUUGGUAAAAUUUCAUAAAGUCCUUUCACUUAUUCUUAUUUGAACUUUGCUUCACAAAUAUUAAGUUCAUUUCUCCCAAACCCGUGAAUCCUUCAAUGGCCGAUCAACGGCAAAUCGGCUCCUCUGGUGGCUGUGGUUGGUCAGAAAAGACAGAGGAAACUGUGGAGAACAAACCCCAAGUGGUGGCGUCACUGGAAACCGGAGAAACCGCCGCGAAUUGAAGCAGGGAUUCUGUAACUUUCACGGCUUCGAUCGGCAGCUUUCCGAAUGCUUUACGGCGACAAGGAUGGCAUGGAGAUGACUGGCGUAGCACGAGCUUCUGAUCGGUACCAACCUUGGCCGGUGGAGUAGCUGGAAACGAAAACAAAAUCUGGGUCGGGUUUGCGGGUCAGGUUGACCUAGUUAUUUUUUCGACAAGGAUGGCGUGGAGAUGACCGGCAUCACACGAUCUUCUGAUCGGUACCAACCUUGGCCGGUGGCAUGGACGAAAACAGAAACGAAAUUCAGGUCGGGUUCACCGGUAUUUGUGGUAAAGAGAGGGGUAUUGUGAUAAAUGUGCAAUAUAGAAGAAAAAUGUAUAAAUAACAAAUAGUAUAAGGUGCUAUUAUAAUGUUAUAUGGAUGCAAUAGAAAUUAAUUUAAUAUUUAUGAGGUAAAGGUUAAAUAAAAAUGAAUGAAAGGGGUUCAAUGAAAUUUUACAACACUACUGACACAAAAGAUAAAAUCAGUUGUACGGUACCACGGUGGUACCGUAGCUGGAUCCCACUCACUGACAUUCAUGAGAAAUUUAACGGUAGGAAAAAGAAGUUAAAAAAAAUGGACAUUCAUGGGAAACCGGCUUUGAUGGUUAAUGUGCAACCGGAUGUGAGCAAAAGGUCACGUGGUGAGGGCAUUGUCACAUGGUUGGAGAAAUUGACAGUCUUUUUUAUUUUUGUCAAUGAGGUUGGUGAAGGUAGGAAAAAAACAAGUUUGGGUUAUUCCAUUGUUUUGGGAAAAACAUUGAAAGCGGUGAAAAGAAAAUGUCAACUACACUGUAAUGUCAGUGAAAAUUGGUCGGAGUUGUACAAAGAUCAGUUAUGAAGAAUAUUAGGGAAAUGAAAAAUAAUAUACUUAAAAUUAUAUCAUUUAGGUUAAUUUUUUUAAAAUAAAACCAAAACCACAUCAUUUUAAAUAUAUUUCUUUAUCAAUUUUUUUUUGUCUCCAAUCAUUUUCUAACUUUCAAAUAAGUAAUUCUUAGGCUCUGUUUGGUACAUUUUUUCAAGUAGAGUUUAUUUAAGUAGAGCUUUUAUAAAUAGAGAUUUUACAAAAAAAAAUUAGUUAUUUGGUUGUCAAUAAGAGUUUUUAUUAAAAAUUUAUAAAAUUACUUUAAGAGGUAAAUUUUUUAAAGUUAUGUUAUGAAAAGAAUAAAAUAAAAUUGUCAAUAAGGAGAUGAUAUUUUAGAUAUUUUAACAUUUAAAAAAAAUUAACCUCUACUCCCAAAACCUAAAAUUUGAAUUUUUUCUAAUAGAGAUAAAAUAACUUAUUUAAGUUUUAAAAGCUCGAUUAUAAAAACAACCAAACAACAACAAAAAUUAUGAUAAGAGUUUAUAAGAUUAAAUAAGCACUUAUGACUCUUAAAUAAAGCAUAUCAAAAGUAAACAUUGUCUUGUUCAAAAGUGAACGAAAACGAAAUGAAAAAAACUAAGCUUAUUUAAGUUUUAAUAUCAAAAGUUAUUUGGUACUUAUUCAAAUUUUACAUUUUCUGUUCUCAAAAGUAAACGAAAAUGAAAUGAAAAAGAGAAUGAGUCUCGGCUCGGGUGGCUAAUGCUGACAGUGGCUAAUGCUGCCGACAUCUUCCAACUUGCAACAACGUUAAAAAUACGUAGCCUUAAUUAAUUGCCUAAAUAAUAAAAAUAAUUGUUCAAUAAUUCCCAUUCAUCAUCUAAUUGCCGAUAUAAUAAAAAUACUUAGCCUCAGCUGACUUGUUCCAAAUCAUUCAAUAAUUCUUUUAAUUAUUAAAUAAGUUUGUUCUUGCUAAAUGCUAAUGGAUACUGAGCUGAAUGUCAAAGACGAAUAACUACAUUAGGAAUAAAAAUAUUUCGAUAUUAGUUUGAAGGAAAAGUCUAGUAUUGUUCUUCAAAUAUGUACAAGCUUAGAGCUUGUAUGACCUUUUUUCGAACAUGAGAAUAUUUCUACCUUACACGCUUUAGAAAAACUAGGUGAUAGGAAAAGAGUGUAGGAUAUAAAUUAAAGCUUAAUAAUAUUAUGAUCAAUUACUGAAAUAUUACCAUGGGCACUAGAUGAUAGGAAAAGAGCUCAUUUAUACAUUAAUAUAUUAUAUCAGUGAUAUAAGAACUUUAAUCAAACACAUGCCCCAAGUUGGGAACAGCUAAACGGGCAUUUCAUCGAACAGUUGAUAUUUGUAAGUAAGCAAGCACACGGCAAAGCAUUUGAGCAAAUAUUUUUGUCUUCUUAUUGUCGCAUUCUUCUAAUCAAUUAGCUUUGACCAACAAAAAUAAUUAAUAAUGUAAAUGGAGGAACUUGGGUUCAAAUCUAUAAAUUAAUAUCGGUAAACUACAACCCUAUUUUGAUCAAAGUUUUCAACUCAACAAAUAUAGAUUAGAGAUUAUUUGUUAAUAAAAUAUAAAAGAGCCCAAACAAAAAAAGAUUUGACAGUAUACGAAUAAUAAUUUAUACUUAUUUAUUGAAUAUAUCUUAUUUUAAUCGCUUAAGGAAUUACAAAGUUGAUGAAAUUUUUUUUUUAUUUUUUAUUUUUCACUUCUUAAAAAUUGUUGGAUUAAGAGAAUCCUCAAUCUUCAUUUACGUUCAGUGGUGGAUCCACACGGAGCCUAUAGUGGGCAAUUAAUUGACUCCCGUAAAUUAUUUUUUUUCCAUAAUUUUCUAUUUAUUUUUUAUAUUUUCAUGAAAUUACAUAAAUACUUGCAUAAUUGCCCCUAAUAAAUACAAAGUCUAUCAAUUUCAUUAAUUUUUUUUUUUUAAUUAUUGUGUUGUCCCUUGUAAGCCAAAUUUUUAGAUCCGCCCUUUAAAUAGGUUGUUACAUUUAUUGUUCUCAAAAGUGAUGACUUCUCCUAGUAUGAAGCUCCUACCAUAAGAAAAAGGUCUCCAUAAAACAUUUCGAGCUUUAACUAUGAUCUUCGGUACUGAUCUAACUUUUUUUAGUCCCUCCCAAAAAAGAAGCCUACACACACACACACAUAUAUAUAUAUAUAUUGUAACACAUUAGGACAUGAACUUGAAGCUUCUCAAGUGUUUAUGCAAUCCGGUUAACAUAUACAAGUUAUGAUAGGUAAAAUUGCUAAUAAAUUUAGAAGCCUAAAAUAUGGAAUUUGAUUAAGACUUACUAAUUAUUGGAGCAUUUUUUUCAUCUAGUUUUUGGAGAUUGAAAGAACUUAAAAUUACAGGUGAUCAUAUCUUAAUUGGCAGACUCUUGAUGCUGAUAAAUGACAAAAGUCGUAGAUUAGAGAGUUCUACUGAUUGAGUAGCGACUUGAGACAUUGUACAAUUUGUUCCAAUGCGAAUGAUUCAUAGUGACUGCACAUAUGACACCUUUUUGUCGAAAUGACACAAUUUCUCUUCAUUGUGCUAGAGAAAGGUGGGUAGAUUUCUGUUGUACAAGCAUUAUUGGAAGAGAUAUCAAGCCACUCAAUGUUCAGAUGGUCCAAACAUGUGUUCAGGAGGCACUAACAUAGCAGAAAUUGAGAUAGUUUUAGUUUCAUCAUACACUAAAAAAAUAUAAACCAGAAAUCCUGAUGGAGCGAGGCGUAGAGGAAGCGAAAAUUAAUAGGAUAGGAAACACUAGUUAUCAUUUUAGUACAGGAUUAAGCCAACGCAAUUAGGUUAUAUUCUAAUCGAAGCGUGAUUAGAUAUCGUUUUAAUCCAAACGACUCAAUGAGAUUUUUAAUAACACGUAAUGUGAGAUUAGAUGACACUCUAAUCCAAACGACUCUACAAGAGAGAUUUUGAUAGAUAAUCCCAGAGGGAAUUAUAAAAUGGGAGUUUUAUUGAAUAAUUGAAUUUGAAGUGCUCAAAACAAUGACAAGAUCUCUCUAGUUAUAAUAGAGGAAACCCACUUUCCUAAAUUAACCUAAAAGGGAAACUGAAUCACAAUUAGAAUGGAAAUAAAAGACUAAGAUACAUACCAUAAUUGACUCAAACUAAAAUAGGAAAUCCUAAAACAAUAAAUAUUCUAGAAUCCUAAAUCACCUAAAAUAACGUAAAUUAACUUCCUACAUCAUUCUUCCCCUCUUAAAAGAAACUCGUCCUUGAGUUUGAAUGCAGUCUGGAGGAUGAAACUUAUAGUGUAGGAGCAAAUCAUCUUGUAAUUUGAACUUGUAGCCUUGCUCAUCAAUCUUCCUUGAAACUUUGAAGUAUCCUAACUUCAUCAACUUCCUUCGCUUGUACAUUCUUCGAGUCGAUGACGACUUUCAAGAACGAACAAUGAUCAAAUAACUCUUGCACUUCCCCAAUUGUCGCUCAAUGCGCUCGCCAAUAAGUUUCACCUUUUCAACCAAAUCUUCUUCAAGCACAAUCUUUUUUUCUUCAAUGUGAAUAGGCAGAACCAUUUCAAUCAUUUCAACUUCUUCACCUUGAUUUUGUUGUACAACCUCGAUCGUAUUGUUAAGUUCACUGCUUAAAUUAAGAGCAGGUUAUAUAUCUUCUUAAAAAUUAUCAAAUAGGUCAAUAAUAUCAUUAUCUUCAGCACUUAUCUUCUCUUCCAAGGAAACAUCACGCACAUUCUCGAACAACUUGUCAGAUUGAAACCUUAAAUCAAUAAUAAAUUGUACAUUUUCUUCUGGCAACUCAUGCGAGUCUUCUUCCUUAACAAUAAGAGAACUCAUUGGUACAUCUUUGGGCACUUUCAUGGUGACACGCCAUUUCUUGCUUAAAUUCUGGAUUUCGUCAAGUUUUUUAAUCACAUCAUCAAAGUUUCUUUGACGUUGCGACUUAAUUUGCGAUUCGAUUUUCUUGGCUAAAUGAAUUGCAUGUUGUAAAUUGUAGAUAGUGUAUAUAGGCAUCCUUUCUUGAAUAUGCAAAUCAAGCCCUUUAAUAAAUCUUGUAACUGUGUUCUCUUCAGGCUCAUAAUAAUAAUGACAUCCAUAAAAUCAUUCAAACUCAUAAGCACAAGCAGAAACAUAUCUCGUACCUUACUGUACCAAACAAUAAUCAAGAGGAAUAAACUCAGAUCGUAAAAUAUGCUUCAUACAGUUCCAUGAUUGAACUUUGCAUUUGCCUUGGUCAAGUCGAGACAUUUGCAACUCAUCGCACCAUUCUGAAGCACUUAUGCUUAAUCUACUGGCAGUAAACGAGACUUGCUUUUCUUUAGGAGUGUGCCAAAAUAGAAACUAGUGCUUAACCUUGUCCAACCAAUCAAGAAAUUUGUUUGGACGUGUAUUUUGUAAAUAAUAUCGGCACAUGAUAAAUAGGAGGGCAAUGAUGGUAGCUUGCCAUUUAAGUUUCCACACAAUGGCAAAAUUGUAAUUAAGGCUCAACUCUCGGGUUUGGUAUGGUCGGCAGCUGGUGGCGUGAUUGGGACCAGAGGGAUCGGAUCUGGGAGAUUUGGUGAUAAGGAACUCGAUGAUGGUCGUGGAUCGGCUAGAUUCGCUGCGGUUUUGGUCGGAAAAUCUGACUUAAAGUGGCGGCUGAUUUUGGUGAUGUGGCUUUUGGUUUAUGGCGGCCUUACGGUGGCGGACGUGCUGGAUUUAUGGUCGCCGAUUGCUAGGGAUUAUGGUGGUGGUAGUGCAAAUUGACAGAAAAAAGGAGGUGGUUUGGUGGCGGCGCAUGUGUGAAGCACUUGUGGGUUGUCGUUUCGUGUGGUGGCUGUGGGCGGCGAUCAAGGGCUGAAGUUGGUCGGUGUUUUGGUUAGUGGAGGCCUGCAAGCUCGUUGGUAGAGGUGGCUGGCUGUGAAAGUGGCUGAAUGGUGGUGGAUUGCUUGGUGGAGCCGCGGGUUUGGGUUGGUGAUUUGCGGCUGUUUAGGCGGCGGUUGAGGAGGCGAUGGCUGAGGCUUGGUCGGCAGUGGCUAGCGAGGUUUGUGGUGGUGUUGGCUGGCUGAUCGGUGGUGGAAGUUGAUGUGGUGGCUAGGGUUUUCAAAUUUGUAAAGUUUUGAUUUAUUUAUUUUGUUUUAUUUUAUUUAUUUUUUGUGAUAGAUUUGAUGUGGAUGGAUAUGGAUAGUCAGGAAAGUUGUGCAAUUGGCACAAAACUGCUCUGAUACCAACUAAUGGAGCGAGGCGUAGCGGAAGCAGAAAUUGAUAGGAUAUGAAAUACUAAAUACCAUUCUAGUACAGGACUAAGCCAACGCGAUUAAGUUAUGCUCUAAUUGAAGCAUAAUUAGAUAUCCUUCUAAUCCAGACAACUCAAUGAGCUUUUUAAUAACGUGUAAUGCGAGAUUAGAUGACUCUUUAAUCCAAACAAUUUUACAAGAGAGAUUUUGAUAUAUAAUCCCAGAAGGAAUUAUAAAAGGGGAGUUUUAUUGAAUAAUUGAAUUUGAAAUGCUCAAAACAAUGACAAGAUCUCUCUAUUUAUAAUAGAGGAAACCCAAUUCCCUAAGUUAACCUAAAAAAGAAACUAAAUCACAAUUAUAAUAGAAAUAAAAGACUAAGAUAUAUACCAGAAUUGACUCAAACUAAAAUAGAAAAUCCUAAAACAAUAAAUAUUCUAGAAUCCUAAAUUACCUAAAAUAACGUAAAUUAACUUCCUACAUUAUUCAAUACAUCAAUAACAAGUGCACAAACACAAAUAUGAUACACUCAUCUCUUUAAUUAAUUCAAGGCUUAAAUACUCUUUCGGUUGAAUCCAAAUUGAACAUGGUAGCUCUUGGACACCAUCCAUGAGAAAUAAAACUAACUUCAAAUUAGAUUUCUAAGUACUCAAACAAAGCUAGAAGCAUAAUAAAUUAGAUUUCUAAUUACUCAAACAAAGCAAGAAGCAUAAUAACGAAAUGAAGAAAGAAACAAAAGGUCCCCUCACCAACGCCAUCUGACUCUUAGUAUAUAGAAAGAACUCGAGGCCUUAUUCUAGAUGCUGCACAGAAGGUUGGCCCGAAUCGUCUUCAUAAGUUUGGACUCUCUGUAAACAAAGAGCAAAAACACAUUGAAGGUGUAGUUUUCACAUAAUUAAAUUGCACAAAUUAGCCUCCAUCAUAACCAGUUAAUGCUUAAGAACACAAAAAUCCUUCAAUUCUCUCUAUAAGCAAUUACUUUCAUUUUUUUUCAAUUUCUUGUUCGCUAUAUCAUAUCUAACAACUAAUCUUCAACAUAACAAUACAGCAGAGUAGUUAUGUUUUAAAAAGAUGUACCAAUGUGAUUUAACAUAAAUAAAACGUAUUUAAUCAGCACAAAAAUAAAAUCAAAACCUCCCAAUUUGUAUGGAUUUUACCUUGCCACUGUCUUUUGCAUCUUCCUUCUUUUCAUUAGCCUUGUUGGACGUCUCAUUCUUUUUUUUCCUUCUCUUCCUAAUUAGAUUUAAAAUGAAUUUGUCAAAAAUUUGAUGGGUACUUUUUCUUUUUCCUUUUUUAUAUAUAUCCGUUAUUGAAUCAAACUUUUACAAAAAAUCAACAUCUCGUAGUGAAUGAAUACAUACCUUUUUUUUAAGAUAUAGGUAUUGAAUGGUUGUAUUAAGGUCGCGAUCCAAAGUCCAACAUUCUUCAUCAUCCCACCGUUUAAGCUGCACUUGGUGUAACUUGGGUGUGCUUAAUUCUCCUCCUGAGAAAAUGUUCAUAUUGGGGCAAUUAUCCACCACUAAUCUUUCCAGAGAUGGGAAUUUGAAGGCGCAAUUAUUGCCAGAGCAGAAUCCUGUCAGGCUUUCUAAGUUCCAGAGCAGCAAUUCCUUCAAUUCGCUGAAAACAAUUUCAUUUUUUGCUGCAUAAUUAUCCCCCUCAUCACCGUCAUCUGCCACUAUUUCUAUUAUCAUCUUGCAUCUACCUAUGCCCAUUUCCCUCAGUCGCACCAGACUCUUUGCAAUUGAGGAUGUUAGUACAUCUAUCAAUCCUAUGCAAUUAUAUACCAUCAAAGUAGUUAGAUUUUGAAACGAUGUCGAGGAUGGCACUAGAUUAAUCAAAUUGUGACAGUCACAUAUGUCCAGGUUUUCCAAAUUGUUGGCAUUGGAGGACUCUUGUUUCAAAAUUUGCUUCAGACCACGAUGCCGGUUUAUUCCUCUUAUCAUUGCCUUCAUCCCGUUUUCAACCUUUCCAAAUAGUCUAAAAAUAUACUCGUCUCCUCCUAUAAUGAGAAUUUUGGUUGUGUGAAAUCUCUGGAGGAAAUCGUCGAGUGAUAAAAUAGCUGUUGACUCAUCAAUCCAGACAUCAAGAAGUUUAAGUUUGCAAAGCAAGUCUUCUGGAAAUAGACCUAUGUACUUUUCAUCAAUACUCAAAUCUUCCAAAUUGGGGAACAUCUGGGUGAUCAACAAUCACAAAAAAAAAAAAAAAAAAAGCAAGAGGGAGUUAAAUCUUCUUUCUAACGAUUUCAAAAAUUAAAGUAAAUACAAAGCAUUUCAAUGAUGAAUAUUGAUGGCCGGACAAAUUUAUGGAUAUGUAGAGAGAGUAUGAUUUUCAGCGGUAAUUAUUUUCUUUUUUUUUUUUCAAAUAUAGUAAGUGAUGUGUAUUUUUUUUUGUCAUCCUCUCUUCUUAACUUUCAAAUUUUAUUAGAUUUGUGCAUAAUGUCUACAAAAAAGACUUCAAUUAUUCUCAAAUUGCAUUUGAACUUCUGGAUUCUUUUAAUCGAUCCGCUUAUUUGGUUUCAGUUGAAAAUCUUACAAAUUUCUUUUUUUUUUUAAAUUGGUUUUUUUAACUUUUUUCUUUUCAAGAGCAAAAAUGAAUAAAUAACUUGAUUUUAAAAAGUUUAAUAAUAUGGUAAGAAGCUGGUAUUUCAUUAAUAUUCAUCCAACUCAAUGGAAUUGGAUAUAUUUACUAUUGUACAAGAAUGGAUUUUCUUGUACAUAAAGUUUAAUAAGAUAAGAUUUCUUCAUUUGAGUUUUGUCCAUCUCUCUCUUUAUAUUUUUAAAAAUAUUAUUUUUGUUAACACAAAAUGACCAAUUUCUUCUUCAACAUCAAAAUUGACAAUCAUUUUGUAUGUAACAAUACUGUAGUAAGGACUACUAAUUUUAAAUAGCUCUUAAAAGAUUAUCAGGGAAUUAACUGUGGCUUGAAAAACCGUAGAUAUUUUGAGUAUUUUCUUCGUUUGGCUAAUCAAAUGCAGAGUCUCUUUCGUGUAUUUAACUAAACAUAUAGACAUAAAAUAAAAAGUAGACGAAGAAGAAAAAAUCUGAUAAUUAAGAGAAAAAAAUUGAACGAGAAGGAAAAAAAAAUACUAAAUAAUUUUGUAUUCAUUCUUUCUAACUGACAUCCAAAUCCAUCUAUGGUUGUAGCCGAUUCAAUAUUCGAUAAUGAGAAGAAUUAUUGAAGAAUGAUAAUUAUGUUUAUAUCGAAUAUUGAUAAUUAUGUUUAUAAGGAUAUUAUAUUAGUAUAAAUAAGCUGAUUUAUAGAACUAACAUUUUGUUACUAAAAGACAAAUUGACGAGGGCAAUAUAUGACGACAAUAAAGCUCUAAACUCUCAAGUAGAAAUACUUUUAAGUACGUAAGAAUUGAACAAUAAUUACAAAAGUCUUGCACGUACCUUUUUGGUGGACUCAUGAAUAGUGCUUUUAAAUUUCACAUGGGGACAUCCCCUUAUUAUUAAUUGUUUCAAGGAUGGAAAUUCAAAAUGCAGAUCUCCUGUGCAGAAGCUUGUAAGCUGCGGAAGAGAACCAAGUUCAAGUGUCCUUAAUUGAGUGAGUUCAAUCACUUGAGUGUUAUUAUUGCUGGAUUCAUCUCCUCUAUCGGCAGCAAAAAUCACUUCCAUAUUCUGGCAUUUUGUCACUUCAAUGGACUGAAGUUGUUGAAGGCCUCUGCCAAUGAGCAAUGGAAACACAUUUUUCAAUUUAUCACACCUUUGCACCCUUAUGUUCUUUAAUUUGCAAAAGGACUCUGCUGUGAGUGAACCACGACAUAUUUUCUCUAGGUUACCCAAAUCUUCCAGAAAUAAUGACUCCAAGAGGGGGAACGCUGUCAGCGCUGUUGCACAAUCCACUGUGUCAACAACACAAAAAAGGCUGCGAUUAUCUCGGACUUCGAGAUGCUUCAGCUGUGGAAAACCUUCUCUGCCAGGUUCGCAAAGAACAUUCUUCAUGUCCAGCAAUCCAUGUAAAGAUAGGUCUUCAAUACCCUUCAAUUGCAUGAUAUGCCCCUCGUUCAGGCAAAUGUUGGCACCAUUGGUGAUCUUCAGUUUGAAUUUUCUAGAAAACCCAUCCAAUAUUGGGUCAUCCGACCACAGAUAUCCAAUGAAUAUCCUGUACCUUUUCAGGAUUUUGAAGAACAACAAGUCGCUUGGUAUAGUCUUUUCAUCUUGGAUGAGUAUUUCUAAAGAGGUCAAUUUAGAUAAAUGAUUCAACUCAUGAAGGCUGGCAUUUCUUCUUUCACUAUCGAGCCCUUCAACCGUCCCCCACUGAAUGGGACUCUCACCAAUAUACAGUUCUUCUAAUCGAGAUAAGCUUGAUAUAACAUUUGGUGGAAUAACUUUUAGUUCGAAACACUUGCUCAAAUCCAACAACCUCAAUUGAGUCAGCUGGCCCAUUUCUCCAACCAGUUUCUCCACAUCAGAACCUCGAAGUGAAAGGAUUUCUAAUUUCUUUAGGUCUCCGAUAAUAGCGAUGUCUCCUAGGUUGCAGUAAUUCAGACACAGUGUUUGAAGGUUUUGUAAGAGACCAAGCGAUGAAGGCAAUGGCAAUAAAUGCAUCUCAGUGAAAUCUAAAACUUUAAGCCCAGUCAUCCCAGUAAAAAAAUUAUCUGGGAUUCUCAAAGAUGGAUCAUUGCCAAUACGAAAAUAUUUAAGUUGCGGGCAUUCGAAACCUUGAGGAAGCUCACUAAUAUUACUAUAAAUUAAGGAGAUUGCGGUGCAAACCUUUAGUUUUUCCUUAUCUGGCCAGAUGAUCUGCGGAGCAACCUCACUUUCCACCACAAACACAUGUUGGUCUCCAGAUGCAAUUGAUAUGGCUGCAUCACGAACAACAUCAUGCAUAGAAAACCGUUCACUUGUAUUACCGUCAACCAACAAACAAGAUUUUUUGAGUUUAUCAACCAAUGUAUGUGCUCUAUCCCACGCCUCUUCCGACGUGUUGAUGUUUUGAAACAGACCCAAACCCAUGCCAUGAUAAAGCACGUCUUUAACGCAAGAGAUGAACGCGUACCCUAUAAGCAAAAACGUUCUCUUGAGCUCCUCCCUGUUUAAAUGAUUGUAACUCAGCUCUAUACUUUUAUAUGCCACCUCCAGUGUUCCACUGAUGUUUCUGAAGGAAGGCCUUCUUAAUUCCAGCAAGGAAUCCUUCCAUUCAAACAAUCUCUUAUUUAUUAGUGCCCUGGCUACGGGUACAAUGGCAAUGGGCAAACCAGCACAUUCCUUGACUAUCUCUGUUGCUACAGAUUUCAGUUCACCAUUUUCUAUACAAUCACCUGUCAUCUUCCGGAAAAGACUCCAAGCUUCUUUUUCAUUCAGAACAUCAACAAAAAAAUUUUGUUGACAAUCCAUCUUACAGGACAACACAUCUUGACUUCUUGCUGUCAGAAGAACUUUGCAUCCGCUGUUAUCAUCUGCUAAUGGAAUUCCAAUCGCCUCCAAAUCAAGACCCCCCCAAAUAUCAUCCAAGAUUAUAAGGAUCUUUUUCUCUUUCUUCAAUCUUUCAAGCAGCCUCCCUGCUCUUACAGUUUCAUGACUCUGUUCAGCCAAUUCUAAGCCUAUCUUCUCUGAGAUUUCUCCUUGUAUAUUUUUUAUUUGCGGUGUUGGCGAAACACGUGAAGAAAUGACCUUCUCAAAGAGAUUAUUUUCCUUUGCCUGUCUGCCAACUUCUUUCACCAGCGUUGUCUUUCCAAUGCCACCCAUCCCGUACACGCCAAUCAUGUUGAAGUCACGGUUGCUGAGUGCGUCUAGUAUCUCCUUAAAAGUGGAUUUUCUCGAUUCAAAGUGCAUGAAAUCCUGGGUAGACUUAAGCCAUGUCUCCUCUGGAAUGGUACGGAAAGAAACACUGUCGAAUCUCCCUUUUUCAUGGAGUCCAACAAUAGUAUUCGCCUCUCUUUCUGCUUUCUUGCUAAGCUGGUACCGAGCCCUCAAAUUAGGACAUAGCCCCUUCAAACACCGGUUGUUUGAAUUCUCUUUGUCUUCAAUAAUUGUUUCGACUUCAUUGAUCUCCUUGUUCGCAGCAAACAGCCACUCCUCAACGUGCUGUUGAAUUCCGUCCCCUUUAAUUCUGGAAUCAUCAACCUUACACUGCAUACUGUCUCUAGCAUUCUUUAGCUUAUCGACUUCAUUAUUCAGCUUCUCGAAGUUGGUCUUGUAAGUGCAGCAGUAAGUAAAUGGAUGAAUUAUGGGAGCAACCAAGUACUCUGCAAAUUUUGCAGCAACGGAGAUAACAAUUUCCAUUAUCCCUUUCUUUUUUUUUAUUUUUUGCUUUCAGAAAACAGGGGAAAGCAAAACUAAUCAAACUAAGCAGAACUAAUCAAUCAGCUGGGAAGAGGGAAAUAAGAAGUUUCGAUAAAUUGCUAAAAUAAGAAGUUGAAUAGAUUUAAGGGAGGAGGAGAGGAAAAGAGUGAAAAAUCUAGAGAUGAAACAAAGGGGGAUCCUUUUUCUGCUAAGACAAAUUGAAAAGCGAGUACAAUAAAUGAAAGAUUUGCAAAGAAGGUGUAGGAUGAGGACAAGGAUGAUUCAGAAAAGGGAGACUGAAAAUGAAGAAGAGAUUUCAGAGAACUCUAGAGAUUAGAGAAGAAGGAUGAUUAGGAAAAUGCGGAGGCAGACAGUUGUGAUCUCAAGUCUCAAGGGUAAUCUGAACUUUAUGAUUUUUUAUUUUUUCAAGAAAUAGAUAUACAAAUAAAAUGAAAAAAAAAAAAAAAACUGUUGUGUGGUCGUGUGGGUUCCUCGAAAUCACUUCGGCAUUUAAUCGAACGAUUGGAUGUACUCAGCAUCUACACUUCCACGAAGGUUCCUGGAAGUUGCGAGUGCUGCCGGCAUUUUCAAACUCGGAAGGUUUCAAUAAUUCUUUUACUUUGAAAGAAAGGUUUCAAUAAUUAGCUUUGAUAAUUGUGUAAUAUACGAUAAUCUAGUGAUGAUGAUGACUUAUAUAUGUGAUUAAAAGCUAAGCUGGUGGAUUUGUAAGUAAGAACACACGGCAAAGUAUUUGAGCAAGCAUUUUUAUCUUCUUAUUGACACAUUCUUCUAAUCAAUUUGCUUUCACCAACAAAAAUAAUUAAUAAUUUGUAAAUAGUUGGAUCUUAAGCUCAAAUUUUGACAAUACAUGAAUGAUAAUGUAUACUUAUUUUUCAAGGGUAAACUCUAUUUAAGAGAGGAUCUCAAUUUUCUAUUAGUUUCUUCAAAUGGGCAUUUUAUCCAACAGUUGAUGUACUCGGAAACUUACACGAAGGUUCCAGGGAGUUGCAAGUGCCGCCGGCAUUUUUCAAAUAAUCAAGUGAUUAUUGAGUAAUAAUUAACUUUGAUUAUUGAGUAAUAAAUAUAUGAUAAUCAAGUGAUUUUAAUAUGUAAACAGUAGGAUUUUGGGCUCAAAUCUUUAAAUUAAAUCGUGAUCAUUUUAUCAUUAAACUCGAACUCUAUCUUGAUUAAUGAACAAAUGUUAGAAAUUAGUUGUUAAUAAAAUAUACCCUGGAUGUAAUGGCUAUUCCUAAAGCUCAAUUGAACCAAGAACACAAUCUUGAAGGGCCCAAGAACAGAUCCCAAACAAGAAGUGACACAAAGCUUAACAAGAAUCCAUGAUCAAACAAUGAACAAAACAAAGAAUCAGUAAAGAAGAAAACUUAGAGCAAGAGUGUUUAAUGAUUUGAUUAAAUUUGUGUUUAUUUCUGUGGAUGAUUUCAUUCCUAUUCUUGCCAUUCAUUUUUAUGAUUUUUUUUUUUUUGGGGUUGACUCCCGGAACAAUCAACCUGGGGAUGGGUGGGUUUUAUUUAUUUGUCAUGAUUUGAUUAAGCAGAGCAACUAAUACUUCAAAUCGUAUCACUGUUGUAUUAGAGGCUUCACGUAUAUAAACCAAAGUUUAACAGAUCUACAUAUAACUGAAUGAAAAGCUUAUGUAUUAUAUUCACUCCAUCAAGUAUGAAGCAUAUAAUCAAUUGAUCUACAAGCACUAGACAUACAAAAAUCAAAUGGUAGAAUAGAAUAUACAAGCAUCAGCAUUAGAUGACAGGAAAAGAGCUCAUUAAUAAAUUAUAUGAGUGAUAAUACUACUUGAAUCAAACUCACGUCCCCAGUUGAGAAGAGUUAAAUUAAAUAAUACUUUGGUGAUUUCAUGUGCGUAAAAUUAUAAAUUUAUAACCAGACUUUGUAAAGUUAAUGUGAAAAUGCAUCACAGUUGUACUUAUUAUCUUUUUUCUUUUUUCCUUUUCCAAUUAGUCUAAUACCAGUGGCGUGGCCUCGUGGGUCCUCAAAUUAUUCAAAUGGGCAUUUCAUCGAACAGUGGAUAUACUCGGCAUGUGCACUUGGAAGACGCGUUCAAAAGCUCUAAAUCAUGUUAAAGUCGACCAAAAAGACAAAACAUAGAAAGCGACAAUCCAACAACUAGGUAAAAAUAUUCGCUGUCACAAAUGGUUGCGUUAACGUGUAUAUUUGGGACAUCAAAUAUAAACAAAGACCAUGUGAAAAAGAAAAGCAAAAAGCUAGAAAUAAGAAAAAGGGAGCACAGUGAAAGAUCUGCAAAGAAGGUUUAGGACAACGAUUAUUAUGAAAACGGGACCAGAAGACGUAUAAGGGAUUUCAGAGAAUUUUGAGAGAAGUGGGAUGAUUAAGAAAAUGCAGGAGCAGGACAUUCAUGACCUCUAUUAGUAAUUUGAUUUCGUGAAUCAUUUUCAAAAAGAAAAUAACGCACACAAUUGGAGACUAGGCGAUGACAAUGAAAGAUCACAAUCCUGAAUCAUGUUAAAGCCAAUAAAAAGACAAAACAUGGAAAGCGGCAAUUGCUAUAUUGCGUUGCGUGUAUUUUCGGAUCAUCAAAUACAAACAACGACCACGUUAAAAGAAAAGCAAAAGCUGACGAGAUUGGUAAAGAUAUAUCAAAAGAAAGACUAAUAGAGCUUUCCCAGCAGCAUUAAUCAUGAUUAUUUGAUAAAAUAGAGGGAAUAAAUAAUUAUAUUUUUGGUGGAAAACAGAACAGAGUACGUUACAAGAGGUGAUUGCUUUCUUAAUUUUUUGUCAAUAUUAAACCAAAAAUACAAGUCAAUGAAAAAAAUUGAAAAUAACGCACCAUCAAGUCAGCCUUGGUGCAGAAAAAUAUUAACAUUUAAUGAACAUAGAGGGAUGAGUUGGGCCAAGUCUUUAAAUCAGAUCUGUCGUGGAAUAUAACAGGAAGAUUAAAAGAAAAAUCAAUCAACUAGUAUAUAAUAUAAUGUUUUUACAUUUAACUAAUUAGGAGACUGAUACACUAGCAAUCAGCAUUAAUCAAUUAUUUGAUAAACCAGUAAAUAUUGGAUAUCUCGGUGCAAAACAGAGUGUUGAGAGAUAAAAAUUAACCUGGUGUCUUUGGCAGGUGCUUAAUAUAAUUGCUAAGCUUGCCACAUGCCAUUGCCAACUUUGGCCAUCUGCUAGCUGCUAUAUAUGAAGCAACUCAAGUAAACAUAAAGCAGCCGUCGUGAGAUGAAGCACAACAAGGCUUGUGAUGUGAUCACUGAUCAUGCAUCCGGGACACUUUUAUACUUAUUUAAUUCCAAUAAUCAUAAUAAACUAUUGAAUUAUAGACCAGGUUUUCGUUUUUAUGAAUACAAGGCACAAACACGAGCAUAUUUUAAUCCUAUUUCUGCUAAUUGAAGAAAAUCAAGAAAUGCUGAUUCCGUCAUGCUUAGUUUCAUGUUAGUUAACAUACUGGACAGACCUUCCGAGGUUAUUCUUCGAAGCGUUUCAUGAUGCCACGUGUACUUGAUUAUUUGACUAAUCACGGUUCACAAGUUGAGUGAGCUAUUCACCAGUCACCAAACCACCUUCCUGCUGCAAAGAAUGUUAACUGAACUUUGACUUGGUCAGAAACUCAGAAUUAGUGGUGCACGUGAUGCUUACACGUGAGGACCCAAAUGACGAAUUCCAAAAGCUGAAUGAUGUAUGUGUGAAUUAAAUAUAACUAUUACGCUCUAGCACAUAUAUGUCACAUGUAUACUAAGUGGGUGUAGUGCGACGAAGGUGCUCUAUAAUUUUUCAGUGAACACAAUAUAAUCAUCAAAGUGAAAGAAAAACUUUUGAGGUUUUGGUGUAUUCAUUAGUGAAAUUUGAGCCGAAAAGAAAAAUUCAUAUUUGUAAACAUCAAAACCAAAAUCAUUUGGAUGUAGUUGCUGAAAUUGAUUAGGUCAUUUUUAACCUUAAAUUUAAGAUCAUUAAUCAUUGCAUGAAUGUUUUGAUUUUAAUACCAGUGGCAAUCACGUACAUGUUUAAUGAUUUGAUUAAAUUUGUGUUUAGUUCUAUAAAUGAUUUAACUAAAAAAUUCAAAAAAGUUUAAAUCACAAUUUUUAUUAUUAACAAUUUAACUAAAAAAUUAUUAUUAAUUAUUGUUAAUAGAUUAAUUAAUUACAAUACUUUUUAUUAAUCUUAUUAAUAGUAAUUACAAUAAACUAGUAAUUAUAAUUAAAAUUACUUUAGUAACAGGUUUAUUAAACCUAGACUCAUCUACCUUGCAACGGCUGCAAGGUACAACUCUUUUUUUUUUUUCAUUCCUUUACCUUUGGAUUUAAUGAAAAGUUAAUUUCAAUGGUAGAGAUUUGUCCAUUUGAAUACUAACAUUAUACUCUUGAUAAGUAUUAAAAAAAUAAAAAAAUGAAAGAGUUAAAAUUUUUAGCACAUAAGUCUUUAUUGUUUCUAAUUUAUAUUGUUUAAUUAGUAGUAAGUCUUAAAAAAAUAUUUUAAUUUUAAUAUUAUAUAAAAAUAAUAAAUUUUUAAUGUUAUUUAUUUUAUUAAAAAUAAAUAUUAUUUAAUAUUAUUUAUUUUCAUUUUAUUUAGCAUAUGCUUAUUAUUAUAUUUAUUCCUCAAAAAAUUAAAUAAUAUUAAAUAAAAUAAAAUAAUCAAUAGUGAAUCAUAAAAAAUAGAUAUCAUUUUUAAUUAAUAUUAUUUAUUUUAUUUUAUUUAACGUUUUAUAGUCAUAAACUUAUCAUUAUAUUUAUUCUUUCAUAAAACUAAAUAAUGUUAAAUAAAAUAAAAUAAUAGUAAUGAGUCUUAAAAAUUAAUAUUAUUUUUAAUAUUAUUAACUUGAUUUUAUUUAAUAUUAUUUAUCCAUAGGCUUAUAAUUUUAUUUAUUCUUUUAAAAAAUUAAAUAAUAUUAAAUAAAAAAUAAUCAAUAGUGAACCUUAAAAAAUAAAUAUUAUUUUUAAUAUUAUUAAUUUUAUUUAAAAAAUAAAUAUUAUUUUUAAUAUUAUUAAUUUUAUUUAAAAAAUAAAUAUUAUUUAUUUUAUUUUAUUUUAUAUUAUUUAUUCAUAGGCUUAUUAAUAUAUUUAUUUUUUAAAAAGUUAAAUAAUAUUAAAUAAAAUAAAAAAACAAUAUUGAGUCCUAAAAAAUAAAUAUUAUUUAGUCAUAGACUUAUUAUUAUAUUUAUUCUUUUUAAAAAGAUAAAUAAUAUUAAAUAAAAUAAAAUUACAUUUUAAAAAGUCACCAGCAAAAGCAUAUAAACUUAUAAAUAAAUGUAAAAAAAAUAAAAUAAAAUAAAAUUACAUUUUCAAAGGUCACCAGCUAAAGUAUAUAAACUUAUAAAAAAAGGAUAAAUAAGAAGGAUAGUAAGGGGUUAAAUAAAAUUUAACAUACAUAACAUAAGACAAAAAAUGAUGGCACCUUGCAACUGUUGCAAGGUAGCUGGAUCCUAUUAAACCUAUAUGUUAUAAAACAAAUGAAAUAGGAUUAUGCAUGCAGUUAAAUAGGUGUAUUUUAGAAAAUCUAAUUCUUUUAAGGAGCUCUACAACCUAUUCUCCUAGAAGUCCAAAAUUUAAACUUCUCCUAAUAAAGACAAAAUAAUAUUUUUAAUAAACUCUAUUCAAUUUAUAGCCAAACGAUGCCAAAAAAUAUUCAAAAGCAAAAUUACUCUCUUGAUCUAUUAGUAGAGAAAUCAUACAAAAUGGACACUUAAUGGUCAAUUAUUUUCCCCCCCCCCUUUUUUUGUAGUUUUACUUUUCCUAUAAACAUUAUUGUUUAGGAAAUAAUAAUAACACUACAUACUCUCCACUAACACAUUAAUUAAUUAAGAGUAUUUCCUCACUAGCGCGCAUUUAAUUAUCAAAAGUACGGCUAAACUUUGGUAAUUAAGAAAACAAGUGAUAUUGGUGGCAAACUGGCAAUGACAAGAAAAUUUUAAUACCACAAAAAAAAAAAUUAUCAGUUACGUAACAACUGAAUAAUUAAUUAUAAAAGUGUUGUACGUACCUUAUCUGUCAAGUCAUUGGCCGUACUUUUAUAGUUCAACACCAAUUUAGGACAUCUCACUAUUUGUAAUUCUUUUAAAAAUGGAAAUUCAAAGUGCAGAUCUCCUGUACAGCAGAAGCUUGUGAGAUUUCCAAGAUCUGUUAUCUUUAGAUAUAGUAGCUGAGGGAACAUUACAAUAAUAUUAAGGGAGCUGCUACCUUACAUUAAACGUAAGGUACAGCCUUCUCACUAAUGGUGGAUUUUAAUGGAGCCCACAGAUAAAUUAUGUGAGUGGUUGUACCAUACGUUUUACGUAAGGUAGCAAAAUCCUAAUAUUAAUCUUGCUUUCUUCUUGGUCAUCCACGACUAUUAUCUCUUCCAAAACAUUGUUCACUCCCUCAACCUUCCACUGAAUGGGACUCUCACCAAUACACAGUUCUUCUAAGCGGGGUAAGCUUGAUAUGACAUUUGGUGGAAUAAAUUAUAGUUUGAAACAAUUGCUCAGGUCCAAACCCUUCAACUGGGUCAGCUGGCCUAUUUCUUCAACCAGAGUCUCCAUAUGAGAACCUUGAAGCGUAAGAAUUUCUAAUUUCUUCAGGUCUCCGAUAAUAGCUAUGUCACCUAGUUUGCAAUCAUCUAGAGACAGUGUUUGAAGGUUGUGUAAGAGACCAAGUGAAGAAGGCAAUGGCUUCAAAUGCAUCGUAGUGAAAUUUAAAACUCUAAGCUCUGUCAUCUCAGUAAAAAUGUCAUGUGGGAUUCUCAACGAAGGAUCACUGCCAAUAGAAAAGUAUUCACGGUGUGGACAUUCCAACUCUUGAGGAAGCUCACUAAUAUUACUAUUAUUUAAGGAGAUUGCAGUGCAAACCUUUAGUUUAUCCUUAUCUGGCCAUUUGAUCUGUGGGACAACAUCAUUAUCCACUACGAAUACAUGUUGGUCUCUUGAUGCAAUUGAUAUGGCUACAUCACGAACAACAUCAUGCAUAGCAAACCAUUCACUUGUAACUCCAUCAAGCAACAAGCAAGGGUUUUUGAGCUUAUCAACCAAUGUAAGCGCUCUAUCUCGUGCUUCUUCCAACGUGUUGAUGUUUUGAAACAGAGCCAAACCCAUGCCAUAACAGAGCAAGUCUUCAACACAACAGAUGAACGAGUACCCUAUUAGCAAUAAUGUUUCUUUAAGUUCCCUACCUUCUAAAUGAUUGUAACUCAACUCUACAGUUGAAUAGGCCACCGCUUGUGUCCCAGAGAAGCUUCUCAAAAAAGGCCUUUGUAAUUGUCGUAAAGCAUUCCUCCAUUCAUAGAGACUCUUAUUUUUCAACGCCUUUGCUACGGGUACAAUGGCAAUGGGCAAACCAGCACAUUCCUUGACUAUAUCUGUCGCUACAGAUUUUAGUUCACUAUUUUCUAUGCAAUCACCUGCCAUCUUCUUAAAAAGACUCCAAGCUUCUUUCUUAUUCAAAAUAUCGACAAAAGAAUUAUGUUGACAAUCCAUCUUACAAGACAACACAUCUUGACUUCUUGCUGUCAGCAGAACUUUACAUCUGCUGUUAUCAUCUGCUAAUGGAAUUCCAACAGCCUCCAAGUCAAGAAUAUUCUCCAUCGUCUUUAUUGUCCCUUUUUUAUAUUUUAUUUUUUCUUGUGUCGAAAGAAUCCUUCACUUAUUGGAAUAUCCAUGAUGACUGGGUGCAAUUGGAAGAGUCCAUGAAAUUCUUCUUUCAUUCGAGCUUAAAAUACUUUCUCCGAACAAUUAGAAUACAUUAAUAUUUUAUGAACUUGCUUAGUAGAUCAUUCAACUACUUAAUUGGUGUUGUUAAUUAAUUGGUUAUCUUCCCGGAAACACAUUAAAGACUCUCACAGGGAUUCAUUAAACCUUUUUGCUGGGUCAAUUCUACAAGCAUCAGACGUAAAAGCUUCAUGAUAAGAGCACAAGCCUAUCGUCUUCAAAAGCUCCCUCAAAAAGCUAGCUAUUUUCUUUAUUGUCAUUUCCAUCCAUUUUAACCCUCUCUUUUUUAUUUUGUACAACUUUGACUUGACUCUCAAAUAGAGAACAAUGAUAUUUAGACAGAAAAAUUUAAUAGAAUGUUUAAAAAUAAAAUAAAAUUAGUGUCGGUUUAUCUUGUACUAGUUUUACCUUAUUGAUGUCAAUGAUUUUCUAAGAGAAAAAUAAAACUUACAUUAAUUUUACCUUUGUUUCAUGAUGAGGUAAAAUAUGAUUUUUUUUUACUUUUAAAAGAUUUCUUUAAAUGAUUUUCAAGUUGAUUUAUUUGAUUGGACUGUCAAAUGGGUUUGGGCUUAGGCCACCCCUAAUUUUUUUUUUUUUCCAGUUUACCAUAAAAAAGAUUGGGUGUGUUGCAAGUGAGAUAUGGAUAAAAGGACAUAACUAUUUCUUCGUUGGAAAUUCGAAUAAAGAGAUAGAAAAAUUGGUAAACGAGUAGGAAAUAAUUUACGGGAAGGAUGAGUGGAUAAGAUUAGUGCUGGAGCCGUCGUGGAUUCAUUGCUAUGCAGAAUUAAAAAUUCAAGCUUAAACAGUUUUGGUGAAAUUUUUAUAUUGAAAUUCUUGUUAAUUAAUCAUUCACACUUUAAUGAAAGUAUUAAUAGCAGCCGUGUAACUCCCUAUUAAUUAAUUUAUAUUAAUAGCAGCCGUGUAACUCCCUAUUAAUUAAUUUAUAUUAAUAGCUACCGGUAACUCCCUAUUAAUUAAUUUAUCACGUGUUAUAUAUAUAAAGUAAUAUUUUAACAAUUAAUAGCGUAACAGGAUUUUUUUUUUUAUGUUGCUCUUUUACUCAAUUAAUUAAUUAACAUUUAUAAAUGAUCACUAAGUAUUCAUGAGUAUGUGACACAUGAGCUUAAACAUGAAUCAAUAUUUGCUAGUGCAUUGGUGGUUAGCACAAAUAACCACGAUGAUAGAGAGUGACAGGGAAGCAUUAAGGGGACGGAUCCUUUAAUGACCUGAUUUUUAAGCAAAUUUCACUUAUAUGUUUAUUGGUUAACCAAUUAAGAAAUAAAAAAAGUUAAAUUCUAAUAAUACAUUAAUAUUAAAAGGCAAGUGAUAUAAGUUCUUUAAACGUUCAGAAGAGAUCAAAUCAAAAGAGAAUUUUAAUUUGAAAAUAACUCUUGUAAAACUUAAGUUUUAUGUGCUCAUGAAAGUAGUUGUAAUUGAAGGCAUCUAUUGAAUAUUCAAUGGUUUAACUAAUUAUAUUCUUUAUAGACAGUUUGUAAAUUAAUCUCGUCACUACCACCAUGACUUGUAAUUUACUUGUUAGAAAAAGAAUCGAUUAUAAAUACUAAUUUGACUUUAUUGUGCUCUAGAGCAAAAUACAAAGUGGAUAUUUAGUGAUUAUUAGUUUAACUUACAAUGCUAGAUAUAUUUUAAGUAUACAUAUUAAGACAUAUAUACACACACAUACAUACACAGAUUUGCGUGCAUGCGCGCGCCAAGAGACAAACAAAUAUACGAUGAAUAGAGAUAUCCGGACCUAAAGACUUCAAAUUAAUGGUGAAACAUCUUUGCAAAUUAAACUAAGAAAAAUUGAAAAAGUAUUUUUAUCAUUUUAUGUAUGGAAUUCCACGUCCAUGCAUGCAUCUACCCAACAAAUGCCCUUGUAAUUCCAUGCAUGCAUCUACCCAACAAAUGCACUCGUAAUUAAGUAUGCAUAUGGUACAUCACAAAAUAUUGUCUUGGAAAAGUCUCAAUGGAUGACACAUGAUCAUGUCAUUGUACUUACACGCACAAUGAAUAAUCCUUGCGACGACUUGCACAAAAAAAUGGCUGUUUGUCCCUGUAGUUUAAGUACCUAUGGAGGAGUCAAUAUAUUUUUAGAAAUUUACUCAAAAAAAUCUACAUUAUAUUUUUUUUGGUUAAAAUCUAAUUAAUUAUUUUUUAUCUUUCAUCUGCUAUAUAUUAAAUUAGUUUGAAUUUUAAACUUUAUCAUAUAAAAUUUAGCUUUGAAAAUUUAUGUCCAACAACAAAGAAAGUAAGUAAAGAGACGUUCUCCAUAAUCUUUUAAAAUAUAAUAUUGACCAAACUGGAUAAUUGACUCGAAUUAUGGGGAUUAAAUUAGUAUUUACCUAUUUAACAAAUUUUAAAAUUAUUUUCUAAAAAAAUGUAAAUUAAUUUCUUUCUUUAUUAAUAAAAUUACGACAUAUCUAAGUAAUAUUCAUAUUGUGCUGAGAACAACUUCUUAGUAUAGCGAUGGUCUUACAUGUGGAGGGUUGAAAUCUUUUAUGCAUGCACAUGGAGUUAAUAGUAAUUAAAAGGGGGUGUGUAUACCACACACCUUCGAUUUGAAGACAAAAAGUGAUUGUCAUCUAUUUGCCCACGUACACACCAAAAAGUGAAUCAAAUCCUCGAACGACUCAAUGACGGGACAAGGAUUGGUUCUCCACUUUUGUACGGCUUUGAAUCACUUCUCUAUUCUAUUCACCCCGCAUCACAAACGUGGUGACGACGUAAUUACGAAAACAACUAUAAUCCAGCUGAAAACAAAUUCGUAGGCAUUUUCCCUUCAUUUAGACCAAAUCUAAAGUUCUGAAUGAAAUGAAAGAGAAAGCCAACUUGAAUUACAUUUUUUCCGGCAUUUUUUGGUCGAACGAACCAUUUCACUUGGGAUCAUAAUGAGUCGUUGCAAAGAAAAUGUUAUUUUGAUUAUUACUUUGUUUAAUAUUCUUGUUUGCGGUAUUUUGAUUUGAGAGAGAUAUGAGUCUCAAAGGAAUGUCGGAUUCUGUGCUCACAUGAUGAGCUAUAUAAUAUAUGUUGGUUUUACUUAAGGUUGUUGUAAUUAGUGGUUUAAAAAAAAAAUAACUAGCACAACUCUAAUAAAUAAUGGAUAAAAAUUCCUAAUUAAUUUGAAUUCAUCUCUCAUUUGUCAUUUGUCAUCUCUUUUAUAUAAAGUAUGACUAUAUAUGAGAGAUAUUUUAUUGUAUAUAGCUAUUUCUUUUUUUUGUUAUUUCUAUCGACUUCAUGAGCACUGUCUUAGACUUUUCCCUUUCUGUAACAAUCUUGGUUUAACUAUGAACUAAAUAUUUUUCUUUUCAAUCAUUAAUUAAUAUUAGGUGGGUGGAUCUACUAACACGGUUGCACCUAAUUACCCACUAUAAAAUUUUAUUCUCAAUCCCCAUGGAAAAGUGUGCAUGCCUAUAUAUAAUCGGACUUCAUUAUCAGUGUUAUGGAUAGAGGAAUUAUUAAUUUUAAAUUAAUAAUUAUUUUAAUCAAUUUGGCAAUGUAUAUCUUAUCCUUAAUUAAUUUAUAUGAAUGAAUAUCAAGUGUAACGUAAAAUAUUAUUUGUGUUGCACAUGUGGACAAAUUAAAGAAUACAAAGAUUCCUUAAACAAGAUUCAAAGUAUAUUAGAAUUCGUAAUGGGGUGUUUGGAAACAAAGAAAAAAACAGAGAAAAUGAAAAAGGAAACUUCUCGAUUUUAUUAAUCAGAAUAUUCAAUACUUAUUAAGCUUACUUAGCUAAGCUUAUAUACAAUUAUUCUAACUAAUUAAACAACUUCAAACCAACUAACAACUUCAGAUUUAGUUUAGCCAUUGAGCUCUUGCCACAUGUCAUUCAGUUACAUUCAAUCUUGACACAUCAGUCAGCUCUGUCCAGCUCAGCAACUAUAUCUUCAACAUCCCCCCUCAAGCUCAACCGAGGAAGUAAGGUUGAGCUUGUCACGUAAGUAGAGAAAAGGAUGAUAAGAAAGAGCUUUGGUGAGAAUAUCAGCAGUUUGUUCUGAGCUAGAAAUAUACUGAACCUUAAGACAUUGAGCAGCAACUUUCUCUCGAACAAAAUGAACAUCUAAUUCAAUGUGUUUUGUUCUGGAAUGAAACUUAGGAUUAGAGGCUAAAGCAGCUGCACUUUGAUUGUCACACCAUAUGAUUGGAAUGGAGGAAAGAGCAAGGCCAAUCUCAGCAAGAAGAGAGCGAAUCCAUAAGACUUCAGCUGCUGCCAUAGCUAGUGCUCUAUAUUCAGACUCAGCACUAGAUCUAGAGACCACUACCUGUUUCUUAGAGCACCAAGACACUAGAUUUGGACCCAUAUAGACACAAUAACCAGCCACUGACCUCCUAUCAUCUCUGUCUCCAGCCCAAUCAGCAUCACUGAAACAAUCAAUCUGUAUGCUACCAUGAUUGUAGAACUGUAAACCAAGAUCAACAGUGCCCUUCAGAUAACGUAAAACCCUUUUACAAGCCUGCCAAUGAUUGACAGUUGGAGAAGAUAGAAACUGACUAAGCUUGUUGACAGAGAAAGCAAUCUCUGGUCUGGUCAAUGUUGCAUACUGAAGAGCACCUAUGGUGCUUCUGUAUAGAGUAACAUUAGAAAAGGGUUCACUAUCAGUUUUAGUAAAAGCCACUUCAGAAAGCAUAGAAGUAGAACAAGGUGUACUAUCCUGCAUGUGCACCUUGGCAAGCAAAUCAGUGAUAUACUUGGAUUGAGAAAGAUGAAUACCAGAUUUGUUGUAAAGGACCUGAACUCCCAGAAAAUAAUUCAAUGCACCAAGAUCUUUAAGUGCAAAAACAGACUGGAAGUUAGUGAUAGUCUGCUGAACAAGCUGAGGAUUGGAGCCUGUAAUAAUGAUAUCAUCUACAUACACCAAGACAAGUAGCAGAUGACCUUGUGUGCUCUUAAAGAAGAGUGAAGUAUCUGAAAUAGAAUUUGUAAAACCCCAUUGAGUUGUAAGAACUAAUUUGAGUCUAUCAAACCAUGCCCUUGGAGUCUGUUUAAGUCCAUAAAGAGCUUUGUGCAACUUACAGACAUAAUCAGGCCUGGAACUAUCUACAAACCCCUCAGGCUGUUGCAUAUAAACUUCUUCAGUGAGGUAGCCAUUAAGGAAGGCAUUAUUAAUGUCUAUUUGCCUUAGUACCCAAUGAUUCAUGACAGCUAUACUCAAGACAAUUCUGAUAGUUGAAGACUUAAUGACAGGACUGAAUGUUUCAUGAAAAUCCAGCCCUUGAGUUUGAUGAAACCCCUUAGCAACAAGUCUAGCUUUGUAUCUAAAGACACUGCCAUCAGGAUUAUAUUUAAUCCGAAAUACCCACUUAUUCCCAAUUACUUUAAUGGGAUGUGUAGGUUUGACAAGAGUCCAUGUAUGAUUAUUGAUUAAUGCUUGAUAUUCAUCUGUCAUUGCUUUAUGCCAAGCUGAAUCUUGAAGAGCUUUUGAGGUAGUAGCAGGUUCUGUAGGUUUGGUAGGAUUGGCUGUAAUAUAGGCUUUAGGUUUGAAGAUACCAGCCUUUGAUCGAGUGAGCAUUGGAUGACCAGUAGAUGACUGCAAUGGUGGAGUUAAAUGAUGGACAGGUGAGGUAGAUGGUUUUGAGUGUGAUUGUAUAGAAGAUUGAGAAGAAGAGUCUGGAGAGGAUUGAGAGAACCUGAGAUCAGCUGCUGUAGAGGAUGAAGACUUGGUUAUAUCAAGUUGAAUCAAAAGACAAACAGAAGAUGAACAAUGUGAAGAAGAUUGAGAUGAAUGAUCUGAAGAAGAGCAAGAGUGACUGACAGAGGAAAAAUCAACUCCUGACUGAAAAGGAAAACAUAACUCAUCAAAAGUAACAUGGUUACUGACAUAGAUUCUACUAGAGGAAUGAAGACACAAGUAGCCUUUGUGAAGGGAGCUGUACCCAAGAAAAAAUACAUCUAGCAGUUCGAAACUCUAGCUUAUGAUGAUUAUAAGGCCUCAGAUAUGGGAAACAAGCACACCCAAAAACUCUCAUAACAGAAUAAUCUGGUCUUUUGUGGAAUAAUUUUUCAAAUGGUGAUUUGUUAUCUAGAAUGGGCGUAGGGAGCCUAUUUAUGAGAAAUGUGGCAGUAUGGAAAGCAUUCCACCAAAAUUUCAAUGGUAAAUGUGCUUGAGCAAAAAGAGUAAGGCAUGUUUCCACUAUAUGUCUAUGUUUGCGUUCAAUCUUUCGAUUUUGAUGGUGAAUAUAAGGACAAGGAUGUCUAAAUUGGAUUCCCUGCUCAGCAAGAUAAGAAAGAAAUGGCCUAAAUUCACCUCCCCAAUCUGUUUGAAGACAUUUGAUUUUCCUAUUUAGGCAUUUUUCUAUCAUAUGCUGGAAUUCAAUAAAGGUUUGUAAGGCUUGAGAUUUGGUAACAAGAGGGAAUAUCCAGGUGAACCUAGUGAAGUCAUCUAAGAUGGAAAGAUAGUAGUGAUAGCCUUGAGAGGACAGCAAAGUAGCUGGUCCCCAUAGAUCAGCAUGCAACAACUCCAGUGGUUGAAUGGUAGUGGUGUCUACAAAGGGAAAAUGCUGCAUGUGACACUUUCCAAAUUGACAAGCAUUACAAAAAAUUGGUUUGAGGACUCUAUUGGUAUCGAGAGAAUGAUGUAAAUGCUUCACAAUUUGUUUAAGAGCAUGCACAGUUGGAUGACCCAUUCUUUUAUGUAAAACAUUGUAAUCAACUGAGUUUGAGUGAGUAACAGACAAGGCCAUUGAGGCUUCAUUAUUGAAUUGAGAAAUAUUUACAUCUGUCAAAAUUUCUCCAGAAUGUAUAGAGUUUGAAACAUUGGAAUGACUAAUCAUUGACACUGGAGAAGAACAGACAUUUGACACAGAACUGGAAUUUGAGGUGACACAGAAAACAUUAGACUGAACUCUAUUUGAAACUGCAGCAUGAGACACUGCAACAAGACCUUCAACUUGAUAUAAUCCUCCUCUAGCAAUCCCCUUGAGCAAGAUGAUCCCUGAGUUCUUGUCAUUGACAAAACAGAAUGUUUUAUAGAAUUCAACAACAACAUCAUUGUCAGCCAGUAGUUUAGAUACACUUAAAAGGUUUUUGGUUAUAGCUAGGACAUGCAAAAUAUUAUUGAGAUAGAUAGAUGUUGCAGCAAGUGUAUUCAAUCGUGUGCAGCCAACAUGUUUAAUAUGUAAUCCCAUGCCAUUUCCUACAUGUAGCUUAUCAAAACCAUGAUAAACUGAGUAAGAAGAGAAGAUACCUGCUUCCUUAGUCACAUGAUUUGUUGCUCCUGAGUCAAUAUACCAAGCAGGAUCAGCUACAACUCCAUAAUCAACAACUGGACCAGUGGAAGCAAAUUGUGCAGUGGGAAUAGCAGAAGGAGCAACUCCAUAGUUAGCAAAUGGAGUAGCAAUUGCACCAUUGUAUUGACCUUGUAAUCCUUGAAACACAGGAAACCCUUGAGGAUACAUAACAUUUACAUUCUGAUAUGCAACAUUCCCUUGAAACAUGGGUGCAUUAUAUCUAGGAGCACCAGUUGCAGUUCCAUAAAAAUUUCCAUAACCUCUGCCAAACAUGUUCUGAGGCUGACCAGGAAAGCCUCUAAAAUUGAAUCCACCUCUAGGCCUAAAGCCACCUCUUCCUUGUCUAGGAAUAAAGUUCAGAUUAAAUAUGUUCCUGCAUUUGUAUGCUCCAUGACCAGGUAUGAAGCAUAUUUGACAAAUCACUUCCUUAUCAACAUUAUAUCCUCCUUUGCCAUUAUCCAUUCCAGUAAAAUUUCCACCAUUAAAACCUCUCUGAUUAGCAUUAUUUAACUUAUUGUAAUUCUGUCCUUUUUGAACAAAAUUAGCUGACAUAUCAUGCAACAAUUCAUUUUGCACCUUUCCCUUACUCAUCUCAACCCUAGUUUCAUGACUAAGCAUUAAGGAAUACACUUCUUCAACAAUGAGAUUAUCUUUUUCCAGCCUAGCAAGUAUAGUUGUCACUAAUGACUCAUAAUUGUCAUCUAAACCAGUAAGCAAAUGCAUUAUAAAAUCUGUUGAAGCAAGAGGAUUACCACCAAUAGCUAAGUUGUCUGCAAUUUUUUUCAUCUUAUCGAAGUAAUCACUUACUGACAUAGCUCCUUUCUUUGUGGUUUGAAUCUGCAUUUUCAGAGGCAUGUAUCUAGCCUUUGACUGUGACAUGAACAUCUCGGCAAGUUUCUCCCAGAUCUCAAGUGAGGUAUCACAAUCCACAACCAUGAUAAGUACAUUGUCUACCAUAGAUGACAACAUCCAGCUCUGUAGAAGCUUCUCAGCUUUCUUCCAAUCAAUAUAGUCAGAAUUUUCACGUCUGCUUGAGCUAGGAGCUUCUGAUCUACUGGCAGCAUUCUCAUAUGAGGAAAGAAAACGAUAUGGACAAGGAGAUUCACCAUUGAUAAAACCUUCAAGACCAUUGGCAAUAAUCGAAGCUUGAAUUUGAGCUCUCCACACCAGAUAAUUUGUUCGAUCAAGUUUUGUUGGUUGAAUAAAGGAAAAAGAAAGUGAAGACGAUCCUGAAUUGCUUUGAUUCGUCAUGUUUCAUAGCUCUGAUACCAUAUUAGAAUUCGUAAUGGGAUGUUUGGAAACAAAGAAAAAAACAGAGAAAAUGAAAAAGGAAACUUCUCGAUUUUAUUAAUCAAAAUAUUCAAUACUUAUUAAGCUUACUUAGCUAAGCUUAUAUACAAUUAUUCUAACUAAUUAAACAACUUCAAACCAACUAACAACUUCAUAUUUAGUUUAGCCAUUGAGCUCUUGCCACAUGUCAUUCAGUUACAUUCAAUCUUGACACAUCAGUCAACUCUAUCCAGCUCAGCAACUAUAUCUUCAACAAAGUAUGAUAUAGAAAAGAAUUUAAAAUUAAAAAAAAAAAGUAAAAUAGUAAUUUGAAUUUAACGAGAUUCAUGUACAGGAAGAAAAGGAAUUAAUAAAGUGAUGAAAGAUUGGUAAUCGUGGCAAGUAAUCUUAUCCAUGUACGCGGCGGCACGACCCAGGACUUGGAAAUUAAAUAAUGAAACUUCUUUGCAAACUUAGAAACUACAAAUUAAUGAAGAGACUUUGACGAGUAAUUUAUCAUUUUAUGCAUGGAAUUCCACGUGCAUGCAUGCAUGUUCUCCACGCUUGGAAAUUUUGCAAACGGCCUCUCCCUUUGAUGGGAGGGACAGUUUUCGUACAUCAAUUUUGAAAAUGUCCUCUAACAAGUGUCUCGAUUAUUGGAUAACAUGUGCAGUCCUUUUCAUUAAUAACACGUCCUUCAACAAUCCUCAUUGCAAUAAAGAAUUUACGGAAAAUUUCUAUAAUACAUCAUACUACAAAGUUAGUCAUACAACAAAUAGAUAAUACUUAUAUUUUAUAAAAUUAUCAUGUAAUUGAUGAUUAUAUCAAAUUUAACUACAUAUAUUAUAUAUACAGUAGUUGAUUAUAUUGUCUUUGAUGUAUUGUAAAAUUUCUGAUUUUAUGGACAUAUAAUAUAGAUUAUCAAGGUUUAAGUUUUUUCACACGCGCGUGCACACACACACACAUAUAUAGAAGUGACUAAUGAGCCUUUUUCUUUUUUCAUUUUGAGAAAAUCUCAAGUACAUAAAAUGUAUUAUAACCAUUUAGUGAAAUGAGUUAUGACACAUGCAUUUUGAUUUUAGUAUACUAUAAUUAUCUUCUUCUUCUUCUUUUUUUUCCAACUUAAAUGCACACAAGGAUGGCAAUGGGGAGAGGAGGGAGGAGACUGACCUCCCUGUACCCAUCCCCGAAAUUCUACAUAUGUAUCAGUCCCUUCCCUGUCCUCAACAAAAUUGUUGUAGGGAAUUUUCGUCCCCUCCCUGAAUAAUAAUAGGGGAUCCUUGAGGGUCCCCGAUCUCCGAAUAACCGAUACGUUAUUUAGUUUUCAAUUUUAAUUUUAUCAUAUUAAAAAAAAUUAAAUAAAAAUAAAGUUUGACGAUAUAUUUUAUACUAACAUUAAUCCAUUACAAAAGUCACAUUACAAAAUAUAAAUCACCAUAAUAAUUAUUUUCGUCAAUCUUCAUAAUCCUACAAUAAAAAAAAAUUACUUUUAUAUCAACAAUGAGAUAAAUGAAAUGAAUAUAGAUACUUAAUCAAUAUUUUUAAUAAAAGUAUUUACCUUUUACGUCUCCUGUUCCUCUUGUUCUUUCUCAAGAAAUGUGGUAAAUUAAGAGAUAGACUCAGGUUUUAAAUUUAAAACAAUAAAAAUAAUAUAAGUAAUGUAACUUCUAAGAGAAACUAUUAAAAAUUAUGUAAUAUAAUUACAAGGUAAAAUAAACUCAUAUUGCCAUUGUAAGCUUGUAGCUAACUUUGUAACACAUUAAAGCCUCCAAUGUGCUUGAAUGAAGCUGAAUGAAGCCUGUUAUGGUACUCUAUCACUGAUGCUAAAAGCUAGCUUGGAAGCAACAAAUUGUAAUUGGAAUUGCCAAAAUAUCUCUAGCAAUUCAUGCCAAUAUAGGAUACCUAUGGGCAUUUGUUUUCCACCAACUCAAAAUAUUAAAAUCUUUCAUUCGUGGCAUAACUUUCUCAUCCAAAUAUUAAUCUAGUCAAUUAGGCCCAAAAGUUUAAUAAUAUAAUUAUUUUGAUAUUUGUUAUUUAUACUAAUAUUUAAUAUUUUAUUAUUUACAUCUUAUUAUUUAUUUACUAAUAAAAAUUAAAAUAAAAAUUAAAAUUAAAAUAGGAAAAUGGGGGAAGGGAUGGGGAUUCCACCUCAUCCUCGUCCUUUCCCCAAAUAAGAAAUUGGGUAAAAAAUUAUCCUUAUCCUUUCCCCGAAUAAGAAAUUGGGUAAAAAAUUAUCCUUAUCCUUUCCCUGAAUAAGAAACUGGGUAAAAAAUUGUCUUUUUACCCUCCCGGAAUAGGAAAAAUCCCUAAGGGUUCCCUUCCCUGUGGGGAUUUAUGUCAUCCCUAAAUGCACACUUAUGUGAAUGACUAUAGAUUAUAUAGAAAAGUUUAUCAUUUUAUUGAAAUUCUAACCAUUCUCACUGCAUAUUAAAGGGAGGUUGGCAGUUUUCUUCACGUAGAAAUUAAUAAAUACCAUUUCCAUUUCUCUUCUUAUUGUUUUUAUAAUAAUCAAUAACUUUCAUUGAUCAUAAUUCUACAAAAUUAUUCUUAUUUUAAAAUAUUUUAAAAUUUAUUUAAUUAUUAAUCUUUAUUAUUAAUUAAAUAAAUUAUAUAAACAGAAAUUGAAAUAAAAAUUUAAAUAUUGGAAAUAAGAAAUAUAAUUGUCGGUAUCGAAACUAAUAAGAAUAUAUUUUUCUUAUUUUUUAAUCUUUAAAGAUAUUUUACUAUAAUAAAUAUAUAUUUUAUAUUUUCAAAAUAAAAUAUUAAGCAAACGACCCAUUUACCUUUACUUUCCUUUAAAUAUUUCAUACCAAAAGAUUAUUAUCUAUUAUGAAAACAAUAGAGGAGUAUAUAUUUUACAUUAAUUUCGACAGGGAGAAACUAUCAAUACCCUUAAAAAAUAAAUAAGAUUUUUUUAGAGCUUAUUUAAAUAGAGUUUUUGUUAAUAGAACUUUUGUAAAUAGAGUUUUUACUAAAAAAAAGUUUAGUUGUUUGAUUGUUAAUAAGAACUUUUAUUAAAAAUUUAUGAAAUUACUUUAAUAGACAAGUUUUUUAAAGUUAUAUUAUGAAAACAAUAAAUAAGAUUGUUAAAUAAGUAGAUGAUAUUUUAGAUAUUUUAAUAUUUAAAAAAAUCUUUUAAACCUCUAUUCUUAAAAGUUUAAAAUUUUAACUUUUACUAGUAGAGGUAAAAUAACUUAUUUAAAAUUCAAAAUUUCUAUUAAAAAAAUAACUAAACAAUAAUAAAAAUUAUAAUAAGAACUUAUGAAAUUAAAUAAGUACUUAUACUCAUUAAAUAAAUUAUACCAAACACGCACUUACUUAACAGUUGAUUGUGAUUUGUGAAUGACAUUUUAUUCCACCCCGUUGCAAUUGUUGCUUGUUUUCCACGGAUAUCUUGAUUACGUUUGCAAGCUUAUGUUAUAAGGGCUUCGUCAUUGCCAUUAUUACGAAAUUAAAUAGACUAAGAUUGUUGACCUAAUUUGAAAAUUCCUCCAUUGUUUAUUAUUUUUCCCUUUCUAAUUUAUCAACAUCAGCCAUAUCGAGUCAUUCUUUAAAUCAAAACCCUUGUGGAAGACGAAAUAUUAACUUACUGUCUUUUCUCAACAACUUUUUAGGUGAGAUUAGUUUAAUUAAUUACAUGAUAAAUAAUAGUUUUGAGUACACAUGUAUGAUAUAAAUUUAAGAUUCUUUUCUUUUUUGUCGUAAUACAUAGAAUUAAUCAACCUAUUAUUAUAACAAAAUAAUUAAAAUUUAUGAGUUGAAGUUGUCAGAAAAAUAAACUUAUUUCCAAUGAAUGGCAUUUGGAGGAACAAAAUCAAUCCGGAAGUUUUUUUACGCGGAAAAAAAUCAAUUAAAAUUAAUGAUGUCCAAAUGUCCAAAUAUGGUGAGAAAUUGAAUUCUUCAAAACCUUGCUGUUUCUUCAUAUUUCAUUACAAAUUUACCAAUUCUUUUCUCUAAAUUCUAGUAUUUGUCUUCGUACAAUGUAAACUUAUUCCCUAAGAUAUGGUUAAAAAAAAAAUUAAUAAAAUCUAAUCAUUUGGUAGUGCGCAAACUAAUAUCAUAACUAAAAUGAAGUUGGUAAAUUUUGAUAUAAUUAUCUAUUAUUAAUAAUUAGGUGGGCCUAAAUGUUCCAACUUCCAAAUACAGUAAAACAAUCCAUCAUCUACAUUAUUCUAUAUUUUGGAGAGAAAAAGGAAAAGACAAAAUCUUUUAGAUAAGGAAAAAAAAAAAAAAAACCUCAUGAAAAAGCAAUUGAAUUAAAAAGUAGAAAUUUCUUUACAUUUUCGCCGGAGAAACAGAGUCAAAUUCAAAUACGACGACUCAAGCGCAAAAAGCCUAUAAAUAAAGCCCCGCUCCAGUUCCCUGUCAGAGGCUACGGAUUUGAGAGAUUAAAGAACAUCAACCGAACAGUGAGACUCCGUACUCUUCACAAACUUGCAAAAACUUUUAGGUAAGAGUUCUGCUAUUUGCCCCGGGUCAAACCCCGGGUCAAGCCCCGAAGAUUGUAAAACGACGCCGUUUUGACAAUUAAUUUUUUUUUCAUUUUAAAAUAAACACCAGCUUCUUCGUUUCUCUCUCUCUUUUCAUUUCGUUCUUUUUCUUCCUAAGUACAGAGCAUUGUUAUCUUCCUUCACAGCCCCCUCUAAUUCCUCCAAAUCUGCCUUUUUUAGUUUUUUAAAUCCAAAGAUAAUGUUCAACUGAAAGUAACAGAGCACAAUUGUGAUCUCAGCACAUGUGACAAUGAGAAUCAGGAAGACAAGCAGGAGGAAGCCAAAUAGGUAAUAGAACUGAUGCAACCAUAUUGAGGUGAGAAUGAAAAAGAGCUCAAUGAAGAUGGCUCCAAAUGGAAGUAUGCCCCCAAUUAGGAUAGAGAAGAUGGGAUUCAUGUACCAGGGCUGCUCUGGAAUCUGUCUUGGGAUCUUGUUGGUUUUCACAGGAUCCUCAAUUGCUGGCUUUCUAAAACCAAUAUAACUACCCACAAAGACAAGUGGGACAGAAAUGCCAAACCAUAAAAAGACCAAAGCAAACAUGGUUCCAAAUGGCACUGCACCAGAGGAUUUCUCGCCCCAAAUUAAAGCAUUUAGGACAAAGAAAAUGGCAAAGCAAAUUCCAGGGAACAUGAAAGCUGUUUUGAGAGUGAUUUACAUAUUUUUUCAUUUUCCAAAACUAGGAGAGAGAUUGCAGGGACUGUGGCUGGAAAGAAUUAUUGUUUAUAAAUAUAUAUAUAUAUUUUUUUUUGCUAUGAUGGCUGUCGGUGGUGGUGAUGCCGAUGGCUGGGUAUGCAUGAUGGUAGCUGCCGGUGCCUGUUGGUGGUGGUUGUCAGUGGUGGUGGCUGUGAACUGUGAAACGAAGAGGAAGAUGAAUACAACGCCAAAAGGUUGUGAGACAAAGAGGAAGAGAAGGUAAUUUGGGGCUGCCUUAACUAAGCCAAAACGACGUCGUUUUAAUGAGAUUGAAAACAAAAAACAAAAAAGUUGAAACGACGUCGUUUGGAUUAAUUUCGGGGUUUGACCCGGGGUUUGACUCGGGGUAAGUAGCAUUUUCCUUUAGGUAAUUUUUUUCGAUUAAUUUUUUAAUUUUCGAGAAUAAAGAGAGAGAGAAAAAAAAACAGAUGGGAUUAUGUUUGUCUGGGAGUGAUGUGAGGGGAGGGAAACAAGCCGUAGGUGGGGCCCACCUCCGGCCCACCAGCGCGGCUGAUCACCACAAUGUCUCUGGUCAAAAUGACGCCGUUGAUUUCUUCUUCAAAUCUCGCGGCCUUCAUGCCCUUUUCACCCAAAUCGAGGUAUGUGUGUGUACCUGAAUUAUAUGAGUCUUUCACUGCCACUAUUAAUAAACUAUUUUCAGUUAAUUAAUUAAUUAAGUAAAAAUCUAUGAUUAGUUUAUGUUUUUUAAUUUAUUUUUAAUUUUUUAAAUCUGAUUUCGUUCAUGUUGGUAAUUGUGAUGGAUUCUCAAAUGGUCACUCUUUUGAAAAUCUAUUAUCAAAUUAUGUUUGUUAUUAUUACUUAUUUGAUGACUUUUCAGUGUAACAUCGAACAACUUAAAUCAUUUAUAUUUGAUAAAAGUUAUUUGAUAAUUCGAACAUAACUAGAAAGUAGAUUCCUAUUCAAGAAUCAACCGCAAUCCCAAACAUGCCUUUUUUUUUUUAAUUUGUUCUGGUGGCUGAUCUUUUGCUAGUGUUGGUUCGACGGUUUCACACCAAGCAACUGCUUUUGUUUUGCAUAUGGAGAACAGUAAGUUUAACUGCUUAUACCCAAUGACAACAUUCUGUGAAGUGAAUUUUAGAUUAAGAUUGGUUAAGGUAAAUAAAAAAAGAAUGGUGUUGAAUGCACAGUGGCCUUGUGAACAUUGAAAAAGUCGAUGUUUGAUCCUGUUGAAUGCACAGUGGUUUUCCUGUGUAUCCUCCAAGUUGACUAUUCUGUUCUGCCUCAUUUAUCAAAUUUGACUCAUACCCCUCGUGAUCAAAUUUGACUUAUACCCCUCGUGAAGAUUCCCCAUGAUAGUGCUCCCCUGAUUGGAACAUGAUUUUGUGAAUGCUGGUUUGCAUAAGACAAACCAUUAACUUUAUAAAAGAUUGUGGAUUAAGGAUUAUGUUGUUACGAGGAUAAGAAUGUCUUUCCAUAACGUGGACCACCAAGUGAUUGUAAUAUUCCUGUAUUGAUGUGGACCUUACCUGAGGAUCUCCUUGCAAACUUUCCUGGAGAAAAGGCAACAAGUCAUAUGAUAACAAAUUAAAUGUGGUUCAAUGCUUGUAAUUGACGUGUCACAUCCUGUUGUUAUAUAAAACUUAAUUACAUAUAUUAUUGCUUGCUGCUUAUAAGAUUUAAUAUUAGAAGUGAUUCUGUCAGAAUCCGAAAUGAUGGUUUUCUGCAUGUUCUGUUUAUGACAGAUAUAUAUUGCCUGUCAGUUGACCCACAUCGUACUGACAAUUUUCAUUUCGUGCAGCAUAUGCAUGGAUUACUCCUUUUCCGCUUUUUCAUGUAUCUGUAUUCGUUCUUACGUUUUUGAAUAUAUAUUGCAGUUAUCUUUAUCUGCUUCAAAGUUACGUGAUCUUGACAUCGCAUCAAAGGUACGCCUUCAUAUCAUUGUUGUCUUAUGUCUGAUAAUGCCAUGUUCAUGCUGUUGAUAGUCUUGGUGAUUGAUUCUCAUGUUAUCUUGUAUCCUCCUUAUAUGAUCUGCUUAUUUGUUCAUAAUGGCCCUGUCAAUUUCCUUUCUCUGUUCAUAAAGGGUCUAGGGAUAUAUGAUCUGAAUAACGCUUAGCGCUGGCACCAAAAUUCUAAACUUAGACAAAGAAGAAUAGUUUGUUAUAUACACUGUCUAUCUCCAAUGUAAUCCAGUAAGGAGCAGUAACUUGAGAGUUCCAGAUAAUGUAGAACAAGUCAUGGUUGGUGGUUUUAUUGUUUUUGCAAUUUUGAGCACUAGUCAAAUAUGUUAUAUGGUUUUAUUGUUUUUGCAAUUUUGAGCACUAGUCAAAUAUGUUAUAUGUGCAAGAUAAAAUUCUUUGAUAAUGAACAUUUAUCAGCCGUAUAUCUUUUUACUGGCUGAUACUAGCAUACAUAAAAUGCUGCUGUAUUUUAACGAUGGAUUACUAACUAAAGUUAUUUAACUAAUAAAUGUCUAUAUUUAUAUGACAACUAAAGUUAUUUAACUAAUAUAUGUCUAUAUUUAUAUGACAUAAGUGGAUACAUACCCAUAUGCCUUCUGUUUUUUUUUUUUUUAUAUUCACAAGCAAAUGUAUUUACAUUCUUUUUGUGUCAUAGAGUGAUCCCAUGGCAGUUGUGUAUGCAAAGAAAAGAGAUGGGAGGCUGGACGAGAUUGGACGUACAGAGGUGAUUAUGAACAAUCUGAAUCCUGCUUGGAUUGGAAAGAUUUCAAUUGCUUUUCAGUUUGAGAUCGUCCAGCCCUUGCUGUAAGUUUUUAGUGUGUUCUUUUUAAAGUUUUUUUUUUCUUGAUAGGUCAUGCGCUUAAGCCUUGCUUGAUUUGAUAAUAUUUAAUGUUUUCGAAUUUCUUAAUGCUUUUCUUCUUUUUCCAGCUUUCGUGUGUAUGAUGUGGAUACCAAGUACCACAAUAUUCCAGUGAAGGUAUAAAAUUUCUUAAUUAUUUUUUUUUCUCUCAAUUCAGAUGUAAAUGAUACGCACAUACUUCAGUUCCAAAGUUUAGAGUUAGCCAAGGCAUUUGACUGAUCCAUUUGUUGUCUAAGCAUACGUCUAAACUAAAUUGCAUCAGCAAUAGUUUCUAUCAAUUUCGGGAAAUUUGGGAAUACUUGAUUGAUUAUAAACUAACAUUUAGCAUGGCAAGAAACUUAAAAAGUUGGCUGUCAUAUACCAUAAACAAAUCUUAAGGCCAGGGUAGUUAUUAUGGAACUUUCUGCUAUUGCAUCUUGCAAGGUUUGACAUAUUUGUCCUGCUACCAUAACUGGGAAAGAACAAUUUUUCUGAUGGUCCUUACGGCUAAAUUUUCUUUUUUCCAAAAUGGAAUUUUGAUCUAUGUUGUUAAAAACAAUACAGUUAAAUAGUUGUUGCCAUGGCCUAAAGAAGUUUCUGUAAAAAAUGACCAUAUUGUCAGUAUUGAAAUGGAUAAGUAAAUCUUUAGAGCCUAUGAUGUAUUCGUCUGUGGAAUUUGAGUCAAAAUGAAAAAAAUUUGAUGGUUAUAAUCCUAGAAACUGUAAUCAUUUGGAAGCAUUUGCUGAAAACAGUUAGAUAAUCUAAAAAUGUGAUGAUUAUUUAUGUCAAUUGUAAAUGGUAUUAACAUUACUGGGAAAAAUGAUAAAUAUGUAAAUUUAUGCCAGUGGAAAGAGAAAAUGAACAAAUCCAGAUGGAUUCUAAGACAUUAAGUAGGAAAUCUAGUGUUCUUUUGAUUCUUUACAGCAGUGAUCCCUAAUUACUUUCAAGUCAUUAUUAUCUCAUGACAAAAUAUUUGUUGAAGUGUGAAGUUUAAAGCUCAAACUUCUUAUUUACAUUGCCCUGCAGAUGCUAAAGUUGGAGGAUCAAGACUUCCUGGGAGAAGCUAGCUGUGUUCUCUCUGAGGUAAGUUUCUGGGUUAUAUUUUGUUUGAUGAAUUUAUGUAUUUUCUCUUUAUUCAAUGGGCAAAAUAUGCCCAUCUAAUUUUCUGUAAAAAUCUGUUUCCUAUAAAAAAAGGGCAAAAUAUUCUCAGAUGCUUUUUACUAGCAUUCGUCUUCUUCUUUAGCAUUCUUCUUUUGCACUAACAAGUGUCAUAUUUUCCUUUUAAAUGGCAGAUAGUGACCAAACAAAAUCGAACUUUAACCUUAAAACUCCAUAACAAUUAUGGGCUUCGAGUUUCAAGAAACUUUGGGAUACUCUCUGUCCAUGCUGAGGAAACGGUUGCUUCCAAAAGUGCUGUUGAAAUAGCAUUCCGUUGCUCGUAUUUGCAAAAUGUAGACCUGUUUUCCAAAAGUGUAAGUUCUGACAAAGUAGCUAAGUUUGGAGGUUCACUAAUUAAUCUAUUAAUUUAGAUGCUAUUUUUUCUUCUUCUUAUAUUGCAUAGGAUCCAUUCUUAAGAAUAUCUAGAAUUGUUGAGAGUGGGGAUUUGUUCCUAUCUACAAGACGGAGGUGAUAAACAAUAACUUGAAUCCCAUUUGGAGACCAAUAACUUUGAGCAUGCAGCAAUUUGUGAGCAAGGUAACCUUGUCAUCUUCUUGUGCUUGUUACUUAAAUGUAUAUUAGGUAGUGAAGUUUGGUCAUGGGGAAAUGUUUUUUAGUUUAUGAUUCACUUUGGUACAGGAAAACCCAUUAAUCAUUGAAUGUUUUGAUUUCAAUACCAGUGGAAAUCACGUACUGAUGGGGUAACUGUUAAAUUUCUUAAUGUCAUCAGCUUCCCUCUUUUAUCCUUUUGCCUUUCUGAUGUCAAGGUUUUCUAUUUCUGUUAUUAGUAAAAUUCAGAAAUCAGUUGGAGACCUGGAGAAACUUCAUCAAGAAAGAACUGGUGCAACUUUUAUGUUACCAUCAACUCAACGUGGCCAUGACAAGGUGUGUAUUCUUUUUUGUUUUAACUCCACCAAAGGUGUUUGUUCAUGCUUACAGUUUUUGAUAAUUUAAUAUCACUUUAUUUUUUAUCUGACUUUUUCCUAGGUUCUGAAAAGUCAGUUGUUUGUUGAAAAGUUUGUUGAGCAAGAGCAAUAUAGUUUUCUGGAUUACAUAUCUAGUGGGUUUGAGUUGAAUUUUAUGGUUGCAGUCGACUUUACAGGUAAUUAGAAAGAGAUUACUUGUUGAAGAUAAAUUUGCAAUAUAAUCUUUUUGUUUUGUUUAUUUCCUCUUAUUUGGUCCAAUUUCAUCUUGUCUCUCAUUAAAUGCAAAAUCAUCCAGCUUCAAAUGGAAAUCCUCGAAAUCCAAAUUCUUUGCACUAUAUUGAUCCUUCAGGCAGAUUGAAUUCUUACCAGCAGGUAAGGUUUUGUUAUGACUUGCACUUUGACAAGUGAUCUCUGAACUCUGAAGGUCAUAAAAUGGUCAUUUUGUCCAGUGUUUUCGACUUAGAAAAUGCCUGUGACUUUCAAGUCUUUCUGUGCCCGUCAUAGUGAGAUACAUAUUUCAAUAGUUUGUAGAAGUUGAGAGAGAAUAUCACUGAUUAGUUAUUGGCCUCUUAAACCAUUUACAGGCAAUAACGGAAAUUGGGGAGGUCAUACAAUUUUAUGAUUCUGAUAGACGCUUUCCUGCAUGGGGAUUUGGAGGGAAGACAUUUGAUGGCACUGUAUCACAUUGUUUUAACUUGAAUGGAAGAGCAGGUAGCUUUGAGGUAGGGGUAGCUGGAGUUCGCAACUUUGCUAUAAUCCUUAUUUGGUUGGCUUGUCUCCCAUAACUUUUCAUUUUUAAUAACAAACAAUAUAAUAUGUUUCCGCAUUUUUUUUAAAAUUUCCUUGGAAUUUUAUCCUAAAAGAUGUGUAUUUUAUCCUCUUCCAUUUUUUCAUUAACUGCUGGUUUCUUUAUUUAAUAGGUAGAUGGAGUUGAAGGCAUUAUGGCUGCUUAUGCAAGCGCUCUAAACAAUGUUUCUUUGGCAGGACCGACUCUGUUUGGUCAAGUCAUCAACACAGCUGCACGAAUUGCUGGACAGUCCCUCUCUUACGACAGAAGCAAGUAUUUCGUCUUACUCAUUAUAACGGUGAUUACAAUGAUUCUAUAUAUUCACAGUUUUCUCUUUCUAUCAUUCUUUUUGGGUGAUUUGUAAAUUUGCAUUGUCUAUUUAGGAUGGAGUUCUGACGGAUCUCCAAGAAACAAAAGAUGCUUUGGUAAGGGCUUCUGAUCUUCCCCUGUCAAUUCUAAUUGUGGGUGUGGGAGGUGCAGAUUUUACACAAAUGGAGGUACACAAUGUUUUCUAACUGGAAUAUCUUCUUACUAGCAUUGAACUUCUUUUUUCUAUAGUUUGAUAGAUUCAAUUUAGAGUACAUAUGCAGUGUGGUAUUACCCCACUUUUGUUGCAGAUUUUUGAUGCUGAUAACUUUGUUGGCAGAUUCUUGAUGCUGAUAAUGGCCGUAGAUUAGAGAGCUCUACUGAUCGGGUAGCUACCAGAGAUAUAGUACAAUUUGUUCCAAUGCGAGAAGUUCAUAGUGAGUGCAUAUGAUUCUUUGACAAAAUUAGUUCAAAAUAUUGAAUUUGGGAGUUAAUUCACAAAAGUUUCUGAAUUUUUUCAUGCCUUAACAAAUGAACACAUUGUUUUCUGAACAGGUGGACAAAUUUCUGUUGUACAAGCACUUUUGGAGGAGCUGCCUGGUCAGUUUCUGACCUACAUGCGCUGCAGAGAUAUCAAACCACUCAAUGUUCAGAUGGCCCAAACAUGCGCUUGAGUAAAUAUUCAUAUGUUUGGAAAGGAUACAAAACCAAGCUAAACAUAUUAGACAAAACCAAGCCAAACAUAUUAGGCUAUACAGACAUAACAUAGCAAAAAUUGAUAAUGGUACAUUACAUAUGUUAGGAUAUAGUGGUUUUAGAUGAUGGUAAAUUACAUAUGUUAAGAUAUAGUGGUUUAUAACUAACUUUUGAUGGCUUAAUGAAUUGAUUGAAUUUGUAUUUAGGUUCUAUCAAUGAUCUCAUAUUCUUCCCAUCCAUGUCUUUCGAUUUUUAUUAUUCCCUCUACCCACUUGUUUCACAAUUGUUUGUGUCUGAUGGCCUAAAACUCCAAUUUCUAAUGCUGUAUUAUCAUCUUUGUUGAAUAUUUACUACAAUGAACAUGUGCUGAAUAUCUACUUUUACUACUACACCAACAAUCUAACACAUGGCUCACGUGCACACAAGACAAGUCUGAUUCACACAUCUUUAAUUUAGAUUCUUAUAUAGUCUUUCAAGAUGUCUGAAACGGCAUAGAUGAAGGACCCUUCCACCAUUCAACCUGGAAUGAUGUGAGUGAAAGAAAUUUCCGAAAGUGUUGUAUUAUAACUCUUUGAAAUUGGGUUUGAGUAAUCAAGAGAAGCCAAAAUGUAGAACAAUAACAAUAAAAAAUGAAGGCCCUCUUACCGUCUUAACUUUGAUAGAAAAUACACGAGCUGCAUACCAUGUCUCACAAAUUUCAAUGAAAAUUGGCCUCAUUCCUGAUGCUGCACAGAAGGUUGGCCUGAAUCAUCUUUAUGAUUUUGGACUUCCUGUAAACAACGAACAAAACAAAUUGAAGGUGAAAGCAGGAACAACAGUUUUCAAAUAAAAUGGCAGUGCUUAAUCUAAUUCAACAGUAACUUUUGGGUCGCUCAGUAAUGAAUACGUACCUUUGUUUCAAGAUAUAUCUGUUGUAUGGUAGAAUUAAGGUCGCCCUUCCAAGUCCAAUACUCACCAGACAGCCAGCGUUUCUCUACUUCGUGUAAACUGGGAGUGCUUAAUUCUUUUCCAGAGAAAAUCUUCAUAUUGGGGCAUUUAUCCACACUUAAAUAUGUCAAAGCUGGGAACUUAAAGGCGCAGUUGCCAGAGCAGAAGCUUGUAAGUCUUCUUAAAUCACAAAGCUCCAAGUCCAUCAACUCGCUGAAAACAAUUUCAUCUUUUGCAGCAUUUCCCUCAUCAUCUGCCACUACUUCUGUUAUCAUGCUGCAGUCAACGAUACUCAUCUCUGUCAGUCGUACCAAACUCUUUGCUGUCGAGGAUGUUAGCACAUUUAUCAAUCCUUUGCAUCUCCACACCUUCAAAGUUGUCAGAUUCUGAAACGAUGUUGAAGGUGGCACUAGAUUAAUCAAAUGGUCACAAUACUCAACUGUUAGAUGAACCAAAUUGUCCAUUUUGGAUUCCUGGAUCAAAAUAUGCUUCAGAUCACAACAAUUGUGUAGAUUCCUUAUGAUUGCCUUCGUCCAAUUUUCUACUCCAUAUGAUGGCUUAACGCCCCCAACAUAUCCUCCUCCCCUUAUUGUGAGUUCUCUUAUGCUGUGAAAUCUCCGAAGGAAAUCAAGUGAUGAAAUAGUAGAUGACUCUUCAAAUAUAACAUCAAGAAAGUUGAGUUUGCAAAACAUGUCCUCUGGAAACUCAGCUGCCAUUGGUAUCUUCUUUCCUUCAAUGGUCAAAUAUUUCAAAUUGGGGAAUACCUGGUUGGAUGCAUGAUAAAUCAGGACCAAAAAGAAAACAUAAUGCCAAUUAUUAAGAGUAAAUUUUAAAUCUUGUACGUACCUCUUUUGUCAAGUCAUGAGCAGUUAAAAGGAAUUCAGGACACCUUAUUACUUCUAAAGUUUCCAAUGUUGGAAAUUCAAUGUGCACAUCUCCUGUGCAGAAGCUUGUGAGCUUUUAGAGAUCUACCAUCUUUAGAAAUUGUAACUGAGGGAACACAACAUUCUUCCUUUCUUGCUGGUCUAUGACUAUUAUCUCUUCCAAAAUAGGGCACUCAUCUAUCUCAAGGUGUUGGAGUCGAAUAAAGCUGUUAACUAUAGAAGAUGAAAACAGACAUCUUAAUUCCCCACAGCCAUAUACAAUCAACCGGGUUAAAGUUUGAAUGCCACAAGACAUGGCCGGAAGUUGGCUUUUCCAAAUCCUCUCCACAUUUACAUUAUACAGCUCCAAGGUCUCCAAGUUUGGUAACCCACCCUGUUCACAAAACUUUCCAACCGUUAUAUGAGGAGAUCAAAUUUAGUAUAUAAGUGCAUUCAGAGUACUUUUUCUUUCAUCCGAGAAUGUAUUUGUUACAUCUAUGUUACUCGGGAUGAAAAUUUUAAUAUAAUUAUGAAAUAUGUUCGCUAAUCCCUGAUUCACUCUAGCCUAUAUUUCCUAGGAAAGGAGAAUAUAUAAUAAAGCAGCAACAAAAAAAGGAAAAAAUCAUAAGAAUAUGACCAUUGGAUCAUUAAUAUCCGACCUUGAGGAAAAAUGUAUUAGGAACGUUGACAUGGUCCUCCAAAAUGAUUUCAUUGGAUCGCAUUUCACUUGUCGAUUCCUUGCAUCUCUGUUUAGAACAUAGUCAUACUCAUAAGAAAUGAAGAAUCUGUUUUUUGCAUUGGCUGCUUUGAUAUGUUCGAAAUUUAGGAAGAUCAUAUCAUACCUUUGACUCUUUCGGACUGGGGGCUUGACAACCUUCGACCCAGAGAUGCUUCAGUUGGGAAGAAUAAGAGCCCAAUUUGUUAUUAACUAAUUCAAUGAUAUCUUGGUCUGGCAAUCCAGAUAAACAAAGGUCUUCAAUUCGCUGAAGUUGCACGAUAUGCCCACUCUUGAAGCUGAUACAAUUGUCGGUGCCAAGGAGGAGUCUGAAUGUUCUAGAACACGUAGGUGAGGGAUCCUCCCAACACCAACGUCCAAUACAUAUUCUGUACCUUUCCAGUUUCUCGAAGAACAGCCCCUUCGGCAGAGUGUUGGCAUCUGGGAUGCAUAAUUCUAAGGUGGUCAAGUUAGGCAAACGCUUCAACUCUUCAAGGCUUGCAUUCUUGAUCCCUGCAGCUUCCACCUCCACUUCCCACUUAUUAAAGCUACGAAUGUAUAAUUCCUCCAAAUGGGAUAACUUUGAUAAAAGAUUUGGGGGAAUAACCUGUAGUCUGUCACAGUCUCUCAAAUCAAGCGACCUUAACCGAGUCAAUUGGCCUAUUUCCACAGGCAACUGCUCAAUAUAAGAACCCCUUAAGCAAAGGAUUUCUAGGUUCUUUAAUUCUCCUAUAACAGCUAUAUCUUGCAAUUCGCUGCAAUACAAACACAAUGUUCGAAGGUUUGUUAGGAGACCAAGUGAUGAAGGCAGUAAUGAUAGAUGCAUGCAAGUCAAGUCUAAAACUCUGACUUGCGUCAACUUCCUGAAAAAAUUGUCUGGAAGUGUGAUUAAUGAAGAUUUCUCAGUCCACAAAGAGAGAAGUUGCAGUUGAGGACAUUCCAAAACUUCAGGAAGAAGAACAUUCAUCUUGCUGUCGUGUAAGACAAUCGAAGUGUAAAACUUAAGCGCACCUUCAUCUAGCCAUUCCCGUGAAUUAACCAGUUCAUAUCUCAUCGUAAGCACAUUUUGUUCUCUGGUUGCAAUUGCUAUGGCAACAUCACGAACAACAUCAUGCAUAGAAAACCAAUGUUCAUUUUUGCUUCCAUGCUCAAGCAACAUACAAGAAGCCUUGAGUUUGUACACCAAUGUAUACACUCGAGCUCGUGCUUCUUCCAUCCUAUUGAUGCCUUGAAACAAACCCAAACCCAUGCCAUACAUUAACACGUCAUUAAUGGAUGAUAUGUAGGUGUAGCCUAUUAGCAAAAAGAUCUUCUUGAGCUCCUCUCCUUCUAAUUUGUUGUAACUCAACUCUAUAGCUGAAUAAGCAGCCGGCUGUAUAUCUUUAAAGUUCGUUGAGGAAGGCCUUCUUAACUGUCCCAAAGCGUCCUUCCAUUCAAAUAAUCUCUUAUUUCUCAACGCCCUCGCUACUGUUACAAUGGAAACAGGCAAACCUGCGCAUUCAUUUGCCACAUCCGUUGCCACCCAUUUGAAUUCACUACUGUUGAUAGACUCCCCUGCCAUCUUCUUGAAUAGACUCCAAGCUUCGUCUUUUCUUAGAACGCCAACUGAGAAAUUAUGUCGGCAAUCCAUCUUGCCAGACAAUAUAUCUUCACUUCUUGCCGUCAUCAAUAUUUUACACCCCUUGUGAUUAUCUCCGUGAGGAAUUCCUACAUCCUGCAAAUCAACACUUUCCCAAACAUUAUCUAAAAUUACAAGGAUCUUUUUCUCAUCCUUCAAUCGAUUAUAAAGACUCCUUGCCCUUCCAGAUUCGGUCUCUUCAAAAAAUAUGAGACCUAAUUUAUCAGCGAUUUCUCCUUGAAUCUUUCUUAUGUCUGGAAUCUGGGGCACCUCCACAAAAAUCACUUGAUCAAAUAGCUGGUCUCUCUUGAACUGAAUAGCAACCUCUUUUGCUAGUGUCGUCUUUCCGAUGCCGCCCAUUCCAUAAAUCCCAACCAUGUUCACAUCAGGAUCUUGUAAUGCACGAAGUGCAUUAUUCAAAGUGGAGAUUCUUGAUUCAAAUGCCUCGUAGUCUUUGUUAGAUAUAAGCCUUAUGUCCUCCAGAGCUUUACGGUAGGAAAUUCUAUCAAAUCUCCCAGCUUCCCGAAGUUUGACAAUAGCUUCGAAUUGCCUCACCGCUUCCUUGCUAAGCUGAUGGCGGGUCUUCAAAUUUGGACACAGCCCCAUGAAACAACGCUUGUUUGCUUUAUCUGCAUCGCCUGUAAAUUUCUCAGCCUCAGGAAUGAUGUUGUUGACACUUGCAAGCCAUUUCUCAACGUUCUUUUCGAUCUCUUCUCCUUUUCUUUUAGCCUCAUCAACCCCGUGCUGCAUACUGGCAGCGUCAUCCUUGAGCUUCUCAAGUUCAGUCUUGAGAUUCUCAAAGUUGCUCCUGUAGUUGCGCACAUAACUCAAUUGUCUUUCAGUGGGAGGACCCAAGCACUUUGCAACUUCUAACACAACAGUUACUAUGCUUUCCACCAUCUUCAAUUCUUUCCCUUUUCUCUCUUUUUUUUUUUUUUUGGGUCAAAUUUUAGAAUUUUGUAAAGUAUGUAGAUGUGAAGUGAAGCGAACCAAAAGGAAACUGAACAGAGACAACAACUAAAAAGAUGCAGAGAUGAAGAAGAAGAGAAGGGAUUUAUUGACAGCGUAAAAAUACAUCAGAAGAGUAGAUACAGAACAAAACAGAGACAAGUGUACAGGGAACAGAGCAAAGCUAAAUAAAGAAAACAGAUGCACGUACGAUUCGUAGUAAUGUUGAGAUCCGAAGAUUGUAAUAACUAAGGUGUUGCUUGAUCCAGUGAAAGGUCCAAAGAGUUGAUGGCAGAAAGGAGCAAAGCUGAAGAAUAAAAACGAUCAAGAUGAUUGAGAAUGUUGAUUGAGAUGGAGAACGACUUGCAUGGUUGGGAGAUGUGCGUCGGACAAAUGGUAGCCAAUUAUUUGAUUUUUACAGCGGGAUUCACUGACUUUAUAUUUUAAAAAAUUUAAGUCAGCAGAAUUAAUUAUUUUCAUUGAAAUGAACUCAAAGGCCAAAGAGUGGAGAAAGGAUGUGAAAAAGUUAUGCGAAACGUGAGGUGAUGAGAUAGUUAAGUUCACUGAUGCUCAAUAAUCAAUUUUAUAAAAAUAAAAGAUAAAAAAUAGUGAGAAUCCGAAAGUCGAAAGCCAAUAGAUUUCAUAAUGGGAUUCAUUCAUUAUUCCAUCACGGAACCGAACACCAAUAGGUUAUCCCACCAGCCACCACCUCAGCUUCCACGCAAGUUUCCCUCAUAUUUGAAUAGUUGGCCCACUCCUCAAGUCUUUGUCGACAAAAAAAGAAAAAGAAAAAGUAAACUAUGAAACUCGGGUGGAUCACAACUUGUAUAAAGAUUCCUGACAGUUGCUAAUGCUGCCGACAUGAUCUUCCAACUUGGAACUUGUAAGAUCGGUCAAGCUUUCUAGUUUCUACAGUAGCGUUUAAUUAAUGAAUAAUGAUGAUCAGUUUUGAUUAUUUGACGACGUUAGUACAAUGAGAGUAUUUGAGGUAAUUGAUCAAACAAAAAGAUUGCCCAUUCAUGAUCUAAUUGCCUAAAUAAUAAAAAUGCUUAGCCUCAGCUGACUUGUUCCAAAUCACUAAACAUUUGAGCAGGUAUUUUCAUCUUUUCGUUAUCACAUUCCUCUAAUCAAUUAGCGUUAAUCAACAAAAAUGAUUAAUAACGUAAAUGGAGGAACUUGGGCUCAAAUCUCUAAAUUAAACUCGUGAUCAUUAAUAUAAGCAAACUACAACAAGACUAUCUUGAUCAACGUUUUCAACUCAACAAAUAUAGACUACUAGUGUUUAGUUGUUAAUAAAAUUAACCAAAAAAAAACACACAAAUGUUGACAGCACAAGAAUAAUAAUAAUGUUUAAUUAUUUAUUAAAUUUAAACUAUGUUCAAGAGAGGACCCAACUUUUAUAUAUUUUAUUUUAAUGGCUUAAAGAAAUUACAAAGUUGAUGCCACAAUUUAUAGUUUUUUUUUUUUUACCUUUAAAAAAUCUUUGGAUUAACCGACAAUCAUCAUCAAUCCUCACCUAGGGUCGGGGGAGGAUCAAGAUGGUGCCUACAGUGAGCAAACAUGAUGGCAGAUGGUGUCCAAUUGACCCCCUAAACUUUUCUUUUUUCAUUGAUACUGUCAUGAAGUUACAUAAUUUCUUACAUAAUUGUCUCCAAUAAAUACCAAUAGGUAUACGAACGCAAACAUGACUCUGUUCAGUCAAUUCUAAGCCUAUCUUCUCUGCGAUUUCUCCUUGUAUAUUUUUUGUUUGCGGUGUUUGGGAAACACGUGAAGAAAUGACCUUCUCAAAGAGAUUAUUUUCCUUGACCUGCCUGCCAACUUCUUUCACCAGCGUUGUCUUUCCAAUGCCACCCAUCCCGUACACCCCAAUCAUGUUGAAGUUACGGUUGCUGAGUGCGUCUAGUAUCUCCUUCAAGGUGGACUUUCUCGAUUCAAAGUGCAUGAAAUCCAGGGUAGACUUAAGCCAUGUCUCCUCUGGAAUCGUACGGAAGGAAACACUGUCGAAUCUCCCUUUUUCAUGGAGUCCAACUAUAGCAUUCGCUUCUCUUUCUGCUUUCUUGCUAAGCUGGUACCGAGUCUUCAAAUUAGGACACAACCCUUUCAGACACCGGUUGUUUGACUUCUCUUUGUCUUCAAUAAGUGUUUCGACUUCGUUGAUUGCCUCGUCCACAGUAAUCAGCCACUCCUCAACGUGCUGUUGAAUUCCGUCCCAUUUAAUUCUGGAAUCAUCAACCUUAUAUUGCACAUUGUCUCUAGCAUUCCUGAGCUUAUCGACUUCAUUAUUCAGCUUCUCGAAGUUGGUCUUAUAAGUGCAGCAGUAAGUAAAUGGAUGAAUUAUGGGAGCAACCAAGUACUCUGUAACUUUUGCAGCAACGGAAAUAACAAUAUCCAUUAUCCCUUUCUUUUUUAUUUUUUGCUCUUAGAAAACAGGGGAAAGCAAAACUAAUCAAACUGAGCAGAACUAAUCAAUCAGUUGUGAAGAGGGAAAUAAGAAGUUUGGAUAAAUUGUUAAAAUAAAAGGUUGAAUAGAUUUAAGGGAGGAGGAGGGGAAAGGAGUGAAAAACCUGGAGAUGAAACAAAGGGGGAUCCAUUUUCUGCUAAGACAAAUUGAAAAGCGAUUGCAAUGAAAGAUUUGCAAAGAAGGUGUAGGAUCGAGGACAAGAACGAUUCAGAAACGGGAGACAGAAAAUGAAGAAGAGAUUUCAGAGAACUCUGGAGAUAAGGGAAAUGCAGAGGCAGACAGUUGUCAUCUCAAGUUUCAAAGGGUAAUCUGAACUUUAGUUGUGAUACAAAUAAAAUGAAAAAAAAAAAAGGGUUGUGUGGUCGUGUGGGUUCCUCGAAAUCACUUCGGCAUUUAAUCGAACGGUUGGAUGUACUCAGCAUCUACACUUCCGCGAAGGUUCCUGGAAGUUGCAAGUGCUGAGGGCAUUUUCAAACUCGGAAGGUUUCAAUAAUUCUUUUUCUUUGAAAGAAAGGUUUCAAUAAUUAGCUUUGAUAAUUGUGUAAUAUACGAUAAUCUAGUGAUGAUGAUGACUUGUAUAUGUGAUUAAAAGCUAAGCUGGUGGAUUUGUAAGUAAGAACACACGGCAAAGUAUUUGUGCAAGCAUUUUUAUCUUCUUAUUGCCACAUUCUUCUAAUCAAUUUGCUUUCACCAACAAAAAUAAUCAAUAAUUUGUAAAUAUUAUGAUAAUGCAUACUUAAGCUCAAAUUUUGACAAUACCUGAAUGAUAAUGCAUACUUAUUUUUCAAGGGUAAACUCUAUUCAAGAGAGGAUCUCAAUUUUCUAUUAGUUUCUUCAAAUGGGCAUUUUAUCCAACAGUUGAUGUACUCGGAAACUUACACGAAGGUUCCAGGGAGUUGCAAGUGCCGCCGGCAUUUUUCAAAUAAUCAAGUGAUUAUUGAGUAAUAAUUAACUUUGAUUAUUGAGUAAUAAAUAUAUGAUAAUCAAGUGACUUUAAUAUGUAAACAGUAGGAUUUUGGGCUCAAAUCGUUAAAUUAAAUCGUGAUCAUUUUAUCAUUAAACUCGAACUCUAUCUUGAUUAAUGAACAAAUGUUAGAAAUUAGUUGUUAAUAAAAUAUAAAAGAACGUUAAAAAACAAAAAAAAAAUCAGGCUGGAUUUUUCAGGAAUAAAUCUUCAAGAAACUAAAUAUGCCGAAUUGAAGUUAUUAAAAUGAAAAGCUUAUGUAUUAUAUUCACUCCAUCAAGUAUGAAGCAUAUAAUCAAUUGAUCUACAAGCAAUAGACAUAAAAAAAAAUCAAAUGGUAGAAUAGAAUACAAGCAUCAGCAUUAGAUGACAGGAAAAGAGCUCAUUAACAAAUUAUAUGAGUGAUAAUACAACUGUUGAUGCUGAAAUCUGCUCGCCCUUUGCCUGACCAGACCUUUACACUAACGUUUAUGUAGUCAAUAGUGAGGAUGUCAAUUUCUUCUUGCUUCAACGAACGCUCUAGUCACUGAAGUUGGAAUUGUCCUUCCUUCUCCCACUGAGCAUGCGUUCACAAAAGUAGAUCAGAGACGCCGGUGGUUUUACCGGCGUAAACCCUCCGAUGCCUAAGUUAGCACAAGGUGUUUACGGGAAAACGGUGCAAUUUGGAUUCGAUAAGUUGCUUAUAAUUGGCUCACAAUUUGUAUUAAAAAUGGUCUGGUUUCAAUUUGGCAAAGUUUUCCCCUCUCUCAAUUUUUAUGUCCCCAUCUUCAUUGGUUUCUUCCUCUUUUAUAGCCGCUGUUCCACGUUUCCGUUCACCCUUCAUCUCGCUCUUUGGGGAAUGGGUAUCUGCUCGGUAUAUGUCUCUGGUCAGUGUAUUCCUCUGGCUGAUAUUCAUCUCUGGUCGGUGUAUUCCUCUGGCUGAUAUUCGUCUUUGGUCGGCCCAUGUUGGUAGAGGGCUCAUUAUCAGUGUUCUGCUCGUAUCAUUUGGCUGAGGUGAUCCAUGCCGGGGUGGGGAUGAUGGCCUGUCUGUGCUGAUGCUCUUAUUUACUCAACACCAGUCCCCCAGUUUCUGGUCUUGCGAGUGAAACGAGUUGAGAGUAGAAACUGAAGUCUGCUCGUAUCUUAUCGAUCCUGGGAACUACCCAUCUGGUUCUCGUGUUAUUGCGGUGGGUCUGAGGUUCCAUCUCUUGUCUAAGGAGAUAUCGGCCUGAGUAUGGGCCUUGACGAAUGUAUCUAGUAUCUAUUUGGGCUUACAUCUCGUCGAGCCUUUUAUAACGGUUAGUGACGUGGCGCUUUCCGACUCUUCGUAUUUGAAAUUCGAAACGACGGGCUAUCCAUCCUCGAUAUACGGUGAGUGAGCUGGCAUCCCUAUCACUCAAACGCUUUCAUUUCCCCCUUUUUGUUUCAAAUCCCUAAACUAAAGUCAUCCUCGUUUUGCUUAUUCGCUUCUCCGCCGUAAGACAACUCCUUCGAACUUUAUUCACACUUUUCGCGUCUGGGAUCUCCAUUUGCUGGGUCUUUUCUCCGUUACAGCAACGCUUAUCGGUGCCAGUCCAUUCCAGGUACAUCAUUUAACCUCUUCUUUGGUUAUUGUUGAUUGGGUUUUGUAUUGUGGGUUCUGUGUUUGUCCCUUUUUUGCAUCCAUACUUUUAGAUAUUUUGUGCUUUCCCUUCUUAAACUUCGGUAUGUCCAACCGAAAAGGAAAAAGAAUUGUAGUCAAGAGCGAUGAAGAGAUAGAGGAUUCAUAUCCUCAUUUGUUUGGACCCAGUGAUCUUCUUCACUCCUCUCGCAAUGUAGGUCCCUCAUAUCAUAGGAAUACCCCUGAAUACCCUCGUCCCAUGGCUAUUUCACCCUCCCUUGAAUUAGAGCUUGUAGGAAAUAGAGGUGGAUCCGCAUCGGGCUCUGGUGAGAAUCAUGGUUCUGGUAGGAUUGGGGUUCCUGAAGAAGUGGGUGACGGUGAGGGGAGUAGUUCCGAACCGAACAGACCUCCUUAUAAGAGAAACCUAGGGUGGAGGCAGAUUCUUACCCUAUUGAUUACAUAGCUUGUGCCACCACCCCAACUGACCUGUUCAAACUUAGGAAUCUAUACAACAUUCCCGAAGAGGUUCUCCUUGUAAUUCCUGGGAAAAACGACGUUCCUAGUCGGCCUCCGAGGGGGUAUGUGACGAUGCACCUGGAGAGUUUCAAACUAGGAGCUCGGCUGCCCCUUCAGCGCUACUUUGCCCAGAUACUGGGUGGUAUACACCUGGCCCCAGGUCAGUUACACCCAAAAGGGUGGAGGGUUCUCUCAGCUAUGUAUGUGCUAUGGGAGAGGUGCGGAUCAGAGGAACCUUCCCUUGUUGAAGUAAAGCAUCUGUACCAGCUGCGGAGUAGCCCAAAGGAAGGGGGCUGGUACUACUUUAUGUCCAGCUCUGUAAAGAGGAAGCCGAUCACCGGGUUUCCUUCUUCAUGUAAAAAUUGGAAGAACAAAUUCUUCUUUGCUGGAGGAAAUUAAUGUCCAGCAGCUCGGUCGCUUGGUGGUGAUAUUCACCUUCCAACGCACUUUGUCACCCUAAGUCGUUUAUUUAUUGCCUAUUUUCUUUCUCCAAUCGUCACUUAUUGGGCUCUUUAACCUUGUUUGCUAUUUCAGAGUCGUGGGGUUUGAUCGAGGGGCUUGAAGAGAGACAUUUGCUCCAGGUAGAGACUGCUUUGGUGAACACAUCUACCUGCCAAGAUCUUCUGUCAUUAACAAACCUGGUCGGGUCACGCUUAGUGGACGUAGCUGUCGGAAUGGACAACAAGAUCCUAAGUGCAAUGACUAGGAAGCGUGGUCGGGCUCUAAGCAGCUCCAGUAACCCCCUUCCCCCUUCGAAGAAAAUCAAUGUUAGUCCAUCCAAGGCUUCUGCUCCUGCUCUGCUCCUUCCUCCACUUCGGAAGAAUGGAGGAGAGAAGGUGACUGACAAGUGUCCUGAGGUCAGUAUUCAUUCAGGAGAUCGAUCCUCUCCUCUUCCACUUCGGGAUCAAGGUGACUAUUUGACCCUAUAUCAAAGGGACUAUGGGAAGUCCGUGGGGCCUAAAAUGAUUAAGGACAUCGAGAGCAUGAAUCUUGGUGAAUUGGCUGGUUCUGUCCAGCGGGUCUCCUUCAAGCUGGCUACUCUGGUGUCUUGUUAUAAGAACAGGGCCAUACGUCAUGAGAGGAGGCUUCAGGCUGAUAACCAGGAUCUGAAGAAGAAAGCUGAGUCUGCCGACUGCUCGAAGGAGAAGCUGCUUGAUCUGCACAAGCAAAUCAUGGACCUGGAGGAGAAAGUGGCCAUGGCUGAGUCCACCUCCAUCAAGCUUGAGAAUGAGUUGGGUGAUCUGAAGUCUGAUCACCAGGCCACUCAGAGUGAGCGGGAUACCUUGAAUACGGCUCUUGAGGGCGAAAUCAAAUCUCUGAGUGAGCAAUUGGCCGAGGUGAAAAGCAAAUCUGCUGAUGUGGAUGAUCGGCUAGAUGCAAAGUAUGACUCUGGGGUUGCUUUCUGCUAUAAGUGCAUCAUGUCUGUGCUUAAGGAAGAGUAUUCAGAGCUUAACAUGAACAAGUUUGAGGCUGGAGUGCAAAGGUAUAUGGCCGAGGUCGACCAGGGGGACAAGGAGCAGGGUGACCAAGACCGGGUGGAGGCUCCCUUAGGUGGGGUGCAGGAGGAGGAAGCAGGGGAUCGUGCUCCUGAAGUAGGUCAAUGGUCAGUGCUUCCUCCCCCCGAUGCUGCUAAUCCUCUUCUUUAUGAGAUUGCUGAUCCUUCAGUUGUUGAGGUUGCUGAACCUCCUAAUCUUUAGGCUUAUUUUUGUAUGAAUUUUCAUUUUGUUUGCAAACGCUCGGAUAUUUAUAAAUUUUUGGAUGCUUUCUAUCGGCCUUCCUAUCUGGUUUUUUGCUCAUGGAUUGUUUCUGCAAAUUAACUUGACAAUUUAUUUGAUUUUACCUGCUGGCUCUUUGGUGGACCGAGCAGGAAUAGACGCUUACUUGCCUUAGUAGAAUUUCAUAAAACCGCCUGCUGGUCCUUUCAGCGACCGAGCAGGAAUAAGCGCUUGCUUGCCUUAGUAGAACUUCGCAAAAUUGCCUGCUGGCCUUUUGUUGACCGAGCAGGAAUAGGCACUUGUUUGCCUUAGUAGAAUUUUAUAAAAUUACCUGCUGGUCUUUCGUUGACCUAGUAGGAAUAGGCACUUGUUUGCCUUAGUAGAAUUUUGUAAAAUUGCAUGCUGGUCUUUCGUUGACUGAGCAGGAAUAGGCACUUGUUUGCCUUAGUAGAAUUUUGUAAAAUUGCCUGCUGGUCUUUCUGACCGAGCAGGAAUAGGCACUUGUUUGCCUUAGUAGAAUUUUGUAAAAUUGCCUGCUGGUCUUUCGUUGACCGAGCAGGAAUAGACACUUGUUUGCCUUAGUAGAAUUUUAUAAAAUUGCCUGCUGGUCUUUCGUUGACCGAGCAGGAAAAGACACUUGCUUUCCUUAAGAGAAUUCAAUGGGCUUGCUAGUAGGGGGAUUUCAUGCUGAAUUCAUCUUUAUUGAAACUUAAAUGCAUUACAGAAUAUGCGAAAUAUAUGCAUGUGCAACAAGUCAUCAUGCAUUUAAUAGAAAUAAUUUAUCAAAAUGAAGACUUAGUAGAGCACUUUGCUUACUGGAAAUACUUCUUCAAGUGCUCGGCGUUCCACGACCUCUCGUCCAUCUAAGUACGCUAGCUUGUAAGCUCCUGGUCCAGUCGCUCGUAUCACCAUGUACCGGCCUUCCCAUUUCGGGCCAAGAGCGCCAUGGUUAGGAUCCCUAGUGUUUUGGUUCACCUUCCUAAGUACCCAAUCCCCUGCUCGGAACUGCCUCACGCGUACGUUCUUGUUGUAAUAACGCAUGACUCUUUGCUGACACUGGGCCACUUUCUGUGAGGCCCCUUCCCUUUUCUCCUCCAGCAGGUCCAGGCUCAAGCAGAUCUGCUCGUCGUUUUGCUCCUCGUUGAAGUAUUCUGUCCGAUGUGUCCCCACUCCAAUUUCUGCUGGGACUACCGCCUCAUGACCAAAAGCCAAAGCAAACGGAGUUUCCCCUGUGGCGGUUUUGUGAGUUGUCCGGUAAGCCCACAAUACCCUUGGUAGCUCGUCGACCCAAGCUCCCUUCUCCUCUCCCAGUCUGGUUUUCAGGAGUUUCUUUAUUACUUUGAUGGCUGCUUCCACCUGUUCGUUUGCCUGGGGGUGUGCGGGGGUACAGAACUUCAGGUCCACCCCAAAGUUUCGGCAAAAUUCUCUGAAGUUGUUAUUGUCAAAUUGCCUCCCAUUGUCUGUAAUGAUGGCAUAUGGGAUCCCAUAUCUGCAGAUGAUAUUCUUCCAAAUAAAAUCCGUUGUCUUUCUCUCCGUGAUUUAGCUGAGGACUCCCACUUCUACCCACUUGGUAAAGUAGUCUAUUGCCACAAUUGCAUGUGUCGCCGCUCCUCGGCCUUUAGGUAAUGGACCAAUCAGGUCAAUUCCCCAUUGGGCAAAAGGCCAUAGGGAUGUCAUGGUGGUCAGCUUUUCUGGGGUUGUGCAGGAACCUCUGAGAAGCUUUGGCAGAUUUUACAGUUCUUUGCCAUCCUUUUCGCAUCCUGGUGCAUGGUUGGCUAGAAGUAUCCUUACUGGAGUGCCUUGAAGGUUAAAGUUCUCACUCCCGAGUGAUUGCCACAUAUUCCUUCAUGAAUCUCCCUCAGUACAUAAUCUGCUUCCUCGUCAUCUAAACACCUCAAAAGGGGCAAGGUGAAUCCUCGGCAGUAGAGCACCCUAUCGAGUAGCAUAUACCUUGCUGCUCGGCAUUUUAAUUUCCUUGCUUGCCUCUUGUCCUCCGGUAAAAUGCCAUCACGGAUGUAUAAGAGAAUCGGGUCCAUCCAGGAUUCCUCGGUGCUUAUUCUCAUUACCUCAACUUCCUUCCUUAUACUUGGCGAGGUCCUCACCUAUAGUGGAACUGACUUAGAUAAUUUCGGAUCUACAAUUGCAGCCAUUCUCGCCAACAUAUCUGCUCGGUAAUUCUCAUUCCGGGAUAUCUGCUUUACCUCUACCUCUUGGAAAAGCCCAACCAUCUGCUUUGCCUUCUUCAAAUAAAGCCCCAUCUUCUCUUCCCUUGCUUGGAACUGAUUACUGAGCUGAUUACAGACUAAUUGGGAAUCUGCUCGGAUUUCUACCUUUUCUGCUCUUAGUGCGUGCGCAAGUCCGAGUCCAGUGAUAAAGGCUUCAUAUUCAGCUUGGUUGUUCGUGAGCGGAAACUCGAACUUCACUGCAUAAGUUACUUCGGUCCCUUUUGGGCUUCGUAUUACAAUUCCUGCUCCGGACCCUUGUUCACUACAUGACCCAUCAACCAUUACUAGCCAUACCCCAUCCAGUUUAUCCUACUCUAUUGGUUGCUCUUCCCGAAUUUCUUCCCCUGCUUCAGCACGGUCAACCAUAAAAUCGGACAGGGCUUGGGCUUUUAUUGCUCCUCGAGGCCUAUAGGAUAGGUCAAAUUCGCUCAGCUCCACGGACCAUUUUACUAAUCGACCUGAUGCAUCUGGUUUUUGGACCAUUUGCCGAAAAGGCUAGUCAUUCAUCACAACUAUUGGGUGGGCCUGAAAAUAUGGUCGGCGUUUGCGCGCUGCCGUUAUUAGAGCUAGUGCCCAUUUCUCCAUCGGCGGAUACCUGGUUUCUGCGUCUACUAGGGCCUUGCUUGUGUAGUAUACGGGGUGUUGCUUUCCUUCUUCUUCUCUGACUAGCACCGAGCUGGUUGCCCAUUUUGAGAUUGCUAAGUACAAAAACAGCUGGUCACCCUCUCUCGUAGUUGAUAGUAACGGGGCGCGGGCUAAGUAAUCCUUCAGCUGUCCAAACGCCUCAUCACAUUCCGAUGUCCACUCCAUCUUUCUCCCUUUCAUUAUGGUUUGGAAGAAAGGGUGGAAUUUAUCUAUGGCCCGCGAGAUAAAUUGGUUCAAUGCUGCCAAUUUCCCUGUAAGACUGUGCACCUCCUUAACUGUUCGUAGGGACCUCAUUUCUGUCACCGCCCGUAUUUUUUUCGGGUUGGCCUCGAUCCCUCAGUUGCUCACCAGGAAUCCCAAGAAUUUGCCCGAGCUGACCCCGAAUGCACAUUUGUCUGGGUUCAGCUUCAUUUCGUACUUCCUCAGCAACUCAAAGGUCUCUUCCAAGUGCUUCACAUGAUCCCUUGGUUCUUUGAACUUUGUGAUCAUAUCAUCCACAUACACCUCUAUAGUAUGGCCGAUCAAUGGUUUGAAGAUCUUGUUCACCAACCUUUGAUAGGUAGCUCUUGUAUUUUUUAGACCGAAAGGCAUUACCCUGUAACAAGACAAACCCAUAUUAGUUAUGAAGGUGGUGCUUUCCUCAUCCUACUCGUCCAUGGGUAUCUGGUUGUAUCUGAAAAAGGCAUCCAUGAAGCUGAGCAGACUGUGGCCCGCUGUUGAGUCCACCAAUUGAUCUAUUUUUGGUAGGGGAAAACUGUCCUUCGGGCACACCUUAUUGAGGUCCUUAAAAUCCACACACAUUCUCCAUUUCCCGUUGGCCUUCUUUACCAGUACUACAUUAGAAAUCCACUCCGGGUAUUUGGCCUCCCUUAUAAAUCCUGCUUUCAGCAGCUUUUCCACCUCGGCAUUUAUGGCCUCGUACCUUUCCUGGUUAAAACACCUCAUUUUCUGCCUUACCGGCCUUGCUCCUUUCUUGAUCGCCAAUUUGUGGUAUGCUGCCCUGCGAUCAAUUCCUGGCAUGUUCUCAUGAGACCAGGCAAAUAUGUCUGCAUGAGACUGUAGACACCUCACCAGCUCGCCCUUUAUUGUCUCACCCAAUCUCGACCCGAUCCUAACCACUCUGCUCGGGUUACUCCUACUCACAAAGACCUCCUCCAGAUUCUCAACAGGUUCCUGGCGACCCUUUCUAGAAUCCUCUCGGUUAUCUAGAGAGGUAACUUGUAGCGUCUCCUUGGCCGCUGUAGCAUAACAACUCCUUGCCAUUCUCUGGUCACCUUUUACUACGCCAACAACUCCAUUUACUCUAUACUUCAAUGCCAGAUAAUGCGUGGAUAUAACGCAUUGGCUUAUCCUCAUGAACGGUCUCCCCAGUAUCAUCUGGUAAGGGCUUCUUUCUUCUACCACGACAAAGUCCAGCAUCAUCGUUCUUUCAAAUGGCUUUGACCUCAUAGUAAUCGAGAGUUCGAUGAUCCCCAUGGGAGUUAACCGUCCCCCUCCAAAUCCCUUCAAGGAUGUAUUCGUCCGUUCCAGUUUCAAGUCUGAAAUUCCCAUAUCAUCUAAGGUCGAUUUAAACAGGAUGUCAACCGAGCUGCCCGUGUCUACCAGUAUUCGCCGCAACUCUAUACCAGCCACCCUUGCUUUAAUCACCAGUGCAUCCUCUCAUACAAUUCUUCCAUGGAGAUUUUUAAUGGGGUGUAUUGUCUAUGCGCCAAGCUCUGAUCAACCAGUUGGACUGCUCGGCUAUCAUGGAUAUCGCCCCGGGCUGAUAUCGUAGGCAACUGAUUUGGUCGUCCAGCCCUGGAGUUAGUUGUGUGUAGUGCUAUGGGAGCAUUGUGGUAAGGGUGGGCAACCAACUGCCUAAAUUCUCGUUGUCGUUCCGGGAACGGGGGGGGGGGGACGGUGGUUGAGCCCGGCUGUGUUGGAGCUGUUGUGGUCUCUGAGCUAUGGGAUAAGGGUGGGACCGAGUUGAUAUUCCGUCCAUUACUGAGGAUUCCCCAGCUCGCUUUUCCGAUCCGCUCCCGUUCGGGGCUCUCCGUUCCUUUCGUCUCAGCUCUUCUAGCUAUUCACUUUUUAUCCUCGCCGAUUUCUCCUCUUCGAUUUCUAUAUCUCUCCUUGCCUGAUCAUACCCCGCCGAAUAAUUCUGCACCAAGGGACUUCUCAAGUUAUACCACAGUCAGCUUAUUCUCACCCCCUCUUUUAAUCCCCUCAGUGCCUGCGGGUGAUUAAAAGCUUCCAGAUCUAGCACGGCUCGGUGAUAUCGUUUUAUAAAAUCCCGAAGGGAUUCAUGUUCCUCUUGUUUCAUCCCCAUCAGCUCCAUCAUGUCGUCCUCUGGGGCCACUGCUCCUCGAAACUGCUCGGCCAACUCUUGGCACAUUUGCUCGUACCUUUUUAUACUUCCUCGGGGCAACUUGUGGUAUCAUUCUCGGGCUCGUCCCUCUAGUGUCAACGGGAACACCCUACACCUCUGAGCUGGUGUCAGCCCCUGCACACCCGUCAUGUCGUUGAAACGUUCAAUAUGCACCAGCGGGUCACUUCGCCCGGAGUAUUUGAGGUCGGGGAAGCAAAAAUUUCUUGGGAUUACAGUACCCAUGAUUUCGGUUGAUAACGGAGACUCUUCAUCUAGCAUUAUCCCCCAGCUCAGGGGCUUUCUCUUGCCCUAAAUCUCCUCCAUCACCUGCGCCAAUCUGCGCACCUCUCCCUCCAAUUCUAUAGCACGGUCAGGAUCGCGCACAGCUAUCUGAUCUCGUUCCUGCUCGGCAUUCUGCAACCGCUGUCUGAGCUCUCCUUCAUUAACACUGGCCCCUCGGCCAUCAAUUUCCAGUACCUGUCCGGGGCGAGGUUGGUCCCUCCCUUUAUCCACGCACUCUCCAUGAACUCGACCAGUACUUCUACAGGGAUGCACCCCAUUAAGUUGGUCUGCCGGCAGAGGGAUUUCCUCUACUUUACGCCUCCGAAGGCUGGGUUCUGCUUCAACUUCAUCUCUCCCCAUGGGGGUUUCACAAUCCCUUCUCCGCUCAUCCCUCAGCUCAUAUAAUAUGGCCGUGAGAGUAUCCAUUUGUUUCUCUAUCCGCUCCAGUCGAUCUUGCAUUGUCCUCUCUCGAGCUUCAUUCACAAUUUUCCGGAAAGUGAUUGUUUCAACAGUUUCAUUGUCAUCCCUCAAAGCAUCCUUCCUUGACGCAUCCAUAUCCAACCGUUCGCUGCUUCUCCGGUAACUACUAAUUUGAUGGUAGCUUUUUAUUCAACUCCCCACAGACGGCGCCAAAAUGUUGAUGCUGAAAUCUGCUCGCUCUUUGCCCGACCAGACCUUUACACCAACGUUUAUGUAGUCAAUAGUGAGGAUGUCAAUUUCUUCUUGCUUCAACGAACGCUCUAGUCACUAAAGUUGGAAUUGUCCUUCCUUCUCCCACUGAGCCUGCGUUCACAAAAGUAGAUCAGAGAUGCCGGUGGUUUUACCGGAGUAAAAUCUUCGAUGCCUAUGUUAGCACAAAGUGUUUACGGGAAAAUGAUGCAAUUUGGAUUCGAUAAGUUGCUUAUAAUUGGCUCACAGUUUGUAUUAAAAAUGGUCUGAUUUCAAUUUGGCAGAGUUUUUCCCUCUCUCAAUUUUUCUGUCCCCUUCUUCAUUGGUUUCUUCCUCUUUUAUAGCCGCUGUCCCACGUUUCCGUUCACCCUUCAUCCCCCCCUUAUCUCGGGUAGUGGCAGCCCCUCAUGGGACUCCAACCGCUAUAUCGUGGGUAAACGUGGGACACUGUGUCUCCCUCGACGGUUCUGGGCAUAGCGCAACUGUCGUGCUUUCGUGAGAUCGUGUUCCCGCUCUUUGGGGAAUGAGUAUCUGCUCAGUAUAUGUCUCUACUCGGUGUAUUCCUCUGGCUGAUAUUCGUCUUUGGUCGGUGUAUUCCUCUGGCUGAUAUUCGUCUUUGGUCGGUGUAUUCCUCUGGCUGAUAUUCGUCUCUGGUCGACCCAUGUUGGUAGAAGGCUCAUUAUCAAUGUUCUGCUCAUAUUAUUUGGCUGAGGUGAUCCAUGCCGGGAUGGGGAUGAUGGCCUGUCUGUGCUGGUGCUCUUAUUUACUCAACACCAACUUGAAUCAAACUGACGUCCCCAGUUGAGAAGAGUUAAAUUAAAUAAUAUUUUGGUGAUUUCAUGUGCGUAAAAUUAUAAAUUUAUAACCAUCAAUAUAUCACCAGACUUUGUAAAGUUAAUGUGAAAAUGCAUCACAAUUGUACUUAUUAUCUUUUUUCUGUUUUUCUUUUCCAAAUAGUCUAAUACCAAUGGCGUGCCCUCGUGGGUCCUCAAAUUAUUCAAAUGGGCAUUUCAUCGAACAGUGGAUAUACUCGGCAUGUGCACUUAGAAGACGCGUUCAAAAGCUCUAAAUCAUGUUAAAGUCGACCAAAAAGACAAAACAUAGAAAGCGACAAUCCAACAACUAGGUAAAAAUAUUCGCUGUCACAAAUGGUUGGGAAAUUUACAGUAAUAACCAUUAAAAUUUUGAUUUUUUUCAUCUUAACCUCCCAAAAAUAUUUCUAUCAACAUUAGCCAUAAAACAACCUUUGAGACCAAAAUACCCCUCUCCCUCAUCUCUCCCCCAACAUUCCCUUUCACUCAUCUCUCCCAAACCGAUCCAACUCCCAUCAUCGGCGGCAACAUCAACCCUCGUCGGCGGCGGCUCCAUCUCUCACCGACAUCCGAUCUACGAUCUACAACCUUCAAGGUUAGUCAUUUUUCUUAUUUUCAUUAAUUUAAAAUGAAAUUUUAGAAUAAUAAUAGUUAUAGCUUGAGAAUAAUGGUGGUGGUGGUGGUGUUUGUGGUGGUUGGUGGUGUUUGGGAGCAUUGUUUUUUGAUUUUGGAGUGUUGUGGCUUAAUUUUAGAGUGGCCUUUUUUUUAAAGAGUCAAUUUUUUUUAUGUAAAUAUAAUGUAAUAAUUUUAUAAAUAUUAUAGAUACAUGGCGAAAUCAGAAUCACCAGAUAUCGAAGUAGGCAAUAUGUAUUUUUGUUAUGCCGAUCACUUUCCUGGUCGAAUUUUGAGCAUGUGUAAGUUAUCUUCGGUCGUAAAAGCCAUCGAGGAAAAAUUAACAAAGCGGCAGUUGAGUAUGUUAAAAAAUGAUAUAUUUGGGCAUUUCUUGGAGUGUCAAAGUUUUUCAUUUAGUAGGGUAAUUUUGCACAAUCUUUUACUGAGGCAAGUGGCCCAUGAAGAAGAUAGCCGUGAGGAUCAGUUAUGGUUUCAAAUUGGUGAGCAUUUGAUUCGCUUGUCAAUUGUCGAAUGGUGCUUGGUUACUGGACUUUCAUUUGGUGUUGAUACCAAACGAAAAAUUGAUGAAAUGGAGGAGAGGCUACGAAAUACGUAUUUUGGUGGUGUGCAUCGUAAGAUUAAUGUGAACGAAUUCGAUGCAGUAUUUAAGGAGUUGAAAUUCGAGGAAAUGGACGAUAUGGACGCAUUAAAGAUUGCGUUGUUUUAUUUUGCGGACAUAGUACUAAAUGCAAGAAACAAUCACUGUCAAAUCAAUUUCGAUUGGCUUGACGAAGUUGAUGAUAUAGAGUACUUCCGAAAGUGUCCAUGGGGUCUAUUGUCGUGGAAAAUGAUUUACGAGAGUCUUGACAAUGCACUGUUCGAGAAAGACGAGAAAUUUAAGAGGACUCGGUUGAAAAAUCCAGAUCAUAACAUUGAAAAAUACAAUCUUUACGGCUUUACGUCCGGGGUUCAGGUGCGUUUUUUUUGUUUAUUAAUAAGUUUUAUAAUAUUAAAUAUUUGAUAGUUGUUUUAUUACAUUUUUCACUUUGGUUGUUGUAGGCUUGGAUUUACGAAGCAAUCGGAGGGUUGCCAUCAACAUGGGUCGUCAAAACGAAGAAGAAGAUUCCCCGCAUUCUGCAAUGGAAGCCCAUAGCGUCUUCGAGAAUCAACUUUGCGGAGGUUUAUUCGUUCUUCAACGACGAAUCUCGUCUUGUAAGUAAUAUGUAUUACUUAUUUUUUUAACUUUACUAAAUUUAAGUUAUGUAUACUUACUUAAAAUUUUCAAUUGAAUUUAUGGCAGGGGGACGUUUUACAAACUCUUGAGCCAAAUUCAAAGAAGAGUAGCAGAAAAUAUUGGCUCUCUGUGAAGGAUUACUUGCCAAGCAUUCCAGACUGGGUUCAUAAGGUCGGUAUACUCUAAGUACUAAAAAUUUUUUAAUCGAAAUUUUUGACUUUUCAUUUACUAAUUUUAAAUGAUACUUUAUACAUCACCAACCCUCAAUCAACGCGAUGCCGUCGGUUACAAGGCAAUCAAACGAGCAAUCCGAUCAUGACGACAUACCAAACCCAAUAUCAGAGCAGCGUCAUGACACUUUUGAGGAUGAGGUGGCUAUUGAUGACCACCAGGAGCAAACAGACAACUCUGAUGAUGCACGUGAUUCUGAGGUUAUAAAUAAUAUACGAUAUUUUUCCUUUAUAAAUCAUUAUUUUUUUACUGUUAGUCUAAAGUUUUAUUUUUUUGUUUUGUAAUAGUCGAGGACAAAGCUGUUUAAUGAUUACAUACGACGACGGCUGGAUAAGAUUGAUCGUAACGUGUAUGAAAUGAAGUCAGAAUUAAAAGAUUUUAAAGAAACCGUUGUUGGCUUCAUCGACACAUUUUCUAAACGUUCAAAUAAGGAUUCUCCCAGUGCACACUCGUAUGCGGUGAGCAAAUUUAAAUUUAAUAAUUAUGUUCGUUUAACUUUUGAUUUGAUAGUUUUUUAAUAUGUUCUUCUUGGCGACUGGACAGGCCCCGGAUGACUAUGGAGUGUAUACUGACGUGGGCAAUCAAAAUUUGUCUACGCCCACGUCAUUGUAUAGUUUCUAAGGCGAUGUUAGUGGGGAGUGUUAGCCUAAAGGGCUAUACAUAAUAUAAUUUUGAUGAUAACAAACAUAUGUAUUGAGUGAUUUAAUAAAUAUUGUAUUUCACAUUUUCACUAGUUUUUGAAGGAUAAUAUUUAUGCAAGUGAAUCAAGUGAAAUCAAGACUCAAGACACUCAACGGACAACGGCGAAAUCAAGAAUAAAGUUUAGAGCUCAACGGACAAUUUAUUGCGACAAAUUCUUGUAAAGCCGGUAUGAUUUAAUUGAUGCAUGAUUUAGCAUUUGAGAAGCUCAAUAGAUUAAUUUAAUACUUUUCAUAAACUAAAAUUUUUUAUUUUUAUAAAGUAAAGUAUUUUGUGGAUUUAAGUAAUUUGGACUUAAAUGCUAAGAUUUGUAAUCUUUGAGUUUAUUAAAUAUUUUUUUGAAAUUCAAAUUUGGACUUAUUUGCAAAGGUUUGAAACAUUUUGGGUCAUACCAUAAUUUAUGAAACUUUGAGGACCCCAAUGUAAUUUAGACACUUGAAAUCAACAGUUGGACAGUGAGGAAGCGGCUAACCGCCUGAGGGCUAGCGGCUAGCCGCCUGAGGAAAUUCUCAUAUUUUCAAUUUUUGGAUUAAAGUGAAAGAUUUUGAGAACUUUAAAAAAUAUGAGUAUUAUGUUAUAUUUGUAAAGGACCUCUUUGAAAAAUAAUAAAAUCUUUGGGGCCAUAUCAUGAUUUUAGAAAGUUUAGAAAAGACAACUAUUUUUACGAAGUUCUGAAAUUGGACUUAUUUGUAAAGUUUUCUAAUGUUUUGGGUCAUAGUAUAAUUAUAUAAAGUUUUGGGUCAAAGUGUAAUUUCAGUGAACAAUAUUACUGUAGCAAAAUUCAAAAAUAACGGUAAUAUCACUGUUUCUGAGCGGCUAGCCGCUUGGGCGCUGGAAUUUGCCUAUAACGACUAGUUUUCGGGCUUUCACUAUAAAAACUCAACUCCAACUUCAUUUUAAAGAUAAACACAAGCAACUAUAAGAUCAUAUAACAUAUAUUGAGCUUCCAUUUCGUAAAUCAUCAUUUGUUGAAUCAUCAUUGAGAUAUAAUUUGUUAUUCACUCUUAAAGAGAGUUUUAUUGUUGUGAAUUUCAUUUCUCAUAAAUUUGUGAGUGUAUAAGUGUGGGAAACACUUGGGGUGAAGAGAUUGAGGAUAUAAUCUCUUGUUGUAAAGGUUCAUUGACACCUUGGAAGUCAAUUGUAAACAUUUGAAGCCUUGGGAGGCUUGGAUAGUGAAAUCCUCAAGCCGGGUGUUCUUGGAGGUGUGGACGUAGGCGGGGAUAGCCGAACCACGUAAAAAUCCUUGUGUUCGUUUUCUCUUCCCUUACUCUUUUAAAUUGUGCUUGAUUGAAUUUAUUGUUUUGAUUUGAUGAAGGCAAUAGAUUAAAUUGUUGUGCGAAUUGUAUUGAAUAGAUUUUAAAAUCCCAAUUCACCCCCCCUCUUGGGUUGCAUAACUUGCAUUUCAGGGAGAGCGUGCAGGUGUUCACUGAGGUGCCUCCAAGCGUUAGUAAGUUCGGCCGCGCGUACAUACCGUCGUAUGUUUAUAACAGUCCUUACAUGAUUCCUCCAGUCAGGCGAGGACAGAACGUCCGGCCUUUACCUCGACCCCAAAUCAUGGAGCAUGCGAUUGACAUGAGUACGAGUGUGGAUGUAAAUCCACUGAGAGGAUUAGAGGACUCUAGUCUGUUUGCUGAGUUUGAUCGAUGGUUCACUGGUGAUAUCAGAGUCCGCCGGAGAGUCCAGCACCCGCGGUCAUUCUUUCAAAUAAUUUUGGGUACAGCUUCGAUGGGAUGGCUAGGCGAUGAGGUAUUUAUAUUUUUGAAGUUUUUUGAGUGUUGUGGAUUUGUGUAUAAAAUUUUUCUUUUAAAUCGUAAUAUAUCUGUUUCUCUACAGCAUAUUCACGAGUAUCUCCGCUUGAUUAGCGAGAAACAACGGCAGUAUCCGAAUGCCUUACUCCAACGUGUCACACAUACUGACACAUUUGUUUGGGUAACGUGCCGACAAAACUUAUAAAUACUAUUUAUUUAUUUUUUAAUUAUUGCCUUAAAGUUUUGUUAAUUUAUGCAUUUCUUGGUUAUCUAUGUACUAGGUGUUCUUGAAUCAGUUAUGGAAUAACGGGGAUUGUGCGGUCGAUUCAUUGGUAUUCGACGACCGCUUGAAUAGUUAUCUUUGUGGGCGACAACACACAAUGUCCAAAUCAAUGACGGAUGUCGAUAUGGUAUGUAUUUUAUUGCAUUUCACAUACUCCAUAUUGAAAAUAUUCGAGUUGUCGCUUUUUCUUUGUUGUAUUUCAAUUUCAUAUAUAACGAACAUGUUUUUCAAUUUUUAUAUACAGUUACUCAUCCCUGUUAAGUUGGACGGCGCGCAUUAGGUACUAGCACGAGUUGACUUUCGGAAAAUAAAGUCUGGAUUUAUGACUCAUUACUCACAUUUCGCGACGACAAAAGGUACAAGUUGAAAUUCAAGCCACUUGAAGUUAUAUUCCCUCGAUGGUUGGAAUAUGUUGGCUUCUACAACAUCCGACCUGAGUUGAGGAGUGCAGACCCCUGGAAAGUUAUCGCAGUUAAGAGCGCGCCACAACAAGAGCCUGGAACUGGCGAUUGCGGUGUUUUUGUAUUGAUGGUUACGAUGUAUUUAAUGUUCGGGCUUAGAUUGGAGUUUAACGCUAGUCAUGUCGAGUACUUUAGAAAGAAGAUUGCGGUUGACAUAUUUAAUGACGAUAUUGUAUUGUAAACCUAUGUAGUAAUUUCAAUGUUGAAAUUUGAAUUUUUAUUUUAAUUUGCGCACUUAAGUUUAUAUAAUGCUCAAAUUUUAAUAUUUAAAAUAAAAUAAAGUUUUAUAACAUAUAAGUGUACAAUACACAAAAAACAAUAACAAUUUUAACCAACGAAAUACAAAAAAUAAUAACAGUUUUAACCAACAAAACACAAAAAACAAUAACAGUUUUAACUAACGAAUAACACACAAAAUACAAUUAACUUCGAGUCGACGCAAUGGGAUUCUUACAUCGCUUACGAUUAUGGCCCAGUUCAUGACACCGCCCGUAUCUUACAGUCUGCCGGUUAACGUCCUCACCAGCCGAGGGUAUUCUGAACUCUUUACGACGGCCAGGUGGUAGUGUCUCAACUGGUGGGUAUACUUGCAUCUCCUGAAUUUCAUCUAGAAUUUCCCAAUCAGCCACAUCACCAACUGGUUCCACUGGUUGUACAUAAGCCAUCGCCACAAAUUCUGUAGUGUAAAAGUCCGAGCAAAGGUUAAUAAAAUCCACCCGGUGUGUUAGACAUGUCGCAAUUGCAUGAGCACACACAAGCUGAUCAAGCUGAAACACUCUGCAAGAGCAAGUUCUCUUUUGCAAGUCAACCAAACCUUCCUUAAGCCCACCGCCUAUAACUUGAAAUCGAUGCGGAGACACCGGCCGAACUAUCAUUCUUUCAGCUAUAGUUCUCAUCUCAGUGACAAUUUCAUCCGCCCAUGUUGUUAGCUGAGUAGUCAUUGAUUCAACCACAAUUUUUCUAUCAUAAAACCAUUACUAUAAUGUUUUCCUAAAGUGAUCAACAAGAUGAGUAACAGGAAAUUUUCGAGGUUCCCUCAUGAAAGCAUUAACACUCUCCGCGAUGUUGGUGGUAAGUAUGCUGUACCUCCUACCUUCAAACUGAGACCUUGCCCAAUUACACGUACCGACAUUAUUUUUUACGUAAUCAGCCGCACCCGAGUGGAUCAUCCACAACCCUUCAAGUUGUCUCUUAAAUUCCUCGUGGCCAUAUGCUUUUGCUGCAUUAAUAAAGGCAGGCUCAAAUUCAUCCCAAAGAGCUUUGGACAUUCUAAAUUGUGACUUAAUGUUACCUUUGACAUGGUAAAAACAAACGCCAUGAGUUGCAUUGUGAAAUACUUUAAGAACGGCUCUCCUUAUGGCAGUGCAUCGAUCAGAGAUAAUUACCAACUCAGGUCUAUCGCCAAUCACUCCGUGUAACUUCAUCAUAAACCAUUCACAAGCAUCAUUAUUUUCUGAAUCCAUGAUCCCAAUAGCUAACGGAUACAAUUGAUUGUUACCAUCAAGACAUGUUGCCACGAACAUGCUUCCACGAUAUAGUCCCUUCAGAUGAGUACCAUCUACAGCAAUGACAGGCUGAAUGUACUGCAUAAACCCAUUGAUGGAAGAUCAGAGUGCAACAAAAUAGUACAAGAAAUUACCAUCUCCAUUCUGCUCGAGGUGAGUGACUAUACCCUCAUUCGCUGUAGUUAGUACGUGAGAGUAUUUAGGGAGUGUCGAGUGUUAGAAAAUGCAUAUUUAUAAAGGAGAAAACCGUCAUUUGACAUUUCAAGUCUUACUAACAACCCUUACUUUUAUGUAUUUAACCUUCUUGUGAUUUAAUUACAUGUGUUUUAUUUUAAUUAAGUAUUUUAUGUAUUUUAGGUGCAUUAUAGUCAUUUCACAAUAAAGGAGAGAUCAGACGGCAAAACGGACAUCACUUUUGAACUCAGGACGGUCGAAAACCUUAGGAGGAGCAUAAAAGGAAAAAUCACACUAUUCACAUGUACGGUACUAUUCACGUGUACGGUACUGUCUACGUACUGUUCACGACACUGUUCACAUAGACGGAUCGAUGAUGUGGCAUUGACCGAUGAUGUGGCAUUGACUGAUGAGGUGUCACGAUCCUGUUGGGCUAAAAUUCUUAUGUACUGUUGAUGAUGACGUGGCAGCAUAUCAGUGGACGAAAAAUCUCUCGUACGGUACAUGCAUCACACAGGAUUAUUUUCAACCAAACCGUGUUACUGUUCAUCCGGGUCAAACCGUGUUACUGUUCAUCCCCGUGGUCAAACCACAUACUGUUGACUGAUGACGUGGCGCAAUCCUGAGCGUCCAAACUGUUUUUAAUCCGAUUGCCAUGAUUUACUCCAUGUAUCUAUAAAAAGGGGGCCUCUCCCCCCUAAUUGGAUAGCUCUAAAUCCAUUUUUGGGAUCCAUUUUCUGUAAUUCCUUCUCCAUCUUGUAUUUUCUUCAUAUUUUAAUAAAUUCCCAUUUUGCCCCUAGUUCAAUUAUGAGUGGCUAAUUUCCUUUCAAGCUUGGGUUGAAGGUGAAGUCUCAACAUGUAUCAUGGGCUUAAUUUGGUAAAUUUAUUUUCUCUUCCCCUCUAGAUUUUGUGUAUGUUUUGACUUCUCGUCGACAAAUAAUACUAAUCUUGUCUAGUACCGCCUUGGUUUCACCGGCCCUCUAGUACAAGGUUAUUAUUAUUUGGCACGAUAAGCCCUUAGCACCAUAUUGAUUAGAGCGUGGUUCAUGAGGUGUGGAUUCCCCCCUCAUGAUUUAAUUAGCAUUAAUAAGGAUUAUUUAGCCCAUGAUGCAUGUUGAUACGGAUCCAGAUACCCAAGUACGUCAUUUCAAUAUAAUUCUCUUCAAUUUAUUCUCGUCAUUUCAAUACCAAUUUUAGAAUUUAUUCUCGCCAUUUUAAUUUAAGUUUUAGCAUAUUCCAAAUUAUUUCCACAACAAAUCCAAUCACCCAUUUACAAAAUUAAUUCUACACAAUUAAAAUCCACCUCCUCGUGGGAUCGACACUCGUCACCAUUGAUCUAUACUACAAUAGAUUCGUGCGCUUGCGAGUACAUUAAAAUUUGCACAACAAGUUUUUGGCGCCGUUGCCGGGGAGGUAAGUUAUUUUAAUUUGUAGAAUUAAUUUUUGUCAAUAAUUUCUUUUAUUUGUUUUCUUGUAUUUUUUUUCUUAUUAAAAGAAAAAAAAAGGUGAAUCUACAUUUAAAGGUUAGUAUUUCUUUUCUUUUUCUCUUCUUUAAAAUUUUGUAAUUUAAUUUUCAAUUUAUUUUUUUUUCUUUGUAAUUUUUGUUUAUUUUAUUAAUUUAAUUUUUAGUUAAUUUAUUUCACGUAUUUGUUUUUGUGUAUUUUUAUAGAAAGGUUGUAAUAGCGCAAUAAGGUUAGUAUCAUAAUUUCUCCCUCUUCUUUAUUUUUAUUUGAUUUGUUCCCAUUUAUUUUUGUGUUUCUUGCAUGCAUGGUCGUAGGUCAUUAUUUCCUAAUCUUGAACCUAUAGACCUUGAAUUAGAAAAAACACUUCGCACACACAAACACGUUAAAAAUAAAAUGGAUUUACAAGCACCACAGGAGAGGCCAUUUAAGGAUUAUUUCAGUCCUUUAGCAAAUUUGAGCACAUCAUGCAUAAGAUACCCAAAUGUAGCUGCUAGGAGUUUUGAACUAAAACCUAGUGUGCUAAAUUGUCUCCCCACAUUUUAUGGCCUAGAAAAUGAGGACCCAUAUAAUCAUUUGAAUGAUUUUCAUGCUAUUUGUCAAACAUUUAAAUAUGAGAAUUUUUCAGAUGAUGAUGUUAAACUUAGAUUAUUCCCAUUUUCUUUAAAGGAUAGAGCUCGUUCAUGGCUUAAUACAUUGCCUGCCAAUAGCAUUGCAUCAUGGGAACAAAUGGUAACGAAAUUUUUGAAUAAAUAUUUCUCAGUGCAUAAAACCAAUGCUAUUCGCAGGGAAAUCUCAGAGUUUACCCAGAGAGAUGAUGAGCAGUUUUUCGAAACAUGGGAGCGAUUCAAUGGGCUACUCUUGAAGUGUCCACAUCAUGGGUACGAGAAAUGGCACUAAUGCCAAUAUUUUUUGGAGGGAUUAUUACCGAAUGUGCAAGAAUGGCUAAUGGCAACAAGUGGAGGAGAGCUAAUGUCAAAAAGUGCAUCAGAGAUUUGGGAAUUCUUCCAGAGACAAGCGGAUAAUUCCCAACAACGGAGUCGAUCACUCAGGAAUACUAGAAGGAUUAAAGGAGUGAAUGAGGUCCACAUUGGCGAGUCAAGUUCAGAAAUUAAAGAAGUCAAAGCGAUAAUUGAAGGUCUCUCUCGACAAAUAGCAUCGUUAUCGACUGCUAAAUCAACAGAGCCACAUGACCAUGACUCAUACUCAGAUCAAGCCAAUGCCAUUGGUAUAAUGAGAAAACCAUCGAAUUACAACCCAUACUCCAACACAUAUAACCCUGGAUGGAGAGACCACCCCAAUUUUUCAUGGUCUCAAGGAUUCCAACAGAAUGGACCAGCGGCUCCAGCUCUACCAAUUCCUCAAAAUCCUCAAGCCUCUCAGCCCCCAUUUAGACCAUACAAUCAGAACCAGAACUACACUCAGCCCAGACCAUGGGAGGAUUCAUUCCAGAAUCUUAAGAAUCUUAAGAAUCUUACUCACUCCACGAUUGAGCAACAUAACCGCACCAUUGAUGGACUACGAAAUGAGUUGAGAGCAGGCUUCAACUCACAAGCUCAAUCAGUUUCAAGCCUCAAGAAGAUGGUGGGACAACUUGCUUCUUUAGUUCAGACCUUGGCAAUGACCGUUGAGAAAGGUAAAUUUCCAAGUCAACCAGUGCCUAACCCUAAAGGAGUACAUGAAGCAAGUACCAGUUCACCACAACAGCAUGGAGAGGUCAAAGCAGUCAUGACCUUGCGAAAAGGAAAAGAAGUCGACAACAAAGUGGAGAUGCCGGUGACAAAAGAAAAUCAAAUUGUACCUUUGAAUGUUGAGGACUCACCACCGGAGGAAAAAAAAGAAACCAACCCACGAGAAUAUGUUCCUAAAGCUCCAUUUCCUCAGAGGUUAGCGAAAGGAAAGAAGGGAAAAUCCACAGGUGAGAUUCUUGAAAUCUUCAAACAGGUAAGUGUUAACAUCCCUUUACUUGAUGCGAUUAAACAAGUUCCAUCUUAUGCCAAGUUUCUUAAAGACCUCUGUACUAAAAAGAGAAAUAUGCAUGUUCAAAAGAAGGCAUUUUUAACAGAAAACGUUAGUUCUAUACUCCAACAUAAAAUUCCUCUAAAAUGCAAAAACCCAGGAUCCCCCACUAUCUCAUGUAGCAUAGGGAACCACACAAUUGAGAAUGCUUUGUUGGAUUUAGGAGCUAGUGUAAAUUUGUUGCCUUACUCUGUUUUCGUGAAACUUGGACUUGGAGAAUUACACCCAACUCCAGUGGUGUUACAACUCGCAGAUCGGUCCACGAAAAUACCUCGUGGUAUUGUGGAGGACGUGCUUAUCCAGGUAGACAAGUUUUAUUUUCCUGUUGAUUUCAUUGUAAUUGACAUUCAACCUAUACAGGAUUCAAGGAAGCACAUCCCUAUUAUCCUAGGCCGACAUUUCUUGGCAACUACGGAUGCUCACAUUCAAUGCAGGACUGGAAAUAUGCAGUUGUCCUUCGGCAAUAUGACUAUGGAGCUGAACAUCUUCAACAUUGCCAAACAACCUCAUAAUGCAGAUGAUGGAAUUGUUGAUGUGGAUUUAAUAGAAGCAUUAGUUGAUGACUCUUUUAUUUCACACCUUAGUGAUGAUCCUUUACAAACAUGUUUAACUCACUUUGGUUUGGAUUUUGAUAUUGACAGAUCAGUUGAUGAGGUCAACGCCCUGCUUGACUCAGCACCAUCCAUGGACACUAAUAAAUGGAAGUCACGAGUUGAACAACUAGCACCAUCAGAGAAGAAACUCAUCCCAUCAUCAGAAUCACCACCGAAACUCGAGCUCAAACCAUUGCCCAACACAUUGGAAUAUGCAUUUUUAGGGGAAGAAAGUUCUCUGCCGGUAAUCAUCUCAUCAUCCCUCAAUGACAAACAAAAAGGUAAGUUGUUGGAUGUUUUAAAAGAGCACAAAGGAGCAUUAGGAUGGACCAUAGUGGACAUAAGAGGUAUAAACCCAGUAGACUGCAUGCAUUACAUUCACCUCGAUGAAAAUGCUAAAUCUACUAGGGAAAUGCAACGUCGGUUAAAUCCUAAUAUGAAAGAAGUUGUUAGAACUGAAGUCCUUAAGCUAUUAGACACAGGUAUCAUUUACCCAAUUUAUGAUAGUUCAUGGGUCAGUCCUGUACAAGUUGUCCCCAAAAAGUCAGGAGUCACAGUAGUUACCAAUGCUGAUAAUGAAUUGAUACCAACUAGAGUAACUACAAGAUGGCGUGUAUGCAUUGAUUAUAGAAAGUUGAAUUCUGUCACACAUAAAUACCAUUUUCCUUUACCAUUUAUCGAUCAAAUGCUUGAUAGAUUAGCAGGUCAUGAAUUUUAUUACUUUUUAGAUGGCUACUCAGGAUAUAAUCAGAUUCUCAUAGCACCAAAAGAUCAGGAGAAAACUACUUUCACUUGCCCUUUUGGCCCAUUUGCAUAUACGAGGAUGCCAUUUGGAUUAUGUAAUGCACCUGCUACAUUUCAACGAUGCAUGUUAAGCAUUUUUUCUGAUAUGGUUGAACGAUUCCUUGAAGUCUUUAUGGAUGACUUUUCUAUCUUUGGUGAUUCGUUUGAUCAAUGUUUACAUCAUCUAACACUAGUUCUGCAGAGAUGUAUUGAGAAGAACUUGAUCUUAAAUUGGGAGAAGUGCCAUUUUAUGGUAAAACAAGGUAUUGUUCUCGGUCACAUCAUUUCGAGCAAAGGUAUUGAGGUUGACAAAGCCAAGGUGGAUCUCAUUUCUAAUCUUCCUCCACCUAAAACAGUCAUAGAAGUAAGAUCUUUCCUUGGGCAUGCUGGUUUUUAUAGACGUUUCAUUAAAGAUUUUAGCAAAGUUUCUCGACCCUUAUGCAAUCUACUUGCUAAGGAUGUACCUUUUGUCUUUGAUGAUUCAUGUCUUGUGGCAUUUGGAAAAUUAAAGCAGUUGUUGACAUCAUCACCCAUCAUUCAGCCCCCAAACUGGAGCUUACCAUUUGAGCUCAUGUGUGAUGCAUCUGAUUAUGCAGCAGGAGCAGUGUUAGGACAAAGAGUUGAUCGAAUUCCCCAUGUUAUUUACUAUGCUAGUAUGACAUUGAAUGAUGCACAGUUGAACUAUUCAACUACUGAAAAAGAAAUGCUAGCAGUAGUGUUUGCAUUAGAGAAAUUUCGAUCUUAUCUCAUUGGUUGUAAAAUAAUUAUAUUCACAGAUCAUGCUGCUCUUAAAUAUCUUCUCACAAAGAAAUAUGCAAAAGCUAGACUAAUUCGUUGGGUGUUACUUUUACAGGAGUUUGACUUGGAAUUCAAAGAUAAGAAAGGCACAGAGAAUGUUGUGGCGGACCACCUCUCUCGUCUCCAUUUUGACACAAUUACAGAAUCAUUACCAUUGAAUGAGUCAUUUCCAGAUGAACAAUUAAUGAAUGUGGAAGUAUUACCUUGGUAUGCUGAUAUAGUUAAUUAUCUUGUUACAGGUCAACUUCCAGAGCAUUGGACCAAGCAAGAUAAGGCUAAAUUCUUUGCAGAAAUAAAGAAUUUCUUUUGGGAUGACCCGUAUUUGUUCAAGUGUUGUGCAGACCAAAUUGUUAGACGAUGUGUCCCAGAAAGUGAAAUUCAGAAUAUCCUUUCAUUUUGCCAUGAACAAGCUUGUGGAGGCCAUUUUAGUGCUAAGAAAACAGCAACUAAAGUUUUACAAUGUGGUUUUUAUUGGCCAACUAUAUUUCGAGACGCUUACACUUUCUGUUCUUCAUGUGAUAGGUGUCAACGAAUGGGGAGCAUUACGCGAAGGAACAUGAUGCCACUAAAUCCAAUUCUAGUGGUUGAGAUUUUUGACGUAUGGGGUAUCGACUUCAUGGGACCCUUUCCCCCUUCUUUUGGCCACCAAUACAUAUUGGUUGCUGUUGACUACGUAUUGAAAUGGGUAUAAGCAAUUUCAUGCAGAACCAAUGAUCACAAAGUGGUGAUAGGAUUUUUGAAAAGCAACAUUGUUUCACGCUUUGGAUUCCCUCGAGCAAUAAUCAGUGAUGGUGGUGCCCACUUUUGUAACAAAGCAUUCAAAGCUUUUUUGACUCAAUCACUCACAAAGUGGCGACUCCGUAUCAUCCGCAAACCAGUGGCCAAGUUGAGAUCUCCAAUCGAGAAAUAAAGCACAUAUUAGAAAAAACAGUGAGGCCAGACAGAAAAGAUUGGUCAUUAAGACUUGAUGAUGCAUUAUGGGCAUAUAGAACGGCUUUCAAGACCCCGAUUGGGAUGUCACCCUACAGGCUAGCGUAUGGAAAAGCUUGCCACCUACCUGUGGAACUCGAGCAUCGUGCGUAUUGGGCCAUCAAGAAAUUCAACUUUGACAUGCAGCAAGCCAGCUCAGAAAGAAGAUUACAACUGACAGAACUUGAAGAAAUUCGCAAUGACGCAUACGAAAAUGCCAAGAUUUACAAGCAACGGAUGAAAGUCUUUCAUGACAAGCAAAUUAUGAGAAAAUCGUUCACUCCAGGUCAGAAAGUGCUUUUAUUCAAUUCUCGUUUGCACCUAUUCCCAGGUAAGUUACGCUCUCGAUGGUCUGGUCCCUUUAUUGUUCAUACUGUUUUUCCACAUGAGGCAAUUGAAAUUAAGGACCCAAAGAACGGUGUCACGUUUAAAGUUAAUGGUCAAAGAUUAAAGCCAUAUCUAGAGUACCAACCACAUGGAGAAGACACCGAAAUAAAUUUGAGUGACCCACCAGAUUUGAAUUGAUUUUUUUUUUUUCGUUGAUUUGAUUUUUUUUUCUUUAUAUUAUUCUUCUGCUAAUUGAAAUUAUUUUUGCAUAAGUGUGUUUGUUUAACUAUUAAGUUUUCUUUUAUCGUUUUUAAUCAUGAGUACCUUACUUAGACCGUUCCUCCUGAACAUUCUUAAACCACUUCAACGUGUCAAAACUCAUCUCAAAAGGCAGAUUCAAUUUUGUAAAACACAUCGCAUUUGGGCUCUACAACCACCAGAGUUAGUAGCCUAUGUUGAGGGUUUAGAACGCCAACUCAGAGACAUUGAAAGAAGUGUUUACGACACCCAGUUGGAGCUUGAGGUAAAUUCAAUAAGAGGACGAUUUUAAUUUUCUUUGUGUGUUUUAAUUUGUUUUUCUGUUUGUGUGCUUUAGUUUGUUACCCCGGUGAAGUGGCGGAUAACGGUACUCCAUGACAAUCAAGUCGGUUACUUCAGUUUCCCAUAAUAACUGAUAUUUUGAGGCGAAAGUAUGGACAAAAACGACAUUCUAGCGAAGCUUCACAAGCGAUUCCCUUCACUUCCUCAGAAUGCCCUCCUUACGAUCUAUAAAGCUCGGUCCGAACGCAUGCGAUUACUUAUGAGGAAUAAUAUACCUGCUGACAUCCGUUGGUUAAUCGAGGCUAAAGUACGAUCGGCAGGUGAGUUACCUCCAAAAUUUAUUGCAUACAUGCUUGGUUGUGGUAAAGGAAAUUAUGCAAGAAAACGACGAGCUCAAAGAAUUUCUGUUGCUUGUCAUAAGUGCGCCAGAAUGAGUUGCAAUAAAAACCCAUGUUCUUUAGGAAUGGUGUCUGAUAACAGGGAAGAUAAAAUUCAAUUCAUUAGGGAUGGCUUGAAUAAGGAGUCAUUGGAUGAUAUCAUUUUGUCUCUUGAAACGCAUCCCAGUGGAUAUGUGCAAGGAGCGAUUCUCCAGUUAUGGCCAUUAUUCCAGAAAGAGCAUGCACGAUAUAGUCUUGGGAAUCUGACUAUAAACGACCCUGUUUGCCAGUUUAUAAGAAAACUGGAUAGGAAGCCUAUCCUCGACCCAUAGAGGGCGUUCAAGCCGUUUCUGGAUGUAAAACCAGAGGAAGAUGUGAGCCACAGUCGCAACUACCUGUAAAUAUCCUUUCACUUUACUGUUAUUUUAUUUCACUAUUGUUUUAUUGUGUGCAUUAUUGUCUUUAAUAAUUUUAUUAUUGUUUGCUUUUUCCUUAUUACUGUUUGCUUUUUCCUUUUUACUGUUUCCUUUUUGACUCGCGAGCCACGUGCUUUACGCGUUAUUUGACACUGACAUGUUACCUCAUACACAACUGUGACCUACUGUCACCAAGACUCUUAAAUGUGAUUUUUUUUUACAAGCACUCACAAAUUAUUUUUUGAGAAGUAUCACAAUGGCAGCUACUCCAAAUAGACAAUUCAAGAACAUUUGUGUGCUUUCUGGAUUUACCUAUGGCAAACAUAAAGAGUUCGUUGAGGCAGCCAUCGAUCUUGGUCGAAGCAUGGCAGCGAGAAAAUUACACUUGGUGUAUGGAGGAGGUAACCGAGGAUUAUCAAAAAUGGUCUCAGAAGCAGCUUUUAUCAGAGGACGUCAAGUGUUAGGCAUCAUCCCAAGAGUCCUAAAACCAUUGGGUAGUUCGUCUGACUCAUCAACUGGAGAAGAGUUAGUCGUCUCAGGUAUACAAGAAAGAAUAACUGAAAUGCUUAAUCAUGCUGAUGCUUUUAUUUUCCUUCCAGGAGAUCUUGCAACACUAGAGGCACUUAUCACACUAGCAUCUUGGGCCCAUCUGCACAUUCACCAGAAACCCAUCGGUUUGUUAAAUGUCAAUAAGUUUUAUGAUGGCUUUAUCGCAUUUCUUAACCAUGCAAUAAAAAACUAUUUCAUUCCCUCUAAUGCGAAAAAACUCUUUAUUUGUGCUCACACUGCUAAUGAGCUACUUGAUCAGUUACAAGCUUAUAGACCGGAGCCAGACCCCUGGACCUUUGUGUUAGAGCAUCCAAAUAAUGAUGGUAACAGUAGCCGCAGUAAGAAGUACAAAUUAGAUUUAACUCUCCGCCUGUAAAUAUUUUCUUCUGUGUUGCACCACCCAGGUGAUGUCUUCUAAACUCUACUUCGUUCCUUUCAAACAUUGAGGACAAUGUUUCGUUCUGGUUGGGGGGAGGGAAUAGUCGACAAUUGUGGAAUUUUGGUUAAGUUUUUACUAAUUUUUUGUUGUAGAAACUAACUGUUGCUAACUUUUUGUGUUGAAGAUGGCUGAAUAUGGAAUGUAGUGACUCUAGAAACGCAUCUUCAUCGUUAAAAAAAAAAUUUUAAAAAAAAAAUUUAAAAAAAAAAAUUCAGACAUUUUCUUUUUCUUUAUUAUGUUUUUAUGUUUAUUUUUCUUCUUUUUAAUUUCUCCUCUAUAAAUAUACAUUUUCCAACUUGUGAGUCGAAGAUGGCUGAAUAUGGAGUGUAGUGCCUCUAGAAACGCAUCUUCUUAAAAAAAAAAAAUCAUUUUCGUUUUCUAUCAUUUUACGUGUAACUUUUCUAAUUAGUUUUUAUGCAUCAUCUUCACAUUUCUGCAUGCAUAUUUUCCUUUCAUGUUUAGAAUAGGUUGGCGGGUAGAUUGGUAUUUAAAAAAAAAUUGUGUGAUUUGUUUUAACAUUGGAUGACAUGAUUAAUUUCAAAUUUUAGUAUUUGUAUUAUCUUUGGUCUUAAGUGAUGUUACGCUAUGUUUGCUACUUUACAUGUUGAUGUCGGAGACAAAUAUGAGUUGCUUGAAGGAAUGACCAUGUCAUAAAUAAGUGCCAAGUGAGUUGUUGAGCCUAUCAUUUUCUUGGAGAGUAACCUUUUUUGCCCAUUCUCUAUACAGCUUAGCAGUUUAUUAUUUUAUACACGAUCUCUAGAUUUCUUUUGAGUUAACCCUUAAAAAAAAUGGUAAAAUAAAAAAAAAAAGUGUGUUGCUACAUUGGGAGGCCUGUCUAACUAGUAGAUAUGGAUGAUUAUUUAGAGCCCUAAAAGACGAUGGAAAGGCCAUCUUUGAUCCGUUUGAGCCUUUCUAGCCAUCCCUUUUAUUAAAUAUCCAUAGUUAACCCUUUUGAGCCUUUAAAAAAAAAAAAACAUUUUCUUUGUCAACUUAUCAUCUUGACCCACUCCAAUUUGAAGUAUUACCCGAUGUCUUAUAAGUUCCAUCACCUAUUUAUGUUUGAGAAAAUGUAAAUAAUUAUGUUGUUCAGUGAAGUUAUGCCAAAUAAAAGCAAAAAAAAAAAAAAAUUGUUGUUUCAAAAGAAUAAAAAUAACAACAAUAGGUGAAAUCCACCCUUGCAACUUCCAAAAAAAAAAUUAAAAAAAAAAAAAUUCUCUGCAUUUUUCUCAAGCAUACACUUUGUUUUCCUUAUUUCCUUUCUUUGUUAGCCAUAUCCCUAGCCUACGUUACGUCCUAAUAAAAGUCCUUGAUUUUAGGGAACUCCUGUUUGAAGUAGAAGCUAGUUAUAUGGGCUAAAAAGAUGUAGUGGUGCAUAAUAAUAAUGAAAAAAAAAAGAGAUAAAUAAAUUGGGUUGACUAGCAUUUUUGUUUGAUUUGAGAUCGUAUUAUUUCUAAGCUGAGGGCAUAUUUAUUUCAUCUUGGUGAGAGCAUGUGAUAUCACUUCUUUAUUAUUUUCUCUCUCAAGUACCAUUCAUUGGAGUGACUAUUUUUAUUAGGUUCAAUUUCUUUGUGAGAGUGUCACUACUUCUAGUGAGAUUUUGGGGUUUGACAUGUCAUUCUUGAAAGUAGCUAUAACAAAGUCUACUGGGCUGAUUCAUGUGGAUGGUUGAUGUGGGUGUGAUGUUGCUUUAGACUGGAGAUAAUGCUUAUACUUUUAUUUGAUUGCUAUCAUUAAUCUGAUUGAAUAAACACGAGUGUUUCUAAAAAAGAAAAAAAAUCAUUUUGAAUUUGAAUUUUGUUUUCGCCUUAUUUGCUAGGGACUAGCAAUAAGCUGGUUGGGGGGUGUGUUGAGUGUUAGAAAAUGCAUAUUUAUAAAGGAGAAAAUCGUCAUUUGACAUUUCAAGUCUUACUAACAACCCUUACUUUUAUGUAUUUAACCUUCUUGUGAUUUAAUUACAUGUGUUUUAUUUUAAUUAAGUAUUUUAUGUAUUUUAGGGGCAUUAUAGUCAUUUCACAAUAAAGGAGAGAUCAGACGGCAAAACGGACAUCACUUUUGAACUCAGGACGGUCGAAAACCUUAGGAGGAGCAUAAAAGGAAAAAUCGCACUAUUCACAUGUACGGUACUAUUCACGUGUACGGUACUGUCUACGUACUGUUCACGACACUGUUCACAUAGACGGAUCGAUGACGUGGCAUUGACCGAUGAUGUGGCAUUGACUGAUGAGGUGUCACGAUCCUGUUGGGCUAAAAUUCUUAUGUACUGUUGAUGAUGACGUGGCAGCAUAUCAAUGGACGAAAAAUCUCGCGUACGGUACAUGCAUCACACAUGAUUAUUUUCAACCAAACCGCGUUACUGUUCAUCCAGGUCAAACUGUGUUACUGUUCAUCCACGUGGUCAAACCGCGUACUGUUGACUGAUGACGUGGCGCAAUCCUGAGCGUCCAAACUGUUUUUAAUCCGAUGGCCAUGAUUUACUCCAUGUAUCUAUAAAAAGGGGGCCUCUCCCCCCUAAUUGGAUAGCUCUGAAUCAAUUUUUGGGAUCCAUUUUCUGUAAUUCCUUCUCCAUCUUGUAUUUUCUUCAUAUUUUAAUAAAUUCUCAUUUUGCCCCUAGUUCAAUUACGAGUGGCUAAUUUUCUUUCAAGCUUGGGUUGAAGGUGAAGUCUCAACAUGUGUCAUGGGCUUAAUUUGGUAAAUUUAUUUUCUCUUCCCCUCUAGUUUUUGUGGAUGUUUUGACUUCUCGUCGACAAAUAAUACUAAUCUUGUCUAGUACCGCCUUGGUUUCACCGGCCCUCUAGUACAAGGUUAUUAUUAUUUGGCACGAUAAGCCCUUAGCACCAUAUUGAUUAGAGCGUGGUUCAUGAGGUGUGGAUUCCCCCCUCAUGAUUUAAUUGGCAUUAAUAAGGAUUAUUUAGCCCAUGAUGCAUGUUGAUACGGAUCCAGAUACCCAAGUACAUCAUUUCAAUAUAAUUCUCUUCAAUUUAUUCUCGUCAUUUCAAUACCAAUUUUAGAAUUUAUUCUCGCCAUUUUAAUUUAAGUUUUAGCAUAUUCCAAAUCAUUUCCACCACAAAUCCAAUCACCCAUUUACAAAAUUAAUUCUACACAAUUAAAAUCCACCUCCUCGUGGGAUCGACACUCGUCACCAUUGAUCUAUACUACAAUAGAUUCGUGCGCUUGCGAGUACAUUAAAAUUUGCACAACAGGGAGCAAGUUGUAUGACUCUACAGGGUUACCUCGAACUAUUUCAAGACCAACUUCUCUCGCUCGAUAUGCCUGCUGGUAUGUUAACUGAACACCGUAUUCCUGUUGCAUAUUUGGCACGAUAAGCCCUUAGCACCAUAUUGAUUAGAGCGUGGUUCAUGAGGUGUGGAUUCCCCCCUCAUGAUUUAAUUGGCAUUAAUAAGGAUUAUUUAGCCCAUGAUGCAUGUUGAUACGGAUCCAGAUACCCAAGUACGUCAUUUCAAUAUAAUUCUCUUCAAUUUAUUCUCGUCAUUUCAAUACCAAUUUUAGAAUUUAUUCUCGCCAUUUUAAUUUAAGUUUUAGCAUAUUCCAAAUCAUUUCCACCACAAAUCCAAUCACCCAUUUACAAAAUUAAUUCUACACAAUUAAAAUCCACCUCCUCGUGGGAUCGACACUCGUCACCAUUGAUCUAUACUACAAUAGAUUCGUGCGCUUGCGAGUACAUUAAAAUUUGCACAACAGGGAGCAAGUUGUAUGACUCUACAGGGUUACCUCGAACUAUUUCAAGACCAACUUCUCUCGCUCGAUAUGCCUGCUGGUAUGUUAACUGAACACCGUAUUCCUGUUGCAUAUCUGCUCUUAUGUCAUUGGGAGUAUAAAUCCUCUUAUCUUGAAUAUAUUUUUCUACGAUAAUAUGACCGACAACCCGGCUCCUUACUUGAUGACGUCCAUCAACCAAUACCUCAUUAUGACAAGUGUGUACAUUGUCAAUUCUCUUCACCACCCAAGGAACAUUUUGCUCGUUCGAACAUCUAGUUGCUCGAAUACGCAAUUUACAUGAUUCUGAACAACAGUGAGCCUCGAAACGUGUCGUAGUAGACCGUGCAAUUUUGAAAUCAAACUUAUCUCUAAAGGCCACCUUGCGUAGUUGUAAUAUAAACUCAUUAUUCUCAGCAAAUAGCUUACCCAUACUGAUAUCAUCUGAGUCACAACUGCUAACAAAGCUUGGAGCAACCAUGUUCGAAGGCAAAGUUGGAGCAAGACUUGUAAGGGGGUCAAUUCUCCUUCUCGAUCGAACCAUAGAAGGAAUAAGUCUAUUGCCUCUGUUAUUCACAGGAGUAUUGUCUUCACACUCAUCCUCAUACUAAAACGACGGAACAUUCGAAUGAUCGGCUUCUCCAUAAUCACCAUCAUUAUUGAAAUGAGUGCCCCCCCUCGUAUUAUUAGAAGGUUCUGCACAAACAUUAUCCCCCUCUGUCUCAUUAUGAAAAUCAUCAUUGUCCAGAAAAUCAUUGUUGUGAUACGGAGAAUACCGUUGCUCCAACGACGUCGUUAUUGGAAAUACCGUUGCUCCAACAUCCUGUAACGUAACGCCAUUAUCAUCAAUAUUGUCAUAAUUGUCAUGGAUUGGAGAGUAAUAUUGCUGCAGCGAUAUUGUCCUUGGCAACAUCUCUUCAUCAUUAUCAGGGCCAGACAUAUUUGCUCUAAACGACAUUUCUGUAUCGACAUGUGACUCAAUACCUUCGCUCGGAACUCGAGGUGAUGUGGUCAUGAAUAUAGGAAUGCAUCCAAAAUUGGCUACGUCGGAUGCCAUAUGCAACACAACCCUCACCAUUUUAUCAUCACAUAUAUCCAUGGGCAUUGCACAUAUACGAUAUAAUGUGUUACUAGACCUCAAAGUUGUCUUCAUUGUGAUACUAUAUUCAUUAAAGUUUAUUUGUAACACCUCGUAUACUCUUGCCAAUAACUGAUCAAACAGACAAUUUUUCCUAACCAAAAAAGCUCGAUUUUUACCAUUCACAUACUCCAUACGACCAUCCUCUAAUGUCUCCCACCAACCAUCGUAACACAAUUCAAGUACAACUGAAUCCAUUAAGCCUAAAAUUAUUAAAAAAAAAAUUAUUUGAGCCCUAUCAAAAUAAUACAGUUUUAAUGAAUUUCCAAGGGUGGGUGCGGCAGGCAACCUGUCGCCCGAAGCUUGGUGCGACAGGCACCCCUGUCGCACCAAGCAAGGUGCGACAGGUGCUUGUCGCACCAAACCUUGGUGCGACAGGUGCCUGUCGCACCAACCCAACCUGUCGCACCAAGUUUUGCUGCGACAGGCAGCCUGUCGCCAGAUUCACCCCCCGACUCAGUUCUGCAAGUUCUGAAAAUAACUCGUACCACUAAGUGAUGCCGAUUAGUGUUGGAUCCGGAUAGAUUAUGAUCGGAUUUCACUUUUACCGUUGUGUUUUGCCGUCGCCGUUGGCUGAUGAUUCAAGAGUGGAAAGCUGCGUUUGGUUUGACGAUAUGGGAGAAACAAUGUUGGUUUUGUUCUGUAAAGAAUGGUAAUUUAGGAAGAAAAGCUUGUGUUUGGCUAAUGUUGAUAGAAAAAAGUUGAGAGGGUUAAUUAUGAAAAUAACAAAAUAUUUAUGGUUAUUUUAAUAAAUUUUCCCAAAUGGUUGCGUUAACGUGUAUAUUUGGGAACAUCAAAUACAAACAAAGACCAUGUGAAAAAGAAAUAUUCGCUGUUUAGUUCUCAAAUAUUCGCUGUCACAAAUGGUUGCGUUAACAUGUCCAACAACGAUUAUUAUGAAAAUUUCGGAGAAUUUGCGAGAAGUGGGAUGAUUAAGAAAAUGCAGGAGCAGGACAUUUAUGACCUCUAUUAGUAAUUUGAUUUCGUGAAGCAUUUUCAAAAGGAAAAUAAUGCACACAAUUGGAGACUAGGUGAUGACAAUGAAAGAUCACAUAACCGACUUAAUAAUUUAUAUGCAUUAAUGUGGAAUCGACAAUUCUAAACCAUGUUAAAGUCAACCAAAAAGACAAAUCAUGGAAAGCGGCAAUUGCUAAAUUACGUUGCGUGUAUUUUGGGAUCAUCAAAUACAAACAACGACCACGUUAAAAGAAAAGCAACAGCUGACGAGAUUGGUAAAGAUAUAUCAAAAGAAAGAGUAACAGAACAGAGCACGUUACAAGAGCUGAUUGCUUUCUUAAUUUUUGGUCAAUAUUUAACACAAAAUAAAAGUCAAUGAAAAAACGUGGAAUUUAUGUCAAUUAACUUAUUUAAUAAUUUUGACCGAAGCAUAACAAAACGCUCGCUCACGGUCGCAGUCACUUUGAAGAUCAUUCAUGUAAAAGCUUUGUAAUUUAAUAAAUGGCGUGGAAAAUGGUAACGAGAGCUCACGGGCAACCCCAAAACAACAAGUGAAAGAGUGCCUCGUGAUAUGAUUCACGGCCCUCAAGAAACACGCCUUCUGCCCCUCGUGAUUUAAUCAAAAUUUGGACUCACGCUACAGUGAAAUGCAAUUAACAAUUUUUUAUCAAUAAAAUCGCCAGAAAAUUCUCAAUUAUUUUAUUUUUAGUUAUUAGGUGUCGGGUUGACAUCAGGCCCAAUGGAAGCCUUUGACCUGAAGGGCUUUCUAUAAUGUAAACUGGUGGCAUGAGGCCCAUUCCAGAAUAGGCCCUUGAGCCGAGCCCAAAUGGCAUGACCUUGAAUCUCUUCAGUCAGAAUGACAAAUGGAUGCGGUGCGUACUGUGCUCGUGUCCAUUUGUUCAUUGCUCGCCGACGCUAACUGCCUAACUAGGCCAACUUUAUUCAGACUGCAAUAGAAUGGACCAACAAACAUGCCAUAAAUCCUUGUGCUAAUUAAUUAUUAUUAGUUAUAUUUAUAAAUAAGCAAAACGAGAGAUGCAGGGAGUGAGAGUAAUACCAUAUAUGUAUUGAAAAUUGCAUAAAAUUUGAUAUAAAAAAAUACAAAAGACAAAAAAAAAAAAAAGUAAGUUUGUAUUUAUUUAACUCCAAUAAUCAUAAUAAACUAUUGAAUUAUAGACCAGAAGUUCUAUCUACAUAAUUAGAAGGCACAAACACUAUUUCUGCUAAUUGAAGAAAAUCAAGAAAUGCUGAUUCCGUCAUGCUUAGUUUCAUGUUAGUUAAAGUUUAAAGCGAUCAGAUUCAUAAUCAUUAAUAUGCUUUUAUACGAAUCCUUGGUUUUGAAUAUAAUAAUGGUUUCAGAAAUGCAUACCUGUUAGUUCUCCAUUUCUUGACUCCGAGGAAAAUUUGACUUGUCAGAUGAAGCAAUGUUAUAAGAGGUUUCAUACACAGCUUAUACGCGAUCACUACCAUGCUUACAUGUAAAACGUUGCUGCAAUCAUACUGGACAGACCUUCAGAGGUUACUCUUCGAAGCGUUUCAUGAUGCCACGUGUACUUGAUUAUUUGACUAAUCACGGUUCACAAGUUGAGUGAGCUACUCACCACACCACCUUCCUGCUGCAAAGAAUUUUAACUGAACUUUGACUUGGUCAGAAACUCAGAAUAACUGAGGACCCAAAUGACGAAUUCUAAAAGCUGAAUGAUGUAUGUGUAAAUUAAAUAUAACUAUUAAUCAUAUGGUAAUUUUUUAAAAGAAGUACAUAUAUGUCAUAUGUAUACUAAGUGGGUGUAGUGCAACGAAGGUGCUCUAAUAUUUUUUCAGUGAACACAAUAUAAUCAUCAAAGUGAAAGAAAAACUUUUGAGGUUUUGGUGUAUUCAUUAGUGAAAUUUGAGCCGAAAAGAAAAAUUCAUAUUUGUAAACAUCAAAACCAAAAUCAUUUGGAAUUACUUGCUGAAAUUGAUUAGGUCAUUUUUAACCUCAAAUUUAAGAUCAUUAAUCAUUGCAUGAAUGUUUUGAUUUUAAUAUCAGUGGCAAUCACGGACACGUCUAAUGAUUUGAUUAAAUUUGUGUUUAGUUCUAUAAAUUAUUUCAAUCAUUGUUAUGAUUUUUUUGGGUUGACUCGACGGAGCAACUAAUAAUUACCCAGUUCUGCUGCUGAAUUUAUUUCCCAAGAUUUGAUUAAACAGAACUCCCCUAAAACUUCAGUUCAUUUCACUAUUGUAAUAGAGGUUUCAUUCACGUUGAAUGUCUAGUAUAAUUACUGAUAGUUAUAUGUUGAAUGCUACCUCAAUGUAGCUUACUGCCGCAAUAAUACCUGAUGAUUUUUUAUGACAAAAAAUUGUAUGAUUAAAAUGAUUAUAAGAUCAUCUAAAGCCGAGUUUCACCAUUAACUACCAAAAUACUCCAGAAAUCCAAUACAUUUAACUAAACACAAAUUUAAUCAAAUCGUUAGACACUCAACCUGAAAGUGGAUUCGAAGUAAUAUUAAUGAAAACAAAGAAACAGGGGGACCCUCGUGAUCGCCAACGCCAUCUUACCCUUGAUAAAGAGAAAGAAGUCAAGCUCCAUAUAAUAUAAUACCUCACAAAUUAUACAGAAAAAAAUGGCCUCAUUUCAGAUGCUACAUAGAUGGUUUUCAUGAAUCCUCGUUUUGUGUGAUGAAUUUUUUUUUUUUGACAUUUAAUAGAGUAUACAAAAUAAAAAUAAAAAUUUAAAAUUUACUAGAUGAGCCAAUAAAGUAUAGUAGUGUUCAGAAAUUUUUUUUUUUUUUUUUCUAGAAUGUGAAUAACCCAUCCAAAGUAAUGUUACCUUAUUAGACUGAGGUUCUCCCCCCUCCCCCACAAAAAAAAAAAAGUUGCUUCUUGGUUUUUAAUGCAAACACGAUUACACGAAGAGCUUUCGUUAAUAGUGCUUUUAGAUUGGAUUUCUAUGUUAAAAUAUAAAUCAGUUUUAGAACACUAAAUUGAGGGAGAAUAUUCGAUUUGAUCUUAUUGUAGGCUACUUCAAGAGUGUAAGAAACUGCUCCUGGAGCAUGCUAUUACAUGUUUUGUUUGUGGAAAAUGAUAUUUGUGCUGUCAAUUUUAUGCUGCAAUGGCACUAUAGUAUAAGCAAUACCCAUAUUUCUGCAUGACUUCCGAAUAUCUUGCAGCUGUUCAAAUAACAAUGCUCUUUGUUUGCCUACAAACCUCUAUUUUCUGUCAACAUAAUCGAGGUAGCAACCCGCUAAUAAUUUUGUAAAUUGAGCCUGGAUGAAAAAUUGAUGAAUGUGUGGGUGAGAAUAAUCAUUACUCAAAUCUUUCACUGAUGUCCUAAAUGAUUUCUCCUUCUAUAGAUUACAGUGGUUGGUUAUAAUCACAAAUUGAGGAUCUUGCUGGAAGCUGUUGUUCAAAAAAUUGCAGAAUUCAAAGUGAAACCAAACAGAGCACUUAUUUCGGUCUAAGUAGCCACAGUAAAGAUUGAAUUGUGCAAUUGUUUGUGUGGAAUCAAGUUAGUUAUAUUCGGUUAUAACAGCUGAGCUGGAAAGCUGAGUCAGCAAGGGUGGGUCCCCAGGUGGUUUUAGUUAGUCGUUAUAACCAGCUGUAAACUGCUAGCUUUAUAAGCUUCAGUGAGAGAGAGAGCUGAUCAGUUAGUUAAGCGAGAUAGUUUGUGAGCUGAGAAAGAUUCUCUGUGUGAGUUUAGUUUCUUGCUCUGAGUGGAUUCCAUUGUAAUCUUGAUAUCUCCUAAUAAAGCUUUAGCUCUACUGUUCCUGAUCGUGGAUGUAGGUACCUUGGUACCGAACCACGUUAUCUUUGUCUUGAGUCUUUAAAGUUCUUUAUCUUGCUCUGUUGUUUCUGGUGUUGGUAUCAGUUGUUCCUGGGUUCUUGCUUUGGUUGUGUUUAGUUAUUGCAUCAGUAGAAUUGCAAGGUUGAUCAGAAUAUUCCAACAAACUGGUAUCAGAGCUUGGUCAUCUAUCAAGCUCCUUGAAAUCCUCCAAUGGCAUCUACAAGAUUCGAUCUGGAGAAGUUUAAUGGGGACAAUGACUUCUAUUUGUGGAGUCUCAAAAUGAGGGCAAUCUUGAUUCAGCAAGGAUUAGAUGCUGCUCUUGAAGAUGAUGAAGAUUCAAAGGCCAAGAAAGGGAAGGAAGAAGAAUCAUCCAGCUCUGGCAGAGACAUGAAGACUAUCAACAACAAAGCUCAUAGCACUAUCAUCCUACAUCUCUCGAAUGAAGUGCUAAGAGAGGUGUCUAAAGAAAAGACUGCUUCUGGUCUAUGGGAGAAACUAGAAGAAUUAUUUUUAAAGAAAUCUCUAGCCAAGAGACUGUACAUGAAGAGAAAGCUAUACACAUUUUCAAUGAAGGAUGGAACAGCUUUGAAAGAUCAUGUGGAUGAAUUUAAUAAGCUGAUCCUAGACCUUGAAAAUGUGAAUAUAGUUCUUGAGGAUGAAGAUAGAGCCCUGAUCCUAUUAAGCUCACUCCCAGACUCUUACGAGCAUUUUGUUGACACAUUGCUUUAUGGAAGACAAACACUUACAUUAAAGGAUGUAAAGAAUGCCCUGGAAUCAAAGGACUUGAAGAGGAAAAUAGAUGGGAAGGAUCAAAACCCUGCAGAAAGCUUAGUUGCAAAAGCAAAACCAGAUAAGAAAUUCUACAAGGACAAGAAGAAUAGCAACCAGAAAGAUAAACCAGACAAGAAGAAAAAGAAGAGAAAAUGUUACUUUUGCCAAAAAGAAGGUCAUUACAUCAAGGAUUGUUUUGAAAAGAAGAAGCUUGAGAAAUUACAGAAGGAAUCUGAUGGAAAGGCUGCUGUAGCCUCUGAAGAUGAAGGGAUGUCAGAUGAUGCAGAUGUCCUCAUUGCUGCAGAAAAGCAAUCUUCAGGUGAGUGGAUUCUUGACUCAGGUUGCUCCUUCCAUAUGUGUCCAAAUAUAGAUUUCUUUAAGACCUUUGAACAAGUUGAUAGUGGAAAGGUCUUGCUUGGUAACAAUCUUGCCUGUAAAGUAGCUGGAAUUGGAACCAUUAAUAUUAGGAUGUUUGAUGGGAUUGAAAGAGAUCUAAAACAGGUCAGAUAUGUUCCAGAAUUAAAAAGAAAUCUAAUAUCUUUAGGAGUAAUGGAUCAGUUGGGCUGUAGUAUAAAAGCAGAGAAUGGAAAUCUUCAAAUUGAAGAUAAAGGCCAGGUUAUAAUGAAAGGCAUAAGGAGGAAUGGUUUAUAUGUACUUGCUGGCUCAACAACUAUGCCAGCAAUCACAGCUAGUGUAAGCAGUGAUAAAACCAAACUUUGGCACAUGAGGCUAGCACACAUGAGUGAAAAGAGGUUGAGAGAAUUAAGUAAGCAAGGGCUGCUAGGAAAUGAUCAAAUCACUUCACUACAAUUUUGUGAAAAAUGUGUGUUUGGUAAAGCCACAAGGCAAAAGUUCAACUUUGGUAGACAAGAAACAAAACAGACCUUAGACUAUGUUCACUCAGACCUUUGGGGUCCAUCCCAAGUUCCCUCUCAUGGUGGAGCUAGGUACUUCAUCUCAUUCAUAGAUGAUUACUCUAGAAGAGUGUGGGUCUAUGUGCUGAAGCAUAAGAGUGAAGCAUGUGAAAGGUUUAAAGAGUGGACUGCACUUAUGGAAACCCAAACAGAAAAGAAGCUUAAAAGGCUGAGGACUGAUAAUGGCCUGGAAUUCUGUAGCAGUGACUUUGAAAAUUUUUGUAAAUCAAAAGGCAUUGCAAGACAUAGGACAGUGAGGCACACUCCCCAGCAAAAUGGCUUGGCUGAAAGGAUGAAUAGGACCUUAAUUGAAAAGGUCAGAUGCAUGCUGUUUAAUGCAAAUAUGUCAAAGCAUUCUUGGGCUGAGACAGUUAAUACAGCUACAUAUCUAAUAAAUAGGAGCCCCUCAUCAGCUUUAGAUUUUAAAACACCUCAAGAAGUAUGGUCAGGGAAGCCACCAAACCUUAGUAACCUCAGGGUGUUUGGCUGUCCAGCUUAUGCCCAUAUAAGUCAGGGCAAGCUAGAACCAAGGGCUGUGAAAGGAUACUUUAUAGGGUAUCCAGAAGGCAUAAAAGGGUACAAAAUCUGGUGCACUGAUGGCAAGCCAUCUAGAACCUUGAUCAGUAGGGAUGUUGUGUUUAAUGAGGAAGCUAUGUUGCAGCAGAAGGUUGGAACAGAAGUUGAAAUCUCUGAACCCCUAAAUAGAUCUAAGUUGAAGGUGGAGUCCAGAGAUAGUUUGAAAGAAAGUAAAGAGACAAUUGAUCACCAUCAAGAAAGUGCCACAACAUCAGAACUUGACAACUAUCAGCUUGCGAGAGAUAGAGAAAGAAGGGUAGUUAAACUGCCCAAAAGAUAUGGAAUUGCUGACUUAAUAUCUUAUGCACUGAUGGUUGCUGAUGAGGUGACUGGAGAUGAACCUGAAAGCUACAAGCAGGCUAUGAAUAGCAGAGAUAAGUUGAAAUGGCUGAAUGCUAUGGAAGAAGAAAUGGCAUCACUCAAGAAGAAUAACACUUGGGUUCUAGUUCAGAGGCCUACUGAAAGAAGAUUGGUGGGCUGCAAAUGGAUUUUUAAACUCAAGGAGGGAGUUGCUGGAAGUGGAUCAGUGAGGCAUAAAGCCAGGCUUGUGGCAAAGGGGUUCACACAAAAGGAAGGAAUAGACUUCAAUGAAGUCUUCUCACCUGUUGUUAAACACUCCUCUAUAAGGGUUAUAUUAGCCAUCACAGCUUAUUUUGAUUUAGAAUUGGACUAGAUGGAUGUGAAGACUGCCUUCUUACAUGGAAACUUAGAAGAAGAAAUUCUGAUGACUCAGCCAGAGGGUUUUGUUGAGGAAGGAACUGAGGACAUGGUUUGCUUGCUCAAGAAAAGCUUGUAUGGGUUGAAGCAGUCUCCUCGGCAAUGGUACUUAAAGUUUGAUGAGUUUAUGCUGAAUCACAACUUCAGCAGAAGUGAAUAUGACAAUUGUGUUUACUUCAGGAAGCUAAACUCAGGUGAUCAAAUCAGUCUACUUCUUUAUGUUGAUGACAUGCUUAUAGCAUGUAAACAUAGAGCAGAAGUGGAGAAGCUCAAGACUGAGCUAAUGGCAGUGUUUGAAAUGAAGGAUUUGGGUCCUGCUGCUAAGAUACUGGGAAUGCAAAUUAAAAGGGACAGACAAGCUAAGACUCUAUUUCUCACACAAUCUGGAUAUUUGAAAAGGGUUGUCAGUCGAUUUGGGAUGGUGAACUCAAAGCUUGUCACUACCCCAGUAGCAGCACACUUCAAGCUUUCAAAACAGCAGGAACCAGAAGAAGAAGCAGACAUUGAUCACAUGAGGAGAAUCCCCUACUCCAGUGCAGUUGGCAGCAUUAUGUAUGGUAUGGUCUGCACCAGACCAGAUGUUGCCUAUGGGAUUGGUCUUGUCAGCAGGUUCAUGGGAAAUCCAGGCAAGGAACAUUGGGAAGCUGUUAAAUGGCUGCUGAGGUAUCUUAAAGGCACUGAAGAGUAUGGAGUAAGGUUUGGACAAGUCCGAAGUGCAUCUAGCCAAGUUGUGGGAUAUGUUGAUUCUGACUUUGCAGGAGAUUUAGACAGGAGAAGGUCAGUCACUGGUCUUGUGUUUACUCUCUGUGGUGGAGCUGUGAGCUGGAAGUCAACAUUACAAUCAGUAGUUGCUCUCUCAACAACAGAGGCAGAGUAUAUUACUUUAACAGAGGCUGUGAAAGAAGCAUUGUGGUUGAAGGGGUUAGUUACAGAACUGGGUUUGAAACAAGAAUCAGUCACUGUCAAUUGUGAUAGCUCAAGUGCUAUACAGUUGAGCAAAAACCCCAAGUAUCAUGAAAGAACAAAACAUGUGGAUGUGAGGAUGCACUUUAUCAGGGAAGAAAUUCGAAAUGGUGUGAUUAAUGUCAUUAAAAUUCCUACUGAAGUAAAUCCAGCAGACAUGCUAACAAAACCUUUGCCAAUAGUUAAGUUCAGGAAAUCCUUGGACUUGAUUGGAGUUAUUAACUUGUGAGACAAGUUAACUGAUGAUGGAGCAGUGAUAAGUAAAGCUAUAACCGAGUAAACUAAGGUGGAGAUUUGUGGAAUCAAGUUAGUUAUAUUCGGUUAUAACAGCUGAGCUGGAAAGCUGAGUCAGCAAGGGUGGGUCCCCAGGUGGUUUUAGUUAGUCGUUAUAACCAGCUGUAAACUGCUAGCUUUAUAAGCUUCAGUGAGAGAGAGAACUGAUCAGUUAGUUAAGCGAGAUAGUUUGUGAGCUGAGAAAGAUUCUCUGUGUGAGUUUAGUUUCUUGCUCUGAGUGGAUUCCAUUGUAAUCUUGAUAUCUCCUAAUAAAGCUUUAGCUCUACUGUUCCUGAUCGUGGAUGUAGGUACCUUGGUACCGAACCACGUUAUCUUUGUCUUGAGUCUUUAAAGUUCUUUAUCUUGCUCUGUUGUUUCUGGUGUUGGUAUCAGUUGUUCCUGGGUUCUUGCUUUGGUUGUGUUUAGUUAUUGCAUCAAUGUUGGGUCGAACGACCGUGGCAAUGGGUGUAGAUGGUGGCAGCUAGGUUUUUGUAAUUUUUUUUUGUUUUUCUAAUUCUUACCAGUGUAGCCUAUGGAAGCAAAAACAACCAUUUAGGAGAUUAGUCAGAGACUUAAGUAGUGAUCUAGUUGAACAGCCGCAGUAAAGUUUGAAUUGGGCAAUUUUUUGGACAAUAUGUUUCCAGCAAGAUCCUCAAAUUUGUGAUUAGAACCAACCAGUGUAGCCUAUGGAAGCAAAAACAACCAUUUAGGAGAUUAGUGAGAGACUUGAGUAGUGAUCUAGUUCCGCACUGGUCUCAACCUUCUCUUCAAUCUCUUGCCCUUUUGCUUUCGUCUCAGAGACUCCGCGCUGAAUGCCCGUACUUUCACUCUUCCGCUUCUCUGUUUCUGCCUUGAUAUCAUCAAAGAUGGCAUUAAUCGUAGAAUAAGCAGAUAACAAUCUAAAGUGAAGGAGGCCAUAGGAAAGUGAGAUUAAAAAACAAACAGAAGCCAAGGUUUUUUUUCAGAUGAAAACGGAAACAAGAAAAGGACCAAUGCGAAGAGCUGACAGAACGGAUGACUGAAUAAGAAGUGAGUUGAUUAUUUUAUACAGCCAAUUCAUGUAAUGACAGAUCUGGUUUCGAUCUUUGUAAUUUAAAUGUAUUAUCAGUACGAGGUGAAGGACUUUUUUGUCGACUCAGUCCAACACAAAUUCAAAUUACUAAAGCAACGUGAUACUGGUUUUGAUCUUUGUAAAUUAAGCACAUCAAUACGAGGUGACUCUCACAAGACUUUUGAUGUGCUAUUGCCAGUCAAAUAUGAGACGAAAUGUGAAUAGACUCAGUUAGUUGUGUUGUUAUUUAGGAGGUCGAGUCCAGAUAACAUCCAGCUCACUUGCCUUCUCAAUGACCAACAUUUUGUGAGCCAAGCGUUCGACUUCAAACCACUUAAUCUGAUGAGAUGAAUUUUCAAGCCGAAAAACAUGCUUCAAUUAAAAACAGAGACAGCAGGUGCCCUGUACUCAGGAUCCGAUCAUACAUAUACAAAGAAUAUCUGCUAUUAAGAAUUUCACAUCUCAAGUAGUUGAAAUUUAGUUUCGAAAGAAAAGAAUGGAAUAAUUGAUAAUAACAAUAAAUUACUAUAUCGCAUGCAUGUUCAGGUGACUUAAUUUGCAUUUACGCUUGCAAUGCCUGACGUGCGCACGUGAUCGCAAAAAUAAACUUGAAUAGAAUCUCUCACAUUCACCAGAAAAUUGUUGCACAUAAUAAUAAUACAAGGGAUGCACAGAAAUGGUAAGUUCACACAUCUUUAGUUUAGAUGAUCAAAUGAAGGAAUUGCACACAGAUUUUUACGCUUCCAAAGCUGUAGCGGCAGCGUGUAAGUUACAAUACAAUUGAAACUAGUUUAGUCGAAGCUCUCAGCAUGUGAUGUUUCGCAGAAGGAAUACCAGUUUCAGAGAAAUAUUAUCUAAUUUUGCACACCUUUCACGGAAUACCAAAAAAUAAAUGAUCAAAUAAAAGAUUACUACAAAAAUACAUUCCUAUCAAUCAUCAUAUAAUUUCAAACUAUAUGUGUUUUUUUUUUUGGGUUAAUCGAAGGUUCCUGGAAGUUGCAAGUCCCUGCCGGUGUCAAAGGGAAGGUACCAAUCUCGUGUUCGUCCUUCCAAUGUCAAAGGGAAUACUCUGCACCUCUGCGCUAGUGUUAGCCCCUGCACUCCAGUCAUGUCGUUGAAGCGCUCGACGUGCACCAGCGGGCCACUUUUUCCUGAGUAUUUGAGGUCGAGAAAAUGAAAAUCUCUUGGUAUCAUAGUGCCCAUGAUUUCAGCUGAAAGCCGAGAUUAAUCAUCCAGCAUUAUUCUCUAACUGAGGGGCUUUCUCCUACCCUGCAUUUGUCAUGAUUUGGUAUAAUCGUUUUGUUUUGUUUAUUUCCUCUUAUUUGGUCCAACUUCAUCUUGCCUCUCGUUAAAUGCAAAAUCAUCCAGCUUCAAAUGGAAAUCCUCGAAAUCCAAAUUCUUUGCACUAUAUUGAUCCUUCAGGCAGAUUGAAUUCUUACCAGCAGGUAAGGUUUUGUUAUGACUCACAUUUUGACAAGUGAUCUCUGAACUCUGAAGGUCAUAAAAUGGUCAUUUUGUCCAGUGUUUUCGACUUAGAAAAUGCAUGUGACUUUCAAGUCUUUCUAUGGCCGUCAUAGGGAAAUAGAUAUUUCAAUAGUUCGUAGAAGUUGAGAGAGAAUAUCACUGAUUAGUUAUUGGCCUCUUAAACCAUUUACAGGCAAUAACGGAAAUUGGGGAGGUCAUACAAUUUUAUGAUUCUGAUAGACGCUUUCCUGCAUGGGGAUUUGGAGGGAAGACAUUUGAUGGCACUGUAUCACAUUGUUUUAACUUGAAUGGAAGAGCAGGUGGCUUUGAGGUAGGGGUAGCUGGAGUUCGCAACUUUGCUAUAAUCCUUAUUUGGUUGGCUUGUCUCCCAUAACUUUUCAUUUUUAAUAACAAACAAUAUAAUAUGUUUCUACAUUUUUAAAAAAAUUUCCUUGGAAUUUUAUCCUAAAAGAUGUGUAUUUUAUCCUCUUCCAUUUUUUCAUUAACUGCUGGUUUCUUUAUUUAAUAGGCAGAUGGAGUUGAAGACAUUAUGGCUGCCUAUGCAAGCGCUCUAAACAAUGUUUCUUUGGCAGGACCGACUCUGUUUGGUCAAGUGAUCAACACAGCUGCACGAAUUGCUGGACAGUCCCUCUCAUACGACAGAAGCAAGUAUUUCAUCUUACUCAUGAUAACGGUGAUUACAAUGAUUCUAUAUAUUCACAGUUUUCUCUUUCUAUCAUUCUUUUUGGGUGAUUUGUAAAUUUGCAUGGUCUAUCUAGGAUGGAGUUCUGACAGAUCUCCAAGAAACGAAAGAUGCUUUGGUAAGGGCUUCUGAUCUUCCCCUGUCAAUUCUAAUUGUGGGUGUGGGAGGUGCAGAUUUUACACAAAUGGAGGUACACAAUGUUUUCUAACUGGAAUAUCUUCUUACUAGCAUCGAACUUCUUUUUUCUAUAGUUUGAUAGAUUCAAUUUAGAGUAUAUAUGCAGUGUGGUAUUAUCCCACUUUUGUUGCAGAUUCCUGAUGCUGAUAACUUUGUUGGCAGAUUCUUGAUGCUGAUAAUGGCCGUAGAUUAGAGAGCUCUACCGAUCGGGUAGCUACCAGAGAUAUAGUACAAUUUGUUCCAAUGCGAGAAGUUCAUAGUGAGUGCAUAAGAUUCUUUGAAAAAAUUAGUUCAAACUAUUGAAUUUGGGAGUUAAUUCACAGAAGUUUCUAAAUUUUUUCAUGCCUGAACAAAGGAACCCAUUGUUUUCUGAACAGGUGGGCAAAUUUCUGUUGUACAAGCACUUUUGGAGGAGCUGCCUGGUCAGUUUUUGACCUACAUGCGCUGCAGAGAUAUCAAACCACUCAAUGUUCAGAUGGCCCAAACAUGCGCUUGAGUAAAUAUUCAUAUAUUUGGAAAGGAUACAAAACCAAGCCAAAUAUAUUAGACAAGACCAAGCCAAACAUAUUAGGCUAUACAAACAUAACAUAGCAGAAAUUGAUAAUGGUACAUUACAUAUGUUAGGAUAUAGCGGUUUUAGAUGAUGGUAAAUUACAUAUGUUAAGAUAGAGUGGUUUGUAACUAACUUUUGAUGGCUUAAUGAAUUGAUUGAAUUUGUAUUUAGAUUCUAUCAAUGAUCUCCUAUCCAUGUCUUUCGAUUUUUAUUAUUCCCUCUACCCACUUGUUUCACAAUUGUUUGUGUCUGAUGGCCUAAAACUCCAGUUUCUGUUGCUGUAUUAUCAUCUUUGUUGAAUAUCUACUACAAUGAACAUGUGCUGAAUGUCAACUUUUACUACUACACCAGCAAUCUAACACAUGGCUCACGUGCACACAAGACAAGUCUGAUUCACACAUCUUUAAUUUAGAUUCUUAUAUAGUCUUUCAAGAUGUCUGAAACAGCAUAGAUGAAGGACCCUUCCACCAUUCAACCUGGAAUGAUGUGAGUGAAAGAAAUUUCCAAUAGGUGCACGAACACAAAUAUGAUGCACACAUCUCUUUAAUUAAUUUAGGGCUUAAAGAGAUUUUCAGAUGCCUACAAAUUGAAUAUGGCAGAUCUUGGACACCAUCCAUAAGAAAUAAAACUAGCCUCAAAUUGGAUUUAUGAGUACUCAAACAAAGCUAAAAGCAUAAUAAUGAAUGAAAACUGAAACAAAAAAUCCUCUCA